rnacentral:lncRNA from 1 species
UGAUAAGCCAGUGAUUGUAAUCGCAACCCUCGAACAGAAUCGUGUCGGGUGUGAUCUCGUCGCCGUCCUUAUACAAGUGGUACGUCUUGUUACCCGACGGCGUAGACGAGAGGGAGAUCGUCGGGGACGAUCUGAACGGCCGAGAUUGGACGAUGAUGGAGGAGCACGGGAUUAGCGAUGACGACGCCGAUGAAAUGGAAGGGUUUACGAGAGUAGAUGCGGAGAGUGCAGGGACGGCCAGAGAGAGAGAGCGUCGGAGAGCGGCGACGGCCGGUAGUGACCGGCGGAGGCGGAGGAUGGCGGUGUGGGCCAUUGCUUGCGCGUCAGUGAGUGUCUCGAGUGAGAGAGUGAAGGGUUUUGUUUAGGGUUUUGGGAAAUAUGAAAAAUGUAAAUGUUGGAUUUUGUUGCCAGAAACUUCUUCUGCCGCUGCUUUUUAUUUUCGCUAUAAAAAUAAUAAUUAUCAAAUAUUUUCUUAAAAAAGAUAAAUUUCUAGAUCAAAAUUUAUAUUAAAUCAAAUUGUAAAAAUGUGGAAUAGGGUUAAUUUCUCCUUGAUAUAUUUCAGAGUUGUAUUAUAGAUGUAUAUGUAUCUAGAUUGUAAUUAUAUUUUUAAAAAAUUAAAUUUUUAAUUAUUGCACAAUAAAUGUAGAAAGUAUCUAUAAAAUAAUAUUAUUAGGAUUACGAAAAGAUAUUAUUUUGGACAAGUUAUUUGUUUAUUAUUGAAUGAAUAAUUUAUUGAAUUAUUGAUAAAUAAAUAUUUAUUAAUUUAAAGAUUUUUUUUUUAGUUUUAAUAAAAGUUUUGUUGGGAAAUUUAUAAAAAUGGCCAUAAAACUUUUGUGUUUUUCAACUUUAAUCCUCUAAAGUUUUUUCUAUCAUAACUAGCCAAACACCCUAUGUUUGGACUGUAUUACCCUCAUCACUUUCAUCAAAUUUACAAAGUCAUGCCACUUUUUCAAUUCCAGUACAAGUAAAUACGGAUCUUCCUCAACAACUUAACAAACCUUCAUCACUCUCAACAAAUUUCAUCAUUCUCGAUAAAUCAAUUGCAUAAUUGAAUAUAUAAUCAUCAAUGGGAGAGCUUCUUAAAAUUAGUUUAUACUCUUACAUAAUGUAAACCUUUAAUCUAUUAAUUUUAUCAACUAAGUUCGAAAUUAAAGUGGGUUUUGUUGCAAAUAUUGUCAUUUUCCAUUCAUAAAACAAUGUGAUUUGUUAAAGUACUUAGUUUGAAUUGAGAAAUGAAGUAAAAUCAUUGAAAACACAGAAAAAUCGGGCAAAAAACGAAGUUCAGAACAAGUGAGACAUGCAAGUGGGACAGGUGCAUGUCUCACAUAAACGCACUGCAUUUAUGUGAGACAGGCACCUGUCCCACUGCCUGUCGCACAUAAACCCACGGAUUUUAUGGAGUACAUAAUUUUGGAUUUGAUUUGUCUCGUCGUAAGCUUCGAAACGGUAUAUUAUAUGCCUAAAACGGACAUAUAUAGCUCAAGUUAUGGCUUUCGAAACAUAUAUGAAAUUUAGUGAGACAGGCAAGUGGGACAGGUGCCUGUCGCACAUAAACGCACUGCGUUUAUGUGCGACAGGCACCUGUCCCACUGCUUUUCGCACAUAAACCCACGGAUUUUAUGGAGUACAUGAUUUUGGAUUUUAUUUGUCUCGUCGUAAGCUUCGAAACGGUAUAUUAUACGCCUAAAACGGACAUAUAUAGCUCAAGUUAUGGCUUUCGAAACAUAUAUGAAAUUUAGUGAGACAGACACCUGUCCCACUGCUUUUCGCACAUAAACCCACGGAUUUUAUGGAGUACAUGAUUUUGGAUUUUAUUUUUCUCGUCGUAAGCUUCGAAACGGUAUAUUAUACGCCUAAAACGGACAUAUAUAGCUCAAGUUAUGGCUUUCGAAACAUAUAUGAAAUUUAGUGAGACAGGCAAGUGGGACAGGUGCCUGUCGCACAUAAACGCACUGAUUUUAUGGAGUACAUGAUUUUGGAUUUUAUUUGUCUCAUCGUAAGCUUCGAAACGGUAUAUUAUACGCCUAAAACGGACAUAUAUAGCUCAAGUUAUGGCUUUCGAAACAUAUAUGAAAUUUAGUGAGACAGGCAAGUGGGACAAGUGCCUAUCUCACUAAAUUUCAUAUAUGUUUCGAAAGCCAUAACUUGAGCUAUAUAUGCCCGUUUUAGGCAUAUAAUAUACCGUUUCGAAGCUUACGACGAGACAAAUAAAAUCCAAAAUCAUGUACUCCAUAAAAUCCGUGAGUUUAUGUGUGAUAGGCAGUGGGACAGGUGCCUGUCGCACAUAAAUGCAGUGCGUUUAUGUGAGACAGACACCUGUCCCACUUGCAUGUCUCACUUGUUCUGAACUUCGUUUUUUGCCCGAUUUUUCUGUGUUUUCAAUGAUUUUUCUUGAUUUCUCAACUCAAACUAAGUACUUUAACAAAUCACAUUGUUUUAUGAAUGAAAAAUGACAAUAUUUGCAACAAAACCCACUUUAAUUUCGGACUUAGUUGAUAAAAUCAAUAGAUUAAAGGUUUACAUUGUGUAAGAGCAUAAACUAAUUUUAAGAAGCUCUCCCAUUGAUGAUUAUAUAUUCAAUUAUACAAUUAAUUGAAGGUUUGUUGAGAGUGAUGAAGGUUUGUUAAGUUGUUGAGGAAGAUCCGCAUUUACUUGUACUGGAAUUGAAAAAGUGGCAUGGCUUUGUAAAUUUGAUGAAAGUGAUGAGGGUAAUGUAGUCCAAACAUAGGGUGUUUGGCUAGUUAUGAUAGAAAAAACUUUGGGGGGUUAAAGUUGAAAAACGCAAAAGUUUUAUGGCCAUUUUUGUAAAUUUCCCAGUUUUGUUGGUAGACGCACAAACUCAUAAGGAAAUACAAAAAGUGCUUCCUCAAAUCAAUAAUAUUUACUUUAAUUCAUAAUAAUAUAACUUAAUUAGGAAACUUGUAAUUAUACUGUUUAUUUUUUUCUUUGUUCAGUUUGGUGGGACAAUGUGAUAAAUCAUUAGAUUAAAAUGCAUUUCUAAAUGCACUAAUUUUCUAGAUGAAUUUUUUCCUACAUGCUUGUUCUCAUAUGACCCAAAAUCCUGCUACAUCAGUUGUAUUAGAAAUUAAUCACGUGGGCUACAAUUCUGCAUCCCCACCAAUAUUUAAGCAAUCUACAGAAACAUUUCUUGAGGAAAGAAACUCACAUCGGCACUAGGCUUUCAAUGAGGCUCAUUUUUAUGAAUCUGGAUAGCAUUAGAUAUCUCUCCGAAUACUGGUGGGAGUAGAUCGCAGAUCUCUGGGCUAUACUACAAAGUGUACGUACGUUGACUCUCAAUAAAUACAAACGAUUCUCUGAUAUGAUUCAAAACAUCAGUGCAUGCAUCAUUUUAACGAGAGAGAAUAUUCUAAGAACGAAAUUGAAGGUGCAAUCAGCAGCUAAAAUGAAGCCAGAAAUGUACACGCAUGAGGAACGUUUCCUAGAAGAUUGAUAUUUCUUUGACUAGCAAACCAUACACGUCAAAGCUAGCCAAACCAUACUUGCAAGUCGGGGGUUUAAAUGGAGUACUUCUAAGCAUAAAACAUUGAUUAAAACAGAAUACACACAUACAUACCAGCAAAUUCAAUAUAGCAAAAGGAGUGCAAAAGUUCAUGUUUGUAGACAACAUUGCAACCAUGGCAUGUUUAUAGCAAAUCCUCGAAAUCUGCUAAAUAAAACAAUGCCUUGUCUCAUGAAUCAAUGCUGAAUUAAAAUUGAAACUGAAAGUCCGGCUGGCGUUGUUUCCCUCUCCAAUUUUGCCUACAUAAGUGAAAAUAAGAAUAAUAAAUGAAAAUCUGCUUUUACAGUUCUUAUUAGAUAGAUAAAAGGGGGAUCUUUCUUUGUUUCUCUGCUGCAAUGUGUGGCUAUCCCACUCUGUUUUGCCACCCAAGCUGAGUCUAUGUUGAGACAUAAUUUUGACAUCAGAAGCAAUCUCAAUUAGUUUGGCACUUUUAUGACCUCCUUGAAGGUUUUACGAUAAACAUAAAUCUACUGAGAAAGUGGGAAAAAAAAGAAAAUGCAUAUAAAAAUAUGAGUUAUCAGAUAAGAUUAAAACUCACCCAAUUCAAUCCAUCAGAUUCCGUAAGGAUAUAACUGGAUGUCAUACCGCCACUCCAUAUCCUUGAAAGUCCGUAGUGUUUGUCUCAACUCUGUCUGAGGCCAAUGUAAAUUCAAUUUGCGCAAGCUCUUUAUGCACCACAGCUCUUCUGGAAGCUUUCUCAAGUAAGCACAUGGGUUGACAAUUAAGCUUUCAAGUUUCGGCAUUGCUCCAGCCCCCAUCGUCCACUCAUCUAGCCAAUACAUUGAUUUCAGGUGCAAAACCUUAAGUUCGGGAAAGCUACUCAAGCCAACACAAGCAAGCUUUCUUCCUAAAUACGAGUUCUGCUUCAGUUUCAGCACUCGAAGGCGUGGAAGAUUUUCCAGAAUUGGCAUGGGAUCCUCCAUUAGCUUAGUAUUUGAUAAGCUCAGUUGGAUCAGACUUGGGGGAAAUUGGUAUUCAGACAGGACCAUCCGUGAGGGCUUGCUCUCAUUCACCAGCUUCAAGCAUUCAAGUUUGUGGAGUUCGCAAAGGCUUUUGGAAACCCCAGACUGAUAGUAACUCAAAUCUCCAGAUAUCCGAAGAGUCUGAACACUAGGUAGUCUGCCCAAUAUAUCAGGAGUACAACUACUAGGGUUUAAAGCUGAUAUGAAAAUGAGAUUUUUCAGAGAGCUAGAAUAAUUUUUUGGAGGUGCGGGCAGAGUGAUAGAACCAAAGUUUAGAUGCAUGAGUUUUUGCAUCAUCCAAAUAUCCUCUGGUGAAUGAUCUAUGUCGCUAGAUGGCAUUUCUAGUGUUUGAAGGUUUAAAAGGGUGCAUAGCAUUGAAGGAAGGCAUUUGAGCGAAGGGAUAUUCAAUUUCAAAUACUUCAAAAGGAAUAAAUUUUCUAAUCCGGGUGGAUAUUGGUCCAGGACUGCAGAACCCAUGUUCAGUACCCGAAGGUAUUUGAACAUUUUACAAAAGUUCUCGCAAUCUAUCAGAGCGAGACGAUCGCUUUCUGAACUGUGAUUCAGAAAAGAUUGGAGAUACAUGUCAGAAUGUUCUAGAGAAAGGAACUCAAUCAGACGUUCCACAAUGAAGCACCGUUUAACAUUUGCCGUUGAUUCCUCUUCCAUGUCAGGCGUCCAGACAAAUCCCGCCUUCUUUGCCAACAAUAACAAUGAAGUAAAUACAAAACUUGGAACAUAACACGCUUUAAUUGUGCCGCCGGCGCUUCUCUUACUCACUUGAAUGAAGCCGCGAUGGAUUAGUUCUUUCAAGUAAUGUUCGGCAGUUUCUUCACCGUUGUAUGGUAUGAAACCUUCAGCUACCCACAAAUGAUAUAAUUGCCUCGUGGAUAUCUCAAUGCCUGGAAGGAAGACACACAAAUAGAUGCAGCAGAUUUUCAAGUGAAAAGGUAACUCCAACACAGAAAAAAUUUGUCUCCAAACUGUCGGAAUCGCUUCGCCUUGAACAUAAUUUUCCAAUGGCAUACUUCCAUAGUGUAGGAUGAAAAAUUGCCAGGCUUCAUGCUUUAAUCUGAUCAAUGGUCCUCCAAUGAGCACUGAAUCAAGCCGAAUCUUCUCUCCGUUUUCCAUUUCCAGCGACGCAAGGAGGUCUGGAUCAGUGACCAAUAUCAAUACUCUGCUUCCAUUCUGAUCAUCUGGAAGAAGUUCUAAAACAUCACUCCAUAUCUCACUGUCAUCGAAGACAUCAUCAAGCACAAUAAAGUACUUCUUGUUUGUUAGGUAAUCUCGAAGAAUAGAUUUCUUCAAUUGAUGCUCUUCACCGAUAAUUACACUAACCCGAGCUGGAGGCAUCACAGACUUGAUUAUGCCAUCCAAUAUCUUGCCGUAAUCAUAGCUUAGAGAAACCCUGACCCAAGAAAGACAGUCAAAAUAGAACUUGACAUGGUUAUUAUUAUAAGUAUCUGCAGCAAAAGCAGUCUUAUCGAAGCCACUGCUGUCGAGAAUUGCAACCACUGAAAGCCCAGAUGGUCCCUCAAUCAAUAGAUCAAAAAACUUCUCUCUGCCCCUUUCAAAUUCACUGAUAUCGAGCCGAGGUUGUCCCUCAUUCAAUAGGCGAAUGAUUUCGUUACUUUUUUCACUGAUAUCAAAACCAUUGUCGCCGGGUGGAAGUUGUUGCAUCCGAUUUCUAAUAUCAAUGAUUUUAGUGUGGAGUCCAACAAGAAGAGCCAUAUCAGUACUGCUUUCACUUUCGUUUUCACUGUUUUGCUGCUGCAUUAUGUUGAUGAAGAAUCUGUCAAUGGCUUCCUCAGAUUCAUGGACAACGGGAUUGAUGUCCUCCAGAAUUUCCAAAAUAUCUGCUGUUUCAACGUCUUCUUCAUCGCUUUCUUCUAAGUCCAACAGUUGCAAAAAAGGCAAUGAUAUUUUAGAGUCAUCCAAAUCUUCUGUAAGGAGUUGAAACAAAUGCCGAGCCAUGUCAGCUUCAUAUUUUCCCAGCAGAGUACUAGCAAUAAUUUCGGACUCCGUAAGAAGGUUUUGACAAAGUGGAGUUAAAUUUGUUGAAUCUGGCAGCGGCAACGUGCCUUCUUCACCUGCUAACACCCUCUCCAACCUCUCACAAAACAGUCGGAGGUGGACGUCCAGCAUAUCUCCUUCUCUCCGCAGCACUCAGAGGUAUAGUUGAAAGAUUAAACACCAUGGAAGAAUUUGAAAGGAAAAUGCCAAGAAACUGUGUAAGUGGCUAAAUUCCACAAAUGCGGCAUUAUUGCUCAUUUUUUAACUCAAAAAAUUGAUACGCGUUCAUUUAGAGAAAAGUCCAAGACGCGUGCCUUUUGAAAAGAACAGGUAUCCCAAUCGGUAUACAACCUUUAUCUUAUUUAAUUACUACCAUGACAUAAUUGAUGGUGCUUAAAUCAAUUGUUUCUUUUUUAAUUUAAAGAAUUUUUCAUUAAAAAAAUAUUUUAAUAUCAAAUUGCCUUCAGUGGCGUAACUGCCUCAAGCCCAGUAACAGGACUAAUUAAAAAUUUUACAAUUUUUGGGCAUGGAAAUAAUAGUAUUAAACGUUAGAAAGGUGAGGUUGUUCUGUUAAAGAAUUGAUAUUGACAUAAUUUUAUUUUGGUUUUCGUGGAAAACAAAAAUUUGUUGACAAGCAAGAAAGUAUUUUUAUAUUUUAAAAUUUAUUAUGCAUAUUUUAUCAUAUUAAAGUAGUUUUAAUAAUAAAUAGAAACAUAAUAUUACGAUAAAUAAAUUAAAAUUUAACUUAUUUUGAAUAUUAUAAAAAAUAAUUUUAAUAUUAUUAAUAGGAAGACAUUUUGUUAAUUUUAAAAUUUUUUAACCCAAUGGUUUAUUUAAAAUCUUUAUUAUAAAUACAAAUAUAAAAUUAAAUAUCAUAAUUUAAAAUUUUUAAUAUUAUUUUAAGUAUUAAAAAUAUUUUAAUGUUAUUAGUCUACUACAUAGAUCAUAUUACUUAUAUAAUAUUUGUAUUAUUAAAAAUUCUUAAAAUCAAAUUUUUAGUUAGUAUAUUCAUGAGGUAUUAUGGUUAAAAAAAAAAGACCUUAUUGUUACUUUUUAAAAAAUUGAGGGCCUGCGUGAUAAUUUUUUCAAAAAGAAAAUGUAUCUAGGAGGGGGAUCCAGGUAGGGUACCACUGUGGUACCGUACCACGGGUUUUGUCUUUUGUGCCAGUAAUGUUGUAAAAUUUCAUUGAACCCCUUUCAUUUAUUUUUAUUUAAACUUUACCUCAUAAAUAUUAAAUUAAUUUCUAUUGCAUCCAUAUAAACAUUAUAAUAAGCACCUUAUACUAUUUGUUAUUUAUACAUUUUUCUUCUAUAUUGCACCUUUAUCACAAUACCCCCUCUUUAUCAAAAUACCGGCGAACCCGACCCGAAUUUCGUUUCCAUUUCCGUCCAUGCCACCGGCCAAGGUUGGUACCGAUCGGAAGAUCGUGCGACGCCGGUCAUCUCCACGCCAUCAUUGUCGCAAAAAUAACAAGGUCAACCCGACCCUCGAACCAGACCCGGAUUUUGUUUCCGUUUCCGGCUACUCCACCGGCCAAGGUUGGUACCAAUCGGAAGCUCGUGCGACGCCGGUCAUCUUCAUGCCAUCCUUGUCACAGUAAAGCAUUCGGAAAGCUGCCGAUCGAAGCCGUGAAAAGUCAUAGAAUUCCCGCUUCAAUUCACCACGGUUUCUCUGGUUUCCGGUGACGCCACCACUUGAGUUUUGUUCUCCACAGUUCCCUCUGUCUUUUCUGACCGACCACAGCCACCGGAGGAGCCGAUUUGUCGUUGAUCGGCCGUUGAAGGAUUCACGGGUUUGGGAGAAAUGAACUUAAUAUUUGUGAAGCAAAGUUCAAAUAUGAAUAAGUGAAAGGGCUUCAUGAAAUUUUAUACAGAAAAGACAAAAGCGGUGGCAUGGUGCCACUGUUGCACGAUAGGCGAGUCCCUAGGAGGGAUAGAGAAACAUGACUCCCAAAAUCUCUCACCCUUUUUUAAUUAAAAAAAUUAAAAUAUUAAUAAAAAUAAUAAAGAAAAUAGAAUUUUAUCUGCUCCUUACUCCAUUUUUGCAACUCUCUCACCAUCUCUGUCGAGCAGCCCUCUCUCUCACUGUCUCUCACUAUUUCACGAUCUCUCUCUCACUCACACAGGCAAUGACCAUCUCAUCGUCGGCGGUCGUGUCGUCAUUGUCACUGUUCUUGCUCGACCGAGAGACAGUGAGAGAGAGGUUUGUUAGAUGGAGUUAGUGAGAGAGAGUUGUAAAGAUGGAAUGAUGAUAAAGGAUUUUAAUUUUUUAUUGUUUUUUAUUAAUAUUUUAAUUUUUAAAAUUAAAAUGUGCUGCCGUUUCUCUCGCCUUUUUAACUGCUUAACUUAACAUUUUUUAAUUGUAAAAUCUUUUUAAUACAAAAAUUCAUUUAAAAUCUUUAUAAUAAAUACAAAUAUAAAAUUAAAAAAUAUCAUAAUUUAAAUUUUUUAAUAUUAUUUAAAUAUUAAAAAUACUUUAAUAUUAUUAGUCUACUACAUAAAAUAUAUUAUUUAUAUUAUAUUCGUAUUGAUUAAAACGUUUUAAAGUCAAAUUUUUAAUUAGUGUAUUCAAAGAUACAAAAGAUUUUAGUAUUAUUUUUUAAAAAUUUCAGGAUAUGAAUGAUAAUUUUUUUCAAAUUUUAACGAUGUAAGAAUCUUUUUUUCUGAUAAUUUAUUUCACUUUUGAGAGAAUCCGAAAACGUUAAUUUAACAUUCUUUACCUUUGUGAAAAAAGUGAAAAUCAAGAACUAUUCAAUUUUGUUUUUAUUUGUAAUUCAAAAUUUUAUUCAUUUUCGAUGCUUUUCAAAAGAGAUUCCUUUAAAUCCUUUUGGUGUCUGCAGCUCCUGCUAUUCUCAUAAAUCUCCAUCCCACAUCUACACUAUCAAACUAGUUGAUGGAAAUUCUUAUAAAAAAAAAAAAAAAAAAAAAAAAAAAGGUUGAUGGAAAUUGAUCAAUUACUUUUUGAAGUGGACCCAUUGAGUCAUGUUCAUUUCUGGUCAUUGUCUACUCUUUCUAUCAGCCAUUUAUUUUGACUAUUUGCGAUCUUAUCUGGACCAACUCCAAUUAUUUAUGUAACGAACUCCAAAGGUUGCAUCUACAGUUGAAUGUAAGAUAGCGAAAGCUCUUCUUUGAGAAAAUAGAGGAACCUUUCUCUGUUUCUCCGUUGCAACGUGCGCAUAUAAAUUUCUUUACCUUACAGUUUAUACGGUCUUGCUGUUAAUGAAUUCGCUGAGGCAUUAUUGAUCCAAUCUGAGUGAAGUAAUUGUGGGUGAAAAAUAAAUAAAAGGAUAUGAGAACGUAGCUGAAGUGCUGAAGGGGCUAUUAAAGAAGAGUGUCACUUGAUCACAAUCACAUUGAUGCACAACUCACUCGUGGCAAAUUUCGACUAUACGUUCUGCAAAUUCAGCCAAACCAUACAUGCAUGAACAAAACUAAAAUUAGAAAAAUGAGGGGUGAAUUGUUAACUCAGUAAAAAAAAAAAAAAAAACUCAUGCAUAAGAUUACUAAUAAUAUAAAUUAUAUAUUAAUCAUUGUAAAGAAUCAUAAAUUAGAAAAAUUAAUCAUUUUAUAAUUUAUUACACAAGUAAGAUAAAUCUUAUAAUAAGUUAUAACAUAAAAAACGUUAUCAAUAUAUAAUCAUUUAAGAAGUCAUUUAACAAUAAAAUCGUUCUUUGAUCAGUUGGUCAUGUCACAUAGUAUCAUCUAUAUUUAUGGUGAUAAUAUUAUUACUUAGUAUUAUCAAAAAACAUGAUUUAACAUUUAGAGGAAAUUCUUGCCUUUUAAAAAAAACAUCUAUGCAACAGCUACCCAUGCUUUAUCUUACCAUGAAAAAUAUUUUCUCAAUGAAAGAAAAUUUUUUAAAAUUUGAUUUAAUGCACAAAUAUGAUGAUUUUUGCAAAAAUUAGUUUUGGAAAACAUAGUGAGAGAAAAUAGUGACGAUUAUUGUUUAAAUGUAUAAAUAGCCUAAACAUAAUCCUUAAUACCAAUAUCCUAAUAUCCUAAUGCAUCUUAUCAUCUUUCAUGAUAUUCUUUGAUUUAUGUCCAUUGGUUCAAGAUUUGAAUUUGAUCAUUAAAUCAUGUUCAAUAAUAUUAGAGAUUCUAACAAAUGAGUACCAACUUAAAUCCCAAUGUUAUGUGUCAUUGACCAAUUUUGUGUCAUUUUGUUAUUAACUAGGUGAUGAAUUUCUAGUUGAUAAAAUCACUUAAAAAUAUCUUAAAAAUCAGACAAUAGUUUGCUUAAUUUUUCCAAGUUAACUGCUCAAGAUGCUCUAUUAUAAAUGAUAACCUAAUUAUAUUCAUAAAAAAAUGAUAUAUUUUUUGUGGUGUUGAUAAUGAGAUUAUCAUUCAACAUUUUAAAAUGUGAAAACAUAUGGAAGAUGGUUGUAAAUUGAUUGAAUGAAAAUAUUUCAGUGAAGUCUCAAAAAUUUGGUACUUGUUGUCUUAUCGAAAGUUUUCUAAAUUAUAUUCGUGGCACAGCCACUAUCCAAACCAUACAAGUCCAAAGCUAUCCAAACCAUACCUGCAAGUCCGGGGCUUAAAUGGAGUACUUCUAAGCAAAAAAACAUUGACUAAAAUAGAAUAUAUACAUACAGACACACAUACAUACCAGCAUAUUCAAAAUAGCAAAAGGAGUGCAAAAGUUCAAGUUUGUAGACAACAUUGCAACCAUAGCAUGUUUAUAGCAAACCUCAAAAUCUGCUAAAUAAAACAAUGCCCCGUCUCAUGAAUCAAUGCUGAAUUAAAAUUGAAACUGAAAGUCUGGAUGGUGUUGUUUGUUGAGAAUGUCAAAUAAAACGGCAUUGAAUGAAGUUUUCAAAGGCAGAAUCCGCACUUGUCAAAGACACGAUCCGCGCCGAACGGAUCGACACAGAAACCAAAUUCGUCCCACAACCAUUUUUUCCACCAUUUUCUUCCUUAAAACCAUUCUUACAGAAAUCCAUGCCGAUCAAAAAACAUGAAAGACAAAUUACACAUGUGCAGUAACCAAUGAUCAUAUUUCGUUACUGUCAAACACAAUGCAUCUGAGCAAAACAUUGGAAGCCAACACCAGAAUACAUAUGAAUAAACAAUUAAAGAUAGAGAAAAAAGGCUUAAACCUUGGGGGGAAAAAGUGAAAAAACAUGAAAGACAAAUUACACAUGUGCAGUAACCAUCGAACUUAUCAGUGACAGCUGCAUCCAUUACAUUGCUCCAACAACACAAUGGCAAACCACCAGUUUCAAAUUGAGGAUAGCUAUCGAGAAUGAGAAAGCGUCCAAAACGUCAUAAAUAGACAUGUUCCUAUUGUGCAUAAUUUACAUUAUAGGCAAAUAUUCUUAUACCGUCAAAGGCAAAACAUGACACUAACAAUUGAAUCCCCCCCCCCCCCCCCCCAAAACCAAAAAAAAAAAGGAAAAAACAAUACAGAAAAGAUCGAAACAGAUAAGGCUACACUGAGCACAGGAUGCCAUGAAACAUAAUCCAGGAACCAAAUUAAUAAAAAAGGAAGCCAAACCAUUAUUUAACAAUCUGUUUUGUAUCUGGGAAAGUCUGAUAAAAUCUACUUAGGGAUAAUUAGAGAACCUCAACUAUUAAUCACACCUCAUAAAUGAACUAACAUUAACCAUCUACCAUCCCCACGUCACACAAACAUUCUCUAUACUUCUGAACCUAAUACUUCCAUCUUCAAUCGGGGUUUUUUUUUUGGGGGGGGGGGGGGGGAGCUAUCAAUUUUCUAAGCUUGCUUAGCUUCUGUGUGGGAUUGAAAUGCUGAUUUCGAAUCACUAACAGUAAAAUUGGAAGCUCAUGAAAUAAUCAUGCAAUAGCUUAUUAUAUUGUUUUAGGUCAUUUUUUUCAACUAUUUUCUUGUUAAUAAAUGUCUUGAAAAGCUACAAGAUAAUAUUUCUCUUGCUGGUCGUGUGAAUAUGGAAGAGAUGGCCGAGAGCUAGGCAGCUAGCUAAUAGAAAUUUUUAUGCCUCAUACAUACUAAAUACAAGUCCAAAAGCAUUUCCCAUCUAGUCAAAAUAGAUAAAAAUUAAAGGCAUACGUAUGCUUUCUUAAUCAUCACACGCACUAAUUAAAUAUUAAUUGAAAAUCCUAGUUAAUCAGUAAAAUUAGCAACGGUGGCACCAGGCUUACAAGCCUUAGCCAUAGGGCUUGGGUGAACAAAAGGGCUGGGCCUCACGGGCUUCCCCAUAAGCUCUCCCGGCAGAUCCUUAAUGCCCUUCAAAUAAAAAGUAUAGAACAGCUUAAAUGGAAACACAAGUUGCUUCAGCUUAACCUGCCCACUCACUCCUUCAAAGAUCCCUGACCCUCCAGUCACAGCAAGACAAGUGUCCUUGUAUGUCAAAUAAGACCCCUGCACCGAUAUGUGACCGUAGUCUCCGAAGUAGAAGCUGUAUACGGCUUCGUAUCUGUCACCUUUCAUUGGCUUGUGCUGGAUCAAAAUGCAAAUUCCUGCUGUAAUUCCCACUCGCUUUUGCAAGUCUCCGCUAUAUAACUGCAAUACAUUAAAAAGAUUAUAUAUUAACAAUUCUAUGUAUACUAGUAACAAUAGAAUAAGCGAUAUUGGUGAUCAUGUUGCGGUAUAUCAUAUUGUCACCCAAUUUUUUUUUUUUUCAUAAUUGACGACUUCAACAAGAUUCACAUACGAUAAAUUACUAAUUUUAUAUCACAUCAGGUUAUAAUUUGUAUGAAGUAAUCUGAAUAUAGAACUUUUGUGCGUAUUAAUAUAAUUGAAACACGAAGGAUGAUUAACUUGCAAAACAAAUGGGUACUAUGAAAAAUUAAUUUACUUUGUUGCUAAAAGGGACAAGAUCACCGAGUGAAUUGAUGAAACAUUUCUUGCUCAACCGGAGAUAGGCUGGGCUCCCACGAUCUAGCUCGUUGAUCUCAUAAACAUACAAUUCUUGAACUUUGGCUACAAUUAAUCAAAGAUAAAACGGUAAAGAGAAUGAUUAACAAGAUACGUCAAAUUAAAAACAGAGGAAUGUUAAGAAAAAAAAAAAAAGAUACUAAUCAAAUUGUUUUAGCAAUUUGAUUGAAAGUGCGGCUGCACUAAUUUUCUAGAUGAAUUUUUCCUACAUGCUUGUUCUCGUAUGACCCAAAAUCCUGCUACAUCAGUUGUAUUAGAAAUUAAUCAACUGGGUUACAAUUAUGCAUCCCCACCAAUAUUUAAGCAAUUUAAUUACAGAAACAUUUCUUGGGGAAAGAAACUCAUAUCGCCACUAGGCUUUUAAUGAGGCUCAUUUUUAUGAAUCUGGAUGGCAUUAGAUAUCUCUACGAAUAUUGGUGGGAGUAGAUCGCAGAUCUCUGGGCUAUACUACAAAGUGUAUGUACGUUGACUCGCAAUAAAUACAAACGACUCUCUGAUAUGAUUCAAAACAUCAGUGCAUGCAUCAUUUUAACGAGAGAGAAUAUUCUAAGAACGAAAUUGAAGGUGCAAUCAGCAGCUAAAAUGAAGCCAGAAAUGUACACGCAUGAGGAAUUUUUCCUAGAAGAUUGAUAUUUCUUUGACUAGCAAACCAUACAAGUCCAAAGCUAGCCAAACCAUACCUGCAAGUCGGGGGUUUAAAUGGAGUACUUCUAAGCAUAAAACAUUAAUCAAAACACAGUACAGACACACACACACACCCCUACAUACAUACCAGCAAAAAUCCACUGAGAAAGUGGGAAAAAAAGAAAAUGCAUAUAAAAGUAUGAGUUAUCAGAUAAGAUUAAAACUCACCCAAUUCAAUCCAUCAGAUUCCAUAAGGAUAUAACUGGAUGUCAUACCGCCACUCCAUAUCCUUGAAAGUCCGUAGUGUUUGUCUCAACUCUGUCUGAGGCCAAUGUAAAUUCAAUUUGCGCAAGCUCUUUAUGCACCACAGCUCUUCUGGAAGCUUUCUCAAGUAAGCACAUGGGUUGACAAUUAAGCUUUCAAGUUUCGGCAUUGCUCCAGCCCCCAUCGUCCACUCAUCUAGCCAAUACAUUGAUUUCAGGUGCAAAACCUUAAGUUCGGGAAAGCUACUCAAGCCAACACAAGCAAGCUUUCUUCCUAAAUACGAGUUCUGCUUCAGUUUCAGCAGUCGAAGGCGUGGAAGAUUUUCCAGAAUUGGCAUGGGAUCCUCCUUUAGCUCAGUAUUUGAUAAGCUCAGUUGGAUCAGACUUGGGGGAAAUUGGUAUUCAGAUAGGACCAUCCGUGAGGGCUUGCUCUCAUUCACCAGCUUCAAGCAUUCAAGUUUGUGGAGUUCGCAAAGGCUUUUGGAAACCCCAGACUGAUAGUAACUCAAAUCUCCAGAUAUCCGAAGAGUCUGAACACUAGGUAGUCUGCCCAAUAUAUCAGGAGUACAACUACUAGGGUUUAAAGCUGAUAUGAAAAUGAGAUUUUUCAGAGAGCUAGAAUAAUUUUUUGGAGGUGCGGGCAGAGUGAUAGAACCAAAGUUUAGAUGCAUGAGUUUUUGCAUCAUCCAAAUAUCCUCUGGUGAAUGAUCUAUGUCGCUAGAUGGCAUUUCUAGUGUUUGAAGGUUUAAAAGGGUGCAUAGCAUUGAAGGAAGGCAUUUGAGCGAAGGGAUAUUCAAUUUCAAAUACUUCAAAAGGAAUAAAUUUUCUAAUCCGGGUGGAUAUUGGUCCAGGACUGCAGAACCCAUGUUCAGUACCCGAAGGUAUUUGAACAUUUUACAAAAGUUCUCGCAAUCUAUCAGAGCGAGACGAUCGCUUUCUGAACUGUGAUUCAGAAAAGAUUGGAGAUACAUGUCAGAAUGUUCUAGAGAAAGGAACUCAAUCAGACGUUCCACAAUGAAGCACCGUUUAACAUUUGCCGUUGAUUCCUCUUCCAUGUCAGGCGUCCAGACAAAUCCCGCCUUCUUUGCCACAAAAUACAAUGAAGUAUAUACAAAACUUGGAACAUAACACGCUUUAAUUGUGCCGCCGGCGCUUCUCUUACUCACUUGAAUGAAGCCGCGAUGGAUUAGUUCUUUCAAGAAAUGGUCGGCAGUUUCUUCACCGUUGUAUGGUACGAAACCUUCAGCUACCCACAACUGAUGUAAUUGCCUCCUGGAUAUCUCAAUACUUGGAGGGAAGACACACAAAUAGAUGAAGCAGACUUUCAAAUGAAAAGGUAACUCCAUCACAGAAAAAAUUUGUCUCCAAACUGUCGGAAUCGCUUCGCCUUGAAGAUAAUUUUCUAAUGGCAUACUUCCAUAGUGUAGGAUGAAAAAUUGCCAGGCUUCAUGCUUUAAUCUGAUCAAUGGUCCUCCAAAGAGCACUGAAUCACGCCGAAUCUUCUCUCCGUUUUCCAUUUCCAACGACGCAAGGAGGUCUGGAUCAGUGACCAAUAUCAAUACUCUGCUUCCAUUCUGAUUACCAGGAAGAACUUCUUCAAGAUCAUCCCAUAUCUCACGUUCAUUGAAGACAUCAUCAAGCACAAUAAAGUACUUCUUGUUGGUUAGGUAAUCUCGAAGAACAGAUUUCUUCGAUUGAUAAUCUUCACCGAUAAUUACACUAACCCGAGAUGGAGGCAUCACAGACUUGAUUAUGUCAUCCAAUAUCUUGCCAAAAUCGUAGGCUAAGGAAACCCUGACCCAAGCAAGACAGUCAAAAUAGAACUUGACGUGAUCAUUAUUGUAAGUAUCUGCAGCAAAAACAGUCUUGUCGAAGCCACUGCUGUCGAGAAUUGCAACCGCUGCAAGCCCAGAUGGUCCCUCAAUCAAUAGAUCAAACAACUCCUCUCUGCCCCUUUCAAAUUCAUUGAUAUCAAGCCGAGGUUGUCCCUCACUCAAUAGGCGAAUGAUUUCGUUACUUUUUUCACUGAUAUCAAAACCAUUGUCGCCGGGUGGAAGUUGUUGCAUCCGAUUUCUAAUAUCAAUGAUUUGACUGUGGAGUCCAUCAAGAAGAGCCAUAUUAGUGCUGCUUUCACUUUCGUUUUCACUGUUUUGCUGCUGCAUGAUGUUGAUGAAGAAUGUGUCAAUGGCUUCCUCAGAGUCACGGACAAAGUUAUUGAUGUCCUCCAGAAUUUCAAAAAUAUCUGCUGUUUCAACGUCUUCUUCAUCGCUUUCCUCUAAGUCCAACAGUUGCAAAAAAGGCAAAGAUAUUUUGGAGUCAUCGAAUUCUUCUCUAAUGAGUUGAAACAAAUGCCGAGCCAUGCCAGCUUCAUAUUUUCCCAGCAGAGUAGUAGCAAUAAUUUCGGACUCCGUAAGAAGGUUUUGAAAAAGUGGAGUUAAAUUUGUUGAAUCUGGCAGCGGCAACGUGCCUUCUUCACCUGCUAACACCCUCUCCAACCUCUCACAAAACAGUCGGAGGUGGACGUCCAGCAUAUCUCCUCCUCUCUGUAGCACCCAGAGGUAUUGUUUUUUUGCUCCAAGAAAUAUUAAAAGGAUUGGUUCUAUCUCAAAGUGGUUACUGGUGUAAAAUUAAACGACAUGGGAGAAUUUGAAAGGAAGAUGCCAAGGAACUGGCGAAGUGGCUAAAUUCCACAAAUACGGCAUUAUUGCUCAAUUUUAAGUCAAAAAAUUGAUACGCGUUCAUUUAGAAGAGGUAUCCAACCUUUAUCUUAUUUUAAUUACUACCACGACAUGAUUGAUGGUGUUUAAAUCAAUUGUUUCUUUUUUAAUUUAAAGAAUUUUUCAUUAAAAAUAUUUUAAUAUCAAAUUGCCUUCAAUAGCGUAACUGCCGCAAGCCCAGUAACAGGAUUAAUUAAAAUUUUUUGAAUUUUCGGGCACGGAAAGAGUAGUAUUAGACUUCAGAAAGCUAAGGUUGUUAUGUUAAAGAAUUGAUAUUGACAUAAUUUUAUUUUGGCUUUCGGGUAAAAAAAUAUUUGUUGACAAGCAAGAAAAUAUUUUUGUAUUUUACAAUUUAUUAUACAUAUUUGAUCAUAUUAAAGUAAUUUUAAUAAUAAAUAGACACAUAAUAUUACAAUAAAUAAAGUAAAGUUUAAAUUAUUUUGAAUAUUAUAAAAAAAUAAUUUUAAUAUUAUUAAUAGGAAGACAUUUUGUUAAUUUUAAAAUCUUUUUAACCUAAAGGUUUAUUUAAAAUCUUUAGAAAUCUCCAUCCCACAUCUACCCUAUUAAACAAGUUGAUGGAAAUUGAACAGUUGCUUUUUGAAGUGGACCCAUUGAGUUAUGUUCAUUACUGGUCAUUGUCUAUUCUUUCUAAGAGCCACUUGUUUUGAGCAUUAGCAAUCCUAUCUGGACUACUCCAAUUAUUGAUGUAACUCCAAUGGUUGCAUCGACAGUUGAAUGUAAGAUAGUGUUAGUUCUUUUUUGAGAAUUUCUUUAUUUGUUUCUCCGUUGCAGCGUAUUAGUAUAAAUUUCUUUACCUUACAGUUCCUACAGUCUUCCUGUUAAUGAAUUCGCUGAGGCAUUAUUGAUCCAAUCUCAGUGAAGUAAUUGUGGGUGAAAAAAAAAAUAAAGGAUAAGAGAACGUAGCUGAAUUGACUAUUAAAGAAGAGCGUCACCUGAUCACAAUCACAUUGAUGCACAACUCACUCAGAUCAUUACAACGUCCUUUUCGCUAAUUAAUUAUGAUUAUAUACAUUUUCAUAUGGCAAGUGGCAUUGUAGAUCUAAACUACGUUGCUAUUUCAUUACGUUAAUUAAGUGAUUCUCCUGAUUGUCAUCAGCGCUAUACCCUCUAGGAAAAUAGCUCAAUUGUUUUCCUGCAUUGAUUUUCAUUGGUAUGUGAUUUCUUAUGAAAUUCUUUUGAGCUUUCCUUAAUUAGACUUUUGAAAAUAGAAUUAAACAUUAGAUUAAAAUAAAAUAGAAUUAAACAUUGGUAUGUGAUUUCUUAUGGAAAGAGUAGUAUUAAACAUUAGAAAGCUAAGGUUGUUCUGUCAAAGAAUUGAUAUUGGCAUAAUUUUAUUUUUGCUUUCGAGUAAAAAAAAAAAAAAUUGUUGACAAGCAAGAUACUGUUUUUAUAUUUUACAGUCAGUUAUACAUAUUUUAUCAUAUUAAAGUAAUUUUAAUAAUAAAUGGAAACAUAACAUUACAAUAAAUCAAUUAAAGUUUAAAUUAUUUUGAAUAUUAUAAAAAAUAAUUUUAAUAUUAUUAAUAGGAAGAUAUUUUGUUUAUUGUAAAAUCUUUUUAACCCAAAGGUUUAUUUAAAAUCGUUAUAAUAAAUAAAAAUAUAAAAACAAAAUAAAUAUCAUAAUUUAAAAUUUUAAUAUUAUUUUAAAUAUUAAAAAUACUUUAAUGCUAUUAGUCUACUACACAGGUUAUAUUACUUAUAUUAUAUUUGUAUAAAUUAAAACUUUUAAAGUUAAAUUUUUAAUUACUAUAUUGAAAAGGUAUUAUGGUUAAAAAAAGUUUUGGCAUUUCUUUUUGAAAAUUUGAGGGUCUGCAGGACAAUUUGUCCAAAUCCUAGAGGUAUAGGUGUCUUUUUUUUUUCGAUAAUUCAUUUUACUUUUGAGGGAAUCUGAUGAGAAAUAAGAUAAGAGAAACGUCAAUUUAACGUUCUCUACGGAAAACCAAGAACUAUUCAAUUUUGUAUUUUUUGUUUGUAAAACGAAAAACAGUUUGCCAAAAAAGGUACCAAACAUAUCCUUAAUGUCUCACAUGAUUUCUUAUUAAGUCCAUACUCGAUAUAUUUAUACAUUUUAGGUAUUUUAGUUAUAAAAGAAGUUGGUCCUCCCUCUGUUUAUAAAAGGUAACUUUAUUUCGAGAUUACCACUAAAGUCUUACAAUGAAUUAGUGUAAUGUUAAGAGAGAGUAACACAAUUUUUCAUUACCAUUUUGAAAAUAGAAAGAUAUGGAUGUGUGCAUUUAAUGGUGCGUUUACUUGUCGGAUUGGGGAAUCGGAAUGAUUGAUGGUGUUUACUUCGCAAAUAUGGAGCAGGAAUCGAAAUUGAAAUGGUGGGGCCCACUACUAUUUGGGAAUGGGAGAUUGAUUCCCAUGGGGGAAGGUGUGAAUAGGGAUGGCAAAUUUUUCCGGAUCUGGCUCGGACCCGGAUAAACCCGGAUGAUCCGGUCCGGGUUGAACCCGGACGGGAUGUAUAAAAAUGCGGAAUCCGGAACCCAUUUUACAAACCCGCACAUGUCCGGGUCCAGUUCCGGUUUUAGGCGAACCCGUAUGUCCGGAAUCCGGACCCGGAUAUUUAUUAAUUUUAAUAUUAAUUUUUAAAAAAAUAUUUUUAAUAUAAAUAGAAAAAAAAAAGAACCCAGAGGUGCCCUAGGGCUUCAUUCAUUCACAGCCGCAGCAACACAUUUCCUCUCCCUCUUCAACUUGUCUUCAUCAAAUCAAAUCGUCGUCACACUCACUUGCCCACCUUCGCAGCUCAUCAUCAUCCUCAUCAGCUUGUCUUGGCGUCUUGCCCACCUUUGCGUUGCAGCUGUUCAUUAUCAUCAUCAUCAGCUUGUCUUGGCGUCUGACUCUUGCCCACCUUCGCGUCGCGGCUGUUCAUCAUCAUCAUCAACUCGUCUUGCCAACUUUUGCGGUUGUUCAUCAUCAAAUCAUCGCCGUCGUCACUUGUAUCAGCCGCCGUCACGAACAAUAACUAGCUUCGAUACAAUCAGAAGUAGCGAGCUUGCCUUCACCGGAUGCCAAUCCUUAAAGUUCGUGAAUGCCAAAUCGGUUCGAACCAAGCUUAUUUGUAUUUGGUUAGUUUAGGCCAUGGAUUUGUAUUUAAUUUGCUGAAAUCCUAGAUUUGUAUUUCCAUUUGUCAGUUGAAUUUAGUUUUUUUUUUUAAAUUAGAUUCAUCAAUCCGGGUUGGAAACCCGCAAUCCGGAAACCCGGUUUUUCCGGGUUGAAUCCGGACCGGACCCGGAGUGAAAAAAUGCGGGUUAUGUCCGGGUCCGGUAUAGAAAAAUAAUCGUCCGGGUCCGGAUCCGGAAAGGCUGAACCUGGACCCGGACCCGGACCCGGAUUUUGCCAUCCCUAGGUGUGAAUGAGUCUCCCAUUCCUGGAUUGACCAUUUUGCCCUCCCUCAAAAUUAAAAAUGCCUACUUUGUCCUCUUUUAUAAUUAAUUAAUAUAAUAUUAUAAUUAAUUAAUAUAUAAAUAUUUUAUUAACUAUAAUUAUUAAAAAUUAUAGUUCUUGAAUAAAUAAUCACAAUAAUUAAUUUAUUAUUAUUAUUGUUAUUUUAAUUAAUUAAUUAAUAUACUAUUAUAAUAAUUAUUAAUAUAAUUAAUUUAUAUAUUAUUAUUAUUAAUGAAUUAAUAUAAUUAUUACUAUUAAUUAAUAUAUUAAUAUAUUAUUAACAAUAAUAUAUUAAUAAUUAUUGUUCGUGAAUAAAUAAUCACAAUAAUUAAUAUAUUAUUAUUGUAAUUAAUUAAUUAAUAUACUAUUAUAAUAAUUAUUAAUAUAAUUAUUAUAAUUAAUUCAUAUAUUAUAAUUAAUUAAUUAAUAAAAUUAAUAUUAUUAAUUAAAUAAAUAAUAUAAUUAUUACUACUAAUUAAUAUAUUAUUAAAAAUAAUUAUUAAUAAUUAUAAUUUUUGAAUAAAUAAUCACAAUAAUUAAUAUAUUAUUUUAAUGAAGUAAUUAAUAUUAAUAUUAUUAGUUAAUAUAUUUUGAUAAUAAUUUUUAAUAUAGUUAUUAUAAUUAAUUAAAUUUUUUUACAAUUAAUUAAUAUAUUAGUUAAUAAUAAUUAUGACAAUAAUCUAUUAAGUACUUUUUAGUAAUUUAUUACAAUAUAAUUCAUUCCGAUUCCGAUUUCAAGACAAAGUAUACACAUUAAUGGCAAUCUAGCUCAUUCCGAUUUUGAUUCCUACAGUUCAAGUAAACAACUUAUUUUAAUUCCCAUUACUUAUUUCCAUUCCAGCCCAUUCUCAUUUCUGUCCAUUCCGAUUCCAGCUAAUUCCGAUUCCAGUUUAGUAAACGCAGCAUAAGAGUUAUCAUGAAAAUCAUACAAUUCAAUUUCCUGAAAUAUAUAUUUUAUUCACAUGUGCCAAAAGAAUAAAUAGAUAGAAAGUAAAUUUACAAUCCUCACUCCCUCACAAUUGUUAAAGUGAAUAUGCAUUACAACUGUGAACUGUCACUACUUUAGCCCUUUUUAAAAAAAAAAAAAAAUUAUAGUGUGAUCGAGACAGUGAACAUCAAGGAUAAAGUGCUCUGCUGGAAGCCAAACUUCCUUUGGCUUUCGGGGAAAAAAAUAUUUGUUGACAAGCAAGAAAAUAUUUUUGUAUUUUACAAUUUAUUAUACAUAUUUGAUCAUAUUAAAGUAAUUUUAAUAAUAAAUAGACACAUAAUAUUACAAUAAAUAAAGUAAAGUUUAAAUUAUUUUGAAUAUUAUAAAAAAUAAUUUUAAUAUUAUUAAUAGGAAGACAUUUUGUUAAUUUUAAAAUCUUUUUAACCUAAAGGUUUAUUUAAAAUCUUUAGAAAUCUCCAUCCCACAUCUACCCUAUUAAACAAGUUGAUGGAAAUUGAACAAUUGCUUUUUGAAGUGGACCCAUUGAGUUAUGUUCAUUACUGGUCAUUGUCUAUUCUUUCUAAGAGCCACUUGUUUUGAGCAUUAGCAAUCCUAUCUGGACUACUCCAAUUAUUGAUGUAACUCUAAUGGCUGCAUCCACAGUUGAAUAUAUGAUAGUGUUAGCUCUUAUUUGAGAAUUCAGAGGGAUAUUUCUAUGUUUCUCAAUUGCAAUGUGCUAGUAUAAAUUUCUUUACCUUACAGUUUAUAUAGUCUUGCUGUUAAAGAACUCACUGAGGCAUUAUUGAUUCAAUUUCAGUGGAGCAAUCGCGGGUAGAGGAUAAAUAAAGGAUAACAGAACAGAGCUGAAGUGCUAAAUUGGCUAUUGAAGAAGGGUGUCACAUGAUCACAAUCACAUUGAUGCACAACUCUCUGGAGGCAAAUUUUGUCUAUAUGUACUCUAAAUUCAUCUAAACCAUACAUGCAUGAACAAAAAUUAAACCGUAGUUCUCAUCACAACAGUAAUUGAAGCUACAAAAGCCAGCAAAUCUGAACAAAAACUUAAAAGGAAGAUCUUAUUCAAAUUUGUCCCCAAAAGAGAGCUGAGAUGAAAAAUAUUGACUAAUGAAUGGGUCAAUGCUGGAUACAUUUCAAAUGGAAAGCUUGGCAGCAGUUACAAUGUUUCCCCCUCAGCUUUUCCUCCAAAACAAAUUCAGUUGUAAACAAUAACCGAAGUAGAGAUAAUUCAUUCAUCAAAGAAAAUACCCAAGUUUUCAACUAACAAAUCCUCUUGUCUAAACUAAAAAAACUCGUAUCUCUAAAAUUUAUUUGCAAAAUGUUGGAAAUGAGGAGUGAUCCGUUAACUCCAUAAAUAAACUCAUGCAUAAUGUUAACAAUAAUGAUAAAUUACAUAAUAAUUAUUGUAAAGAAUUAUAAAUUGGAAACGCUAAUCAUUCUACAAUCUAAUAAAUAAGUAAGAUAAAUCUUGUAAUAAGUUAAGUUAUAAUGUAUAAAUAUUUUCAAUAUAUAAUUAUUUAAGAAGUCAUUUAAUAAUAAAAUAUUUAUUCUAUUCAGUUGAUCAUAUAGCGUUAUCUAAACUCUUGACGAUAUUAUUAUUACACUUUUCUCAAAAAAACAUGAUUAACAUUUAGAGAAAAGUCAUGCCUUUUAGAUAGAAUAUGUACAUAAGCUAUCCAUACUUUAUCUUACCAUGAAAAAAUUGAUGGUGAUUAAAUCUACUUUUAAAAUAGAUUUAAUGCACAAAUAUGAUGAUUUUUGGCAAAAAUUAGUUUCGGAAGAUACAAUGGUAGAAAAUAGUGAUGAUUAUUGUUUAAAUGUGUAAAUAGCCUAGGCAUAGCCCGUAAUACCAAUAUCCAUUUACCUUCAUUUAGAUUAUCACAUCUCAUAAUAUUUUUUCAUUCACGACCAUUGUUCGAGAUUUGAACUUGAUCAUAAAUUAAGCUGCAACGGAGUCUACUUAUGUUUCUAAGCUUUUCAAUCGCGAUUCCUCCAUGCCUUUCUUGGAUACCAUUUUACUGACCUUGUAAUUGGUGUGUAUAAGGAAUCAUGCCCUUUCAGGAUUGUUUUCUUUUUCUUUUUUUUUUCCUUAUUGUAGUGUCAAAUAAAUAAAGAACGAACAAUUGAACUUAGUCUAUUUCGAGGAAAACCAAGGCCUGCAAUAUUAGAUGAACUUUGAACAAAAUUAAUCUACUGCUUUUAGGCAAUGAUAACGUAGUUAUUUAUAUACAGUAUAAAUGAUAUUUUUUUGUCGAACGAGACUGUCAUUCAACAUUUAAAAUAUAAAACAUGUGGAAGAUGUUGUAAAUUGAUUGAAUGAAAAUAUCCCAAUGAAGUUUAGAAAAUUUGGUACUUGUUAUCUUAUCGAAAGUUUUCUAAAUUAUACGACUGUUUAAACUUAGCCCCUCCAGGUACUGCCACUUCUUCUACAUGAAAGUCAUAUAAGUUUGUGUUAGCUGCCUAUAGAUUGCAUAACAAUUUUCCUCAGGAAUUGUUGUCCAUUAUGGCAAUUUGAUUGAAAGUGCGGCUGCACUAAUUUUCUAGAUGAACUUCCCUGCAUGUUUGUUCUCAUAUGACCCAGAAUACUGCUAUAACAAUUGUGUUGGAAAUUAUUCAACUGGGUUACUAACUUACUAUUCUACAUCCCCACCAAAAUUUAAACAGUCGACAUUGUGGAAAGAAACACAUUUCGCCACUAGGCUUUUAGUGAGGCUAAUUUCUCUGAAUUUGGACAGAGUAGGUCCUCCAACGAGAACUGAAUCAGGACGAAUCGGCUCUCCAUUUUCUAAUUCGAACGAGCAAAGGAAGCCUGAAUCUGUGACCGUUAUCAAUAUUCUGCUUCCAUUCUGAUUCUCAGGAAGUACUUCUUCAAGAUCAUCCAAUACAUCGUCACCCUCUUUGUAGUAAUCAUCAAGCACAACAAAGUACUUCUUGUUUGUUAGGUAAUCUCGAAGAAUAGAUUUCUUCAAUUGAUAAUCUUCACCGAUAAUUAAUCUUCAAUUGAUCAUAAAUUAAGCUGCAACGGAGUUUACUUAUGUUUCUAAGCUUUUCAAUCGUCAUUCCUCCAUGCCUUUCUUGGAUACCAUUUUACUGACCUUGUAAUUGGUGUGUAUAAGGAAUCAUGCCCUUUAAGGAUCUUUUUUAUUUUUUUUUUUCCUUAUUGUAGUGUCAAAUAAAUAAAGAACGAACAAUUGAACUUGGUCUAUUUCGAGGAAAACCAAGGCCUGCAAUAUUAGAUGAACUUUGAACAAAAUUAAUCUACUGCUUUUAUUCAUCUUUGGACUAUGAAUUUAUACAAAGACUUUAACAGAAAAUAACAAAGACACAGCUACAUGAUACCAAUAAGUGCUGACUUAGUGGACUACUUCUACAACUAAAUAAAAACUAAUUAUUUAUUUUGAUUGUAAUAGCAACUACCCUGAUGAAUAGGACUCCACAACAACCACGUGACAAUUAAUUUCUCCUUAAUAUUAUUAUUAGUAGAAGUAGAUUUUCAAACUAGUCUUGAUAUAUGACAAAGUUGUAUUAUCAAUGUAUAUGCAUUUAGAUUGUAACUAUAUUUUUUUUAAAACAAAUUUAAUUAUUGCACAGUAAAUGUGGAAAAAUAUCUAUAAAAUAAUAUUAUUUACUAUGAAAAAAUAUUAUUUUAGAUAAGUUAUUUAUUUAUUUAUUAUUGAAUGAAUAAUUUAUUAAUUUAUUGAUAAAUGAAUAUUUAUUAAUUUAAAGAGAGAUUAUUUUUCUUUUAAGAAGAGUUUGUUUGGUACAUGUAUACACUUAUUAAUUUAUUGAAGAUGUCCAGCAAUUAAAGAUCUCUGUCUCAAUACUUUUCCCAAUCAAAAUCAAGAAACAAAAAAAAACUUGCCAUUUUUCUACUUGAUAAUUAAUUGAAAUUUAAGAAAAUACAAUGGCAUUUCAAUUAGAAUUGGUAAUUGUUUAUCUUUUUUUCAUUGAUCAAAUUCAAAUCUUUAUCCAAUAGUUAUAAAUGAAAGAAAUAUUAUGAGAGGAGAUAGGCCAAUUGAAGCCGUACCAGCAAAUAAAAAAUAGAAAAGGAGUGCAACUAUUCAACUUCGUAGACAAUAUUGCAACCAUCCAAAGGUGAAGAUCUAUGCUUAUUAUCUAUUUAACAGCUAUAUAUAUAUAUAUUUAAAUAUCAAGAGCUAUGCUUGUAAAUAAGUUCAAAUGUGAUGAGAACAACCUUAUAUUUAUUUAUUUAAAUAUGACCCAGGCUAAUUUCUCUGAAUUGGGACAGAGUAGAUUUCUAAGCUAAUGCUUGGCAGAUCUCUGGACGAUACUACAAAGUGCAUGUACAUUGAGUCUUAAUAAAUAUAAACGAUUCUCUGAUAUGAUUCAAAACAUCACUACAUGCAUAAAUUAAUAAGAAAUGUAUAGUUGUACAUAAUUUUAUGCAUGAGGCAGUUUUUAUAGUUGUACCCUCUCUAAUGAAAUUGAAGGUGCAGCCAGCAACUAAAAUGAAGCAGAAAUGUACACGCAUGAGGCAGUUUUUUUAGAAGAUUGAUAUUUCUUUAACUAGAAAGCCAUACAAGUCCACAGCUAGCCAAACCGUACCUGCAUGUGUCUAGGGCUUAAAUGGAGCACUUCUAAGCAUAAAACAGUAACUAAAACACAUACACAAACAUACAUACCAAAAAAUUCAAAAAAUAGAGAAAGGAACACAACUAUUCAUGUUUGUAGACAAUAUUGCAACCAUGGCAUCAGUUAUAGCAAAUAUUGAAUUACAAUAUUUCCCUUGACGAUUUUGUCUACACAAGUAAAGGGAAAUAAGAAUCAUAGAUGAAAAUCAACUUUUACGGUUCUAAUUAUUAGAUAGAUACAGAAUGAUCUAUCUUUGUUACUUUGUUUCUCUGCUGCAAUGUGCGAUCCCACUCUGUUUUGAUACUCAAAUUGACUCUAUGUGGAGACAUAAUUUUGACAUUGGAAGCAAUCCCAAUUAGUUUGGCAUUUGUAUCACCCUUUGAAGGUUUUACAAUAGAUGCAAAUCUACUGAGAAAAUGGUAAAAAAGUUGCAUAUAAAAUGAGGCAAUUAACAGAAGUAUGAGUUAUCAGAUUAGAUUAAAAGUCACCCAAUUCAAUCUAUCAGAUUCCGUACGGAUAUAACUGGAUGUCAUACCUCCACUCCAUAUCCUCGAAAGUCCGUAGUCUUUGUCUCAACUCUGUUUGAGGCCAAUGUAAAUCCAAUUUGCACAAGCUCUUUAUGCACCAUAGCUCUUCUGGAAGCUUUCUCAAGUAAGCACACGGGUUGACAAUUAAGCUUUCAAGUUUUGGCAUAGCUCCUGCCCCCAUCGUCCACUCGUCUAGCCAAUACAUUGACUUCAGGUGCAAAGUCUUAAGUUCCGGAAAGCCACCAGAGCUAACGCAGGCCAGCUUUCUUCCUAAAUACGAGUUCUGCUUUAGUUUCAGCACUUGAAGGCGUGGAAGCUUUUCCAGCAUUGGCAUGGGAUCCUCCAUUAGCUCAGUAUUUGAUAAGCUCAGUUGCAUCAGACUUGGAGGAAAUUGGUAUUCAGACAGGACCAUCCGUGAGAGCUUGCUCUCAUUCACCAACUUCAAGCAUUCAAUUUUGUGGAGUUCGCAUACGCUUUUGGAAACCCCAGAGUGAUAGCAACUCAAAUCUCCAGACACUCUAAGAGUUUGAAGAUUAGGUAGUCUGCACAAUAUAUCUGGCGUGCAACUACUAGGGUGUAAGGCUGAUAUGAAAAUAAGAUUUUUCAGAUUGAUAGAAUAAUUUUUUGGAGGUGCAGGCAGAGUGAUGGAACCAAAGUUCAGAUGCAUGAGUUUUUGCAUCUUCCAAAUAUCCUCUGGUGUUUGAUCUACGUAGCUAGAUGGCAUGUCUAGUGUUUGAAGGUUUGAAAGGGUGCAUAGCGGUGAAGGAAGACAUUUGAGCGAAGGGAUAUUCAAUUUCAAAUACUUCAAAUGGAAUAAAUUUUCUAAUCCGGGUGGAUAUUGGUCCAGGACUGCAGAACCCAUGUUCAAUACCCGAAGGUGUUUGAACAUUUUACAAAAAUUCUCGCAAUCUAUCGGAUUAAGAUGAUCGCUUUCUGAACUGUGAUUCAGAAAAGAUUGGAGAUACAUGUCCGAAUGUUUCAAAGAAAAGAAUUCAAUCGGAUCAUCGAAAAUGAUGUACCGUUUGGCAUUUGCCAAUGAUUCCUCUUCGAAGUCAGGCGUCCGGACAAAUCCCAUCAUUGCUGCCGUCCCAAGUAACGCAGCAUAUGCAAAAGUUGGAACAUAACUGAUGGGUGUCGAAGCCAACAAAAAUAAAUUCCUACUCUAAAUAAAUUGUGUAUAGUGAUUGAGCAGGGUCGUGUCCACAGAGAUCGGUAAUUAUUUAAAUCCUUUUGAAACGUAAAACGUAAAAUGGGGGAAUUGUAGACAAUAAUAAAAAUCAAAUUAAAUAACAAGAAUGCAAAUUAAAGUUGUAAUUCAAAUUGGAGAAAGCUCUGGUUGAAGGAAUUAACUAAGCUUGAUUCGACUACUGAUCAUUGAUUCAAAUAUAGAUUAUUAUUACUCAUGAAUAGACCGGUUAUAGCUAUUGAGACCCUCUAAUAGCCAAUCUCUCCUUAACUAGUCGAUAACCAAGGUACGACCGUUGGAUAUUUCCCUAAUCAAUAGACAACCCUAGAUACGAUCAUAUGAUUUAAUCAAUUGACAGCCUGAAAAAUCAGAGAGACCCAAAUCCUAAUUAACACAUAUGAUGAUUCAUUUAAAUUAGAUUGUUUAUUCUCACAACACAACUCUCUGCUAUGUUAUUUGUCACAAACAUCAAAUUCUUCAUACGAUGAAUCCUUUAAUUGACAAUAGAUUAAGUUGAUAAUUAAAUAGUGGCCAAUUACCUAAUUAACAAACAUAAUCAUAAAAAUAAUUCAGAGAAUAAACAAAUACCCAAAAAGUAAUAAAACAAUUAAAGCACAAGAAAGAUCUCACAGUAGUGAUGAAUCAAAGCUUCAUUAACCUUCAACCAGAAAAAUGGGUUUAGUUCCUCAUAGAGAGAAUAGAAAAAUUAGAUCUAGGGUUCUUUUUCUCCAAUCCAAAAAUCCCCCUUUUUCACAAUAGAUUCUUCCCUUAAAUACUCUCUCUCUCUUCUCUUUUAGAAUUCUAUUUAAAAUAAAAUACUAAUAUCUGAAAUAUUAAAUUCGUAAUUACAAAAAUAACCAAAAAUACAAAACACGUUAAACUAAAAACUGCAGGUCCGCAGUUGACAGCACGCGCCCACGCCUUAUCAACAAAGUUCUUCUGACGCUCAUAAUUUCUCCAAGAGAACAAUCCUCCUUAAACAUCAUCUUUUAGCUCAAUUUUAUCACCAAUCAAUAGAAUUGCACCUACAAAAGUAAAACACAAGUAAAACAUUAUUAUUAAAUGCAAAACAUCGAUAUUAAGGGAAGUAAAUAAUGCAAAACUAGUGCAUAAAUUGCACUCUAACAAUAACACGCCUUACUUGUGCCUCCGGCUCUUCUCUUAUUCACUUGAAUGAAGCCGCAAUCGAUUAGUUCGUUCAAGUAAUGCUCGGCAGUUUCCUCACUGUUGUAUGGUGUGAAACCUUCAGCUACCCACAACUGAUAUAAUUGCCUGGUAGAUAUCUCAAUGCCUGGAUGGAACACACACAAAUAGAGGCAGCAGAUUUUCAAGUGAGCAGAUAGCUCCAACACAUAAUAAAUUCGACUCCAAGUUGUCAGAAACGCUUUUUCUCCCAUGUAAAUUCUUAAUGUCGUUUUUCCAUAGUAUAGGAUGAAAAAUUGCCAGGAUUCAUGCUUUAAUCUGAUCAAUGGUCCUCCAACGAGAACUGAAUCAGGACGAAUCGGCUCUCCAUUUUCUAAUUCGAACGAGCAAAGGAAGCCUGAAUCCGUGACCGUUAUCAAUACUCUGCUUCCAUUCUGAUUCUCAGGAAGUACUUCUUCAAGAUCAUCCAAUACAUCGUCACCCUCUUUGUAGUAAUCAUCAAGCACAAUAAAGUACUUCUUGUUUGUUAGAUAAUCUUGAAGAAUAGUUUUCUUCAAUUGAUAAUCUUCACCGAUAACUACACUAACCCGAGAUGGAGGCAUUACAGACUUGAUUAUGUCAUCCAAUAUCAUGCGAAAAUCGUAGGAUAUAGAAACCCUGACCCAAGCAUGACAGUCAAAAUAGAACUUGACAUGAUUAUUAUUGUAAGUAUCAGCCGCAAAAGCAGUCUUAUCAAAGCCACUGCUGUCGAGAAUUGCAACCACUGAAAGCUGAGGUUGUCCCUCGAUCAGUAAAUCAAACAACUCCUCUCUGCCGCUUUCAAAUUCAUUCUUAUUAAGCUGAAAUAAUAUCAACUUCGCUCUUUGAAAUCAAAACCAUUGUCUCUAGGUGGAAGUUGUUUCAACUGAUUUCUAAUAUCAAUGAUUUUACUGUGGAAUCCAACAAGAAGAGCAAUGCAAGUAGUGCUUUCACUUUCACUGCUUUGUUGCUGCGUGUUGUUGAUGAAGAAUGUGUCAAUAGCUUUCUCAGAUUCAUCGACAAAGUAAUUGAUGUCUUUCAGAAGUUCCCUAAUGUCUGUUCUUUUAACAUUUUCUAAGUGCAAGAGCUGCCGAUAACGCGAAGGUAUUUCGUCUUCAUCGAAUUGUUCUCUAAUGAGUUGAAUUAAAACCCGAGCCAUGUCAGCUUCAUAGUUUCCCGGCAGACUAGUAGCAAUAAUUUCGGACUCCGUAAGAAGGUUUUGAAAAAGUGGAGUUAAAUUUGUUGAAUCAGGCAAAGUUAACGUGCCUUCUUCACCUGCUAACACCCUCUGCAACCUCACACCAAAUAGGGUGAGGUUAAUUUCCAUAUCUUUCCCUCUCUCAGUAGUACUCAGAGGUGAAUAACAACCUCACCCUUUGUUAGUAUUGAUGACGAAAGCUGAAUAACAAAACAACAGUGUACACAAUCAACAGAAGGCAAAGUAUGUUAAUUUGAGAUCAAAGGAUAUAAAUAUAGGAAAAGUUUUUGUAGAUUGAAAAUGGAUGGAUGCAAAGAAUGACUGAUAUUAAAUGAUUCUAUAAAUGAGAUAUGCCAAGAAUGAAUGAUAUUAAGUGAACAUCAAGGAUGGGAACAAAAUUUAAAGGUAACCUUUUUUUUUUUUUAAGUACUCUGUUGAAAGCCAAAGUUCCUUUGGCCAAUUAAUUUAGAAGUGAAGGAAAGAAUAAAGUUAGUCCUUGAUGUCUUUUGAAAUUAGAAAUACAUUUUGAAUGCCUUAAUAGAUGCAGAGCAAACUGGCUCGAUAUCUAACUAUUUUAAGAGCUAAAAUCAUUUAUUAGAAGUUGUAGCAUUAAAAAAAAUGGGCUUGAUAUCCAAUUUUGUUAUUGAAUAUGUCUCACGUGAGAGUAUAUAACUGUUGUGUUACUGGCAGAUGGCUAUGCUAGGUUUUAUUGCUCCUUGAAUUUGAUUGAAAAAUUAUUGAGACGGACAAGUUUGGACCAUUGUUCGAGACUGAAACUACACAUCAGUCUUAGAAAAUUGUAAUUUUAUUGGCUUAUCAUGAUUUUCAUCGCCCCAUAUUGAUUUUCCUAUGAUGUCUCUGUAGAGUGGCUAUGCUUACAUUUUUAGGUAUUUACUUCUAAAGGUUAACUUAUUAGAUGGAGGGACCAAUUCUACCCAUAAAUCCAAGUGGCUUCCCUUUACUAACUCAUAUGAGACACAACAAUAAUUUUCUUUGGACAAAACCACUGUUGGAGGGUUAUUUUCAUUCAAGAUACAUGAGUUGUUCCACCACCAUAUUUUGAGGGUUUGCUUUGGAUAUGACUUGGGGGAGCUAAGGCUAAGAUUUCUGAGUAGCAACAUAAAAACCUUGCCUAUUGGAUGGAAGGACCAAUCCUACUUUAAAGUCUAAAUGACUAAUUCUUGAGGACACAACUCAACAGACCAAUAUAAACUUUUGACGUCCCAUUUUAUUACUUUCCAGUGCUUUUACUUUUGCUGUCUAGAUAAAAACUAGUAUCAGUUUUUUUAUUUUUCCAUGUUAAAAAUGAUAAUUCUACAAUACAAACCGUUUCAAACAAAGAAGUAGACGAUAUUGAUAUUGAAUAAUAUCUUAUCCCAGAACGACAAUACUAAUUAUAAUUUCUUUUCGCACUGCAAAAAGUAAAAAAUGAGAUCCAAAUUGAAAUUAAUUCGACAAAGAAGCAAACAUUUCUAAGAACAUAUUUUAUACAAGUUUAUAGACAUAUCAUAUGGAUUUUGUUUUAUGCUAGAUAAUUAUUAAUUUAUAUAGCAAGUGGGUCCAUAACAAAAUAUGAAUUUAAGAAGAAGAAAAACUAUGUUUUACAAAAUUUCUGAAAUUAUUAACUUUUCACUUCGUCCAUCACAAAAAUUAUUAUUUAAUUCAGAUUAUCAAUUUAUUAAGAAUUAAUUCAAUGAGAUUUUAACAUAAAUAGUUACUUAUUAUCAUGUUUACGUUUCUCAACCAUUAAUUGCUUCAACUAAUUUUUGUUUCCACACACAAAUUUAUUGUAAAAAUAGUUCAACGUGUGUCUUUCUUCAAAUAACAAUUUUCUUGCCAAAAACAGUUUUCUUGUCACAAACAGAAAGUUUGUGUUAGCUGAAUGUCAUAUAAAAAACUGCCACUUCUUCUACAUGAAUGUCAUAUAAAUUUGUGUUAGCUGCCUAUAGAUUGCAUAAUAAUUUUCCUCAGGAAUUGUUGUCCAUUAUGGCAAUUUGAUUGAAAGUGAGGCUAAUUUCUCUGAAUUUGGACAGAGUAGGUCCUCCAGCGAGAACUGAAUCAGGACGAAUCGGCUCUCCAUUUUCUAAUUCGAACGAGCAAAGGAAGCCUGAAUCUGUGACCGUUAUCAAUACUCUGCUUCUAUUCUGAUUCUCAGGAAGUACUUCUUCAAGAUCAUCCAAUACAUCGUCACCCUCUUUGUACUAAUCAUCAAGCACAAUAAAGUACUUCUUGUUUGUUAGGUAAUCUCGAAGAAUAGAUUUCUUCAAUUGAUAAUCUUCGCCGAUAAUUACACUAACCCGAGAUGGAGGCAUCACAGACUUGAUUAUGUCAUCCAAUACCAUGCGAAAAUCGUAGGAUAUAGAAACCCUGACCCAAGCAUGACAGUCAAAAUAGAACUUGACAUGAUUAUUGUUGUAAGUAUCAGCAGUAAAAUCAGUCUUAUCGAAGCUACUGCUGUCGAGAAUUGGCUUGCAACCACUGAAAGCUGAGGUUGUCCCUCAAUCAAUAAAUCAAACAACUCCUCUCUGCCGCUGUCAAAUUCACUCUUAUCGAGCUGUGAUUGUGCCUCAAUCAAUAAGUGAGUGAAUUCGUUCCUUCGUUCUCUGAAAUCAAAACCAUUGUCUUCAGGUGGAAUUUGUUGCAACCGAUUUCUAAUAUCAAUGAUUUCACUGCUUUGCUGCUGCGUGAUGUUGAUGAAGAAUGUGUCAAUAGCUUUCUCAGAUUCACGGACAAAGUAAUUGAUGUCUUUCAGAAGUUCCCAAAUGUCUGUUCUUUUAGCAUUUUCUAAGUGAGCUGCCGAUAACGCGAAGGUAUUUCGUCUUCAGCGAAAUGUUCUCUAAUGAGUUGAAUCAAAACCCGAGCCACGUCAGCUUCAUAGUUUACCAGCAGAGUAUUAGCAAUAAUUUCGGUCUCCGUAAGAAGGUUUUGAAAAAGUGGAGUUAAAUUUGUUGAAUCUGGCAGCGGCAACGUGCCUUCUUCACCUGCUAACACCCUUUUCAACCUCACACCAUAUAGUGUGAGGUUAAUUUCCAUAUCUUUCCCUCUCUCAGUAGUACUCAGAGGUACGUAUUGUUAUUUGUUAGUGUUGAUGACGAAAGCUGAAUAUCAAAGGAUAUAAAUAAAACAAAAGUUUUUGUAGAUUGAGAAUGGAUGGAUGCAAAGAAUGGCUGAUAUUAAAAUAUUCUAUAAAUGAGAUAUGCAAAGAAUGAAUGAUAUUAAGUGAACAUCAAGGAUGGGAACAAAAUUUAAAGGUAACUUUUUUUUUUUUUUAAAGUAGUCUGUUGAAAGCCGAAGUUCCUUUGGCCAGUUAAAGUUAGUCCUCGACGUCUUUUGAAAUUAGAAAUACAUUUUGAAUGCUUUAAUAGAUGCAGAGCAAACUGGCUCGAUAUCUACCUAUUUUAAGAGCUAAAAUCAUUUAAUAGAAGUUGUAGCAUUAAAAAAGAAAAAAAAAACUGGCUUGAUAUCCAAUUUUGUUAUUGAAUAUGUCUCAUGUGAGAGUAAAAAAAACUGGCUUGAUAUCCAAAAUUUAAAGGUAACUCCUUGAAUUUGAUUGAAAAAUUAUUGAGACGGACAAGUUUGGACCAUUGUUCGAGACUGAAACUACACAUCAGUCUUAGAAAAUUGUAAUUUUGUUGGCUUAUCAUGAUUUUCAUCGUCUCACAUUGAUUUUCCUAUGGCGUCUCUGUAGAGUGGCUAUGCUUACAUUUUUAGGUAUUUAAUUCUAAAAAUUAACUUAUUAGAUGGAAGGACCAAUUCUACCUGUAAAUCCAAGUGGCUUCCCUUUACCAACUCAUACAAGACACAACAAUAAUCUUCUUCGGAAAAAACCACCGUCGGAGGGUUAUUUUCGUUCAACAUAAAUGAGUUGUUCCGCCACCAUAUUUUAAAGGUUUGCUUCUAAUACAACUUGGGGGAGCUAGGGCUAAGAUUUCUAAGAAUCAACAUAAAACCCUCGCCUAUUAGACAGAAGGACCAAUCCUACUUAUGAGUCUAAAUGACUAAUUUUUGAGGACACAACUCAACAGACCAAUAUAAACUUUUGACGUCCCAUUUUAUUACUUUCCUGUGUUUUUACUUUUGAUGCUGUCUAUAGCCCUACUAUUCUAUUAAGCAGAAAAUAUUUCAAGGCACUCUCGGUCCAGUAGAUAACUUUGGUAUUUAUUAUCUAUUUUCUUUCCAUUUUAUGUAUACCCCGAUCUUUACCUCUGAUUGGUUGUAGAUUCUUUUGUUGCUUUGGGGUUAGGGGAUGGUUUUCAUAACUAUUCAGUUGAUCAAUGCAGAAAAUCACCAUCAAGAAAUGAUAAAGGAUUGUUAGUUCUAUCUCUGACAAACAACAUUAAUAUGAAGGAUGAUGAUUGUUCUGUUCAAGAGUUUAUAAUGACAUAAUUCUACUUUGGUCUUUUAAAAAAAGUAAUUUAGAAACGAGGAGUAUGUGAGUGAUGAUUUUUACAAAAUAAAUUACAUGCGUAGUGAUGAUUUUGGCACAUGAAAAUGAAAAAAGAAAUAUAAAUUGUGAAUAAUAAUUGAAGAACCUGCUAUUGGUAUAUUGAGUAAUCAAGGACUUCAAUAUUCGGACGAUAUAAGCAACACAAUCAAAUAUUAGUUGGAAGGCAUAGCAAAAUUAGAAUGUAGAACAAACUGGGUAUUGAUAAAUGGAUGGUUUUGGAAGAAUUGAAAAUGAUGGCAUAAGUAAACCAAAGUUUAGAGAAAAGAGAAAGAGCAUUUGAACUUUACUUGUAAGAAAAGGCAAAUAUCUUGGUUCAAGAAAAGAUAAGAGAUAUCAAACUAGCAAUAGGAAAAAGGAGGAAGGUUAAGACAGCAUCUUAACAAAAGCUAAAGAAAAGAAAAACUUAGUUCAAGCAAAGAACAAUGUGCUAAUGUCGUGUAAUUUUGUUUAAUUUCUUUUUCUUCUCACAUUUUCCAGGGCUUAAAUAAUACAAUAUACAUUUUCAAGCAAAGAACAAUAUGCAAUUGCAGUACUUCUGAGCACACAACAACAAAUAAAUAAUACAAUAUACAUAGCCAGUAAAUUAAAAAUAUAUAUAUUAUUCAAGUUUGUGGACAAUACUGUAGCCAUGGCGUCGUCGAAAUCUACUGACAGCUGAAACAAAGAAAGAAUGGAUGAAUGCUGGAUCACAGUUGAAAUUGAAGGUCUGGUAGGUGAUGUUUCCCUCUCUUUUUUUACCUAAACAAAUACAAGAAAAUCAGAAUCACAAAUGAAAAUCUGCUAUUACACUGUUCUUACCUAUUAAAAUACAGAGGUUUCUUUGUUUCUCAGCAGCAAUGUCCAUGGCUAUUAGAAACAAGAACAAUUAGACCAGCAUUUGCAAGAAUCCUGUAAGGUAUUACUGCAGAUAUAAAUCGACUGAGGAAAUGGAAAAAUUGAAUACCAAAUUAGGCAAGUUAAAUGAAGAUUGAGUUAUCAUAGAAGAAUAAAACUCAUCCAAUUCAAUCCAUCAAAUUCCAUAAGGAUACAACUGGAUGUCAUACUGCUGCUCCAUAUCCUCAAGAGCCCGUAGAUUUUGCCUCAACUCUGGCUGAGGCCAAUGUAAGUCCAAUUUGCAAAAGCUCUUUAUGCACCAUAGCUCUUCAGGAAGCUUUCUCAAGUAAGCACAAGGGUUGACAAUUAUGCUUCCAAGUUUUGGCAUUGCUCCAGCCCCUAUCGUCCACUCCUCUAGCCAAUACAUUGAUUUCAGGUGCAAUACCUUGAGCUCCGGGAAACCACAAGAGCAAACACAAGCCAGUUUUCUUCCUGAAUAUGAGUUCUGCUUCAAUUUCAGCACUUGAAGGUGUGGAAGCUUGUCUAGUGUUAGCAUGGUAUCCUCCAAUAACUCAGUAUUUGAUAAGCUUAGAUGGAUCAGACUUGGAGAAGCUGGUAUUUAGACAGGGCCAUCCGAGAGAGCUACCACCUCUUGGUUUCGUUCACCAGCUUCAAGCAUUCAAGUUUAAUAAUGAUUAGUUUUAGAUUAGUUAAAAUGUAAUCAUGAUUAAGAUAAAUAUAUAUAUAUAUAUAGCUGCUGUACUGAUAUCAUGGAUUAAGUGUUGAGAAAUAAAAUUCAUUAAGCAUUUCCAGAACUCUUGAUUUUCUUUCUCAGUAACCAAGCAACUUCAAUCACAUUUUUUUUUUCCAACAAUGAGUUCUCAAACCACUCAGGUAUCAUUUUCAGACAUUCUUGGCCUUGUACUCACCAUCAAAAUGGAUUGGUUGAGAGAAAACAUAGGCAUAUUGAUGGUUGUCGAAGCCAGCAAAAAUAAACACCUACUCUAAAUAAAUUGUGUAUAGUAAUUGAGCAGGGUCGUGUCCACGAAAAUCGGUAAUUAUUUAAAUCUUUUUAAAAUGUAAAAUACAAAAUGGGGGAAUUGUUGACGAUAAUAAAAAUCAAAUUAAAAUAACAAGAAUGCAAAUUAAAGUUGUAAUCCAAAUUGGAGAAAGCUCUGGUUGAAGGAAUUAACUCAGCUUGAUUCGACUACUGAUCAUUGAUUCAAAUAAAUAUUAUUACUACUUAUGAAUAGACCGGUUAUAGCUACUGAGACCCUCUAAUAGCCAGUCUCUCCUUAACUAGCCGAUAACCAAGGUACGACCUUUGGUUAUUUCCCUAAUCAAUAGACAACCCUAGAUACGAUCAUAAGAUUUAAUCAAUUGACAGUCUGAAAAACCAGAGAGACCCAAAUCCUAAUCAACAAACACAUACGAUGGUUCAUUUAAAUUAGAUUGUUUAUUCUCACAACACAACUCUCUGCUAUGUUAUUUGUCACAAACAUUAAAAUUUUCAUACGAUGAAUCCUUUAAUUGACAUUAGAUUAAGUUGAUAAUUAAAUAGUGGCCAAUUAUCUAAUUAACAAAAAUAAUCAUGAUAAUAAUUCAGAGAAUAAACAAAUACCCAAAAAGUAAUAAAACAAUUAAAGCAUAAGAAAGAUCUCACAGUAGUGAUGAAUCAAAGCUUCAUUAACCUUCAACCAGAAUAAUAAGUUUAGUUCUUCAUAGAGAGAAGAGAAAAAUUUAGAUCUAGGGUUUUCUCUUUUCCCCAAUAAGUCCCUUUUUUCACAAUAGAUUCCUCCCUUAAAUACUCUCUCUCUCUUCUCCUCUAGAAUUCUAUUUAAAAUAAAUACUAAUAUCUGAAAUAUUAAAUUCGUAAUUACAAAAAUAACCAAAAAUACAAAACACGUUAAACUAAAAACUGCAGGUCCGUAGUUGACAGCACAAGCCCACGCCUUAUCAACAAAGUUCUUCUGACGCUCAUAAUUUCUCCAAGAGAACAAUAAUCCUUAAACAUCAUCUUGUAGCUCAAUUUUAUCACCAAUCAAUAGAAUUGCACCUACAAAAGUAAAACACAAGUAAAUCACUAUUAUUAAGUGCAAAACAUCGAUAUUAAGGGAAGUAAACAAUGCAAAACUAGUGCAUAAAUUGCACUCUAACAAUUAAGUUUGACUCUGUUGGCUCAAGCUCAACUUCCUUUUAAAUUCUGGUGGGAUGCAUUCCAUACUGCUCUAUAUCACAUCAAUAGAUUACCAUCUUCUGUUUUCAAACUUUCGACCCCAUAUGAGAAGAUAUUUAAGCACAAACCUGAUUAUGAUUUUCUCAAAUGUUUUGGUUGUAUUUGUUAUCCUUACUUGAGAGACUAUAACAAACAUAAGUUUGCCUACCAUUCCAGUAAGUGUAUAUUCAUUGGUUAUAGUCCUUCACAAAAGGGUUAUAAAUGCUUACAUUCUUCAGGUCAUGUCUAUGUGGCAUGACAUGUUAUCUUUGAUGAGUCAACCUUUCCUUAUGCUACUGAAUCUGUUUUUCAUAGUCACACAAAUUCUGAUUCUCAUUCUUCAAACUUAUUUACUCCACAGCAUGUCUAUUAUCUUUCUACUUUACCUGUCAUACCAGUAUUUCUAAAUAACAACACUGAUAAUCUAAACUCUACAAAACUAAAAUGCCAGCUUUUUGGUGUUAGCGAUAGGAAACAACUUACCACAACCAUUAAUUAUCCAUAAUUUCAUUGUUUAUCCUCAGUUUUCUUCAUAAAUGUUACAGCAUUCUUCAUGAGAAAGUGCAAGGGCAUCUCAAAAGUUCUGAAAUAAUACCUCAAUUCUAUUGCAAAAAUAAAUAAUCUCAAACAAGAACCAAUAAUCAUAUUUCGUUACUGUCAAACACAAUGCAUCUGAGCAAAACAUUGGAAGCCAACACCAGAAUACAUAUGAAUAAACAAUUAAAGAUAGAGAAAAAAGGCUUAAACCUUGGGGGAAAAAAGUGAAAAAACAUGAAAGACAAAUUACACAUGUGCAGUAACCAUCGAACUUAUCAGUGACAGCUGCAUCCAUUACAUUGCUCCAACAACACAAUGGCAAACCACCAGUUUCAAAUUGAGGAUAGCUCUCGAGAAUGAGAAAGUGUCCAAAACGUCAUAAAUAGACAUGUUCCUAUUGUGCAUAAUUUACAUUAUAGGCAAAUAUUCUUAUACCAUCAAAGGCAAAACAUGACACUAACAAUUGGGAAUCCACUCCCCCCUUUUCCUUUUUUACCCUCAUAAUUAAAAUAAAUAAAUAAUAUUUAAUAAAAUAAAUAAUAUCAUAUUUAUUAAAAAUAAUAAUUAUAAACAUAUUUAUUUUAUUAAAUUUAAUAAAAUAAAAAUAAAUAAAUAUUAUAUUUAAAUUAAUAAUAUUAAACAUUAUUUUAAUAAAUAUUAAUUAAUUAUUUAAUUAAUAAUAAUAAAUAUUUUAUUCUAAGAAAAUAUUAAUUUUGUACUAUAUUAUCAAUAAUAAUGUUUCAUUUGUGUUGCUAUUAUUAAUAAUUUUUAUUCACAUAAUUUAAAUUAAAAUUAAUAAAAAAUUAUGAUUUACAUAAUUAAGAAUAUUAUUAAUUAUUAUUAAUUUAUAAAUAUAAUAAAAUAUUUAUUUUAUUUUUCAAAUAUAUUUUUUAUUAAUUUUGUAAUUACAAAUUAUAAUUCUUUAAAUAAGGGUAAAAUUGUAAUUUAAAACUAUUUACUUCCAAUCCAAGACAAUGUAAACACAUAAAUUGGAUUCUGGUUUCAAUUCCAUUCUCUCAUUCCAUUGUAAGUAAACAACCUACUCCAACUCCCACUCCAAACUCCCAAUCUUAGGAUUCCCACUCCUCAGGAUUCCCACUCCAAUCCAAAAUGUAAACGCAUAUAAAAGUAUUUUGAGCAUUACUGGUCAUUGUCUUUCUAUGAGCCACUUAUUUUGAGCAUUAGCGACCUUAUAAGGAAUCAUGCCUUUUCAGGAUCGUUUUCUUUCAUUUCCCUAUUGUCGUAGUUAAUUAAAUAAAGAACGAACAGCUGAACUUGGUCUAUUUCGAGGAAGACCAAGGCUUCCAAUACUAGAGGAACUUUGAAGAAAAUUAAUUGGAAGCCUUCAUUCAUCUUUGAAGAAAAUUACGUGCCAACGUAACCAAGGCUUUUAUUCAUCUUCGGACUAUGAAUUUAUACAAAGACAUUAACAGAAAAUAACAAAGACACAGCUAAAUGAUAGCAGCAAGUGCUGAUUUAGUGAACCACUUUUACAAGUAAAUAAAAAGUAAAUAUUUAUUUUGACUAUAACAACAACUACCCUCUUGAAUAGGACUCUACAGCAGCCACGUGACAACUAAUUUUUCCAUAAUAUUAUUAUUAGUAGAAGUAGAUUUUCAAACUAGUCUUGAUAGAUUUCAAAGUUGUAUUAUCAAUGUAUAAGUAUCUAGAUUGUAACUAUAUUUUUAAAAAUAAAAUAUUUUAAUUAUUGCACAGUAAAUGUAGAAGAAUAUCUGUAAAAUAAUAUUAUUAGGACUAAGAAAAAAUAUUAUUUCAGAUACGUUAUUUAUUUAUUAUUGAAUUAAUAAUUUAUUAAUUUAUUGAUAAAUGAAUAUUUAUUAAUUUAAAGAAAGACUUUUUUGGUUUUAUGAAGAGUUUGUUUGGUACAUGCACACACUUAUAAAGAAACAUAAAAAGUGCUUCCUCAAGUCAAUGGUAUUUGCUCUAAUCGCUACGAUUCAUAAUAAUAUAGCUUAGUUAGGAAAUUUGUAAUUAUAAUAUGAUUCUUUUAAUACAACUUUUCAAGUAGAGCUUAUUUAAGUAGAGAUUUUGUUAAUAGAGGUAUUAUAAAUAAAGAUUCCACUAAAAAAAAUUUAGUUGUUUGAUUAUAAUGUCCAAAUUGAUGAACUUUUAUUCUUUUGUUAACAUCUGUUUGUUUUACUUAAUAAUAAAAGUUUAGUUUACAAUUACACCGGUAUCAAAUCAGCAGAGCAUUGUUGUUUUACUUUAUAAAAGCAUCGGCAAGAGUUUUCGAUUGUUGCAACUUGCAAUGCACGCGGUGAGAGAAAAUGAGAAUCUUGUUUAAUUGUCAAUAAUGACAAACCUAAUCCUUUCAUUAGGAGUAAUUUAAUAAUCGUUUGUUAUAAUUGAAUAGGUAUAAAGAAAGGACAAUUCUAUUCAUAGAUUCGACUUAUUUUUUUGUUUAAAGUAAGUAAUCAUUCAACCAUCUUCAUUUGCCUCUGGCCAAUGCCCUAGUAGAUUAGUUGAAGCGUUAAUUACUUAAUUCAGAUAAUUACAACGUCCUUUUCGCUAAUUAAUUAUGAUUAUGUACAUUUUCAUAUAGCAAGUGGCAUUGUAGAUAUAAACUAAGUUGCUAUUUCAAUACGUUAAUCAAGUGAUUCUCCUCAUUGUCAUCAGCGUCAUACCCUCUAGGAAAAUAGCUCAAUUGUUUCCAUGCAUUGAUUUUCAUUGGUAUGUGAUUUCAGAUUUCUUAUGAAAUUCUUUUGAGCUUUCCUUAUUAAUUGAUUUUCAAUUAACUUGUGAACGAUUUUAUACCCUCUCUUUUUUUUUUUUUUAAGUACUCUAUUGAAAGCCAAAGUUCCUUUGGCCAGUUAAUUUAGAAGUGAAGGAAAGAAUAAAGUUAGUCCUCGACGUCUUUUGAAAUUAGAAAUACAUUUUGAAUGCUUUAAUAGAUGCAGAGCAAACUGGCUCGAUAUCUAACUAUUUUAAGAGCUAAAAUCAUUUAAUAGAAGUUGUAGCAUUAAAAAAAAAAAAAACUGGCUUGAUAUCCAAUUUUGUUAUUGAAUAUGUCUCAUGUGAGAGUAAAAAAAAACUGGCUUGAUAUCCAAAAUUUAAAGGUAACUCCUUGAAUUUGAUUGAAAAAUUAUUGAGACGGACAAGUUUGGACCAUUGUUCGAGACUGAAACUACACAUCAGUCUUAGAAAAUUGUAAUUUUGUUGGCUUAUCAUGAUUUUGAUCGCCUCACAUUGAUUUUCCUAUGGCGUCUCUGUAGAGUGGCUAUGCUUACAUUUUUAGGUAUUUAAUUCUAAAAAUUAACUUAUUAGAUGGAAGGAACAAUUCUACCUGUAAAUCCAAGUGGCUUCCCUUUACCAACUCAUACAAGACACAACAAUAAUCUUCUUCGGAAAAAACCACCGUCGGAGGGCUAUUUUCGUUCAACAUAUAUGAGUUGUUCCGCCACCAUAUUUUAAGGGUUUGCUUCUAAUACAACUUGGGGGAGCUAGGGCUAAGAUUUCUAAGUAUCAACAUAAAAACCUCACCUAUUGGAUAGAAGGACCAAUCCUACUUAUAAGUCUAAAUGACUAAUUUUUGAGAACACAACUCAACAGACCAAUAUAAACUUUUGACGUCCCAUUUUAUUACUUUCCAGUGCUUUUACUUUUGCUGUCUAUAGCCCUACUAUUCUAUUAAGCAGAAAAUAUUUCAAGGCACUCUCGGUCCAGUAGAUAACUUUGGUAUUUAUUAUCUAUUUUCUUUCCAUUUUAUGUAUACCCCGAUCUUUACCUCUGAUUGGUUGUAGAUUCUUUUGUUGCUUUGGGGUUAGGGGAUGGUUUUCAUAACUAUUCAGUUGAUCAAUGCAGAAAAUCACCUUCAAGAAAUGAUAAAGGAUUGUUAGUUCUAUCUGGCAAACAACAUUAAUAUGAAGGAUGGUGGUUGUUCUGUUCAAGAGUUUAUAAUGACAUAAUUCUACUUUGGUCUUUUAAAAAAAGUAAUUUAGAAACGAGGAGUAUGUGAGUGAUGAUUUUUACAAAAUAAAUUACAUGCGUAGUGAUGAUUUUGGCACAUGAAAAUGAAAAAAGAAAUAUAAAUUGUGAAUAAUAAUUGAAGAACCUGCUAUUGGUAUAUUGAGUAAUCAAGGACUUCAAUAUUCGGACGAUAUAAGCAACACAAUCAAAUAUUAGUUGGAAGGCAUAGCAAAAUUAGAAUGUAGAACAAACUGGGUAUUGAUAAAUGGAUGGUUUUGGAAGAAUUGAAAAUGAUGGCAUAAGUAAACCAAAGUUUAGAGAAAAGAGAAAGAGCAUUUGAACUUUACUUGUAAGAAAAGGCAAAUAUCUUGGUUCAAGAAAAGAUAAGAGAUAUCAAACUAGCAAUAGGAAAAAGGAGGAAGGUUAAGACAGCAUCUUAACAAAAGCUAAAGAAAAGAAAAACUUAGUUCAAGCAAAGAACAAUGUGCUAAUGUCGUGUAAUUUUGUUUAAUUUCUUUUUCUUCUCACAUUUUCCAGGGCUUAAAUAAUACAAUAUACAUUUUCAAGCAAAGAACAAUAUGCAAUUGCAGUACUUCUGAGCACACAACAACAAAUAAAUAAUACAAUAUACAUAGCCAGUAAAUUAAAAAUAUAUAUAUUAUUCAAGUUUGUGGACAAUACUGUAGCCAUGGCGUCGUCGAAAUCUACUGACAGCUGAAACAAAGAAAGAAUGGAUGAAUGCUGGAUCACAGUUGAAAUUGAAGGUCUGGUAGGUGAUGUUUCCCUCUCUUUUUUUACCUAAACAAAUACAAGAAAAUCAGAAUCACAAAUGAAAAUCUGCUAUUACACUGUUCUUACUUAUUAAAAUACAGAGGUUUCUUUGUUUCUCUGCAGCAAUGUCCAUGGCUAUUAGAAACAAGAACAAUUAGACCAGCAUUUGCAAGAAUCCUUUAAGGUAUUACUGCAGAUAUAAAUCGACUGAGGAAAUGGAAAAAUUGAAUACCGAAUUAGGCAAGUUAACUGAAGAUUGAGUUAUCAUAGAAGAAUAAAACUCAUCCAAUUCAAUCCAUCAAAUUCCACAAGGAUACAACUGGAUGUCAUACUGCUGCUCCAUAUCCUCAAGAGCCCGUAGAUUUUGCCUCAACUCUGGCUGAGGCCAAUGUAAGUCCAAUUUGCAAAAGCUCUUUAUGCACCAUAGCUCUUCAGGAAGCUUUCUCAAGUAAGCACAAGGGUUGACAAUUAUGCUCCCAAGUUUUGGCAUUGCUCCAGCCCCUAUCGUCCACUCCUCUAGCAAAUAAAUUGAUUUCAGGUGCAAUACCUUGAGCUCCGGGAAACCACAAGAGCAAACACAAGCCAGUUUUCUUCCUGAAUAUGAGUUCUGCUUCAAUUUCAGCACUUGAAGGUGUGGAAGCUUGUCUAGUGUUAGCAUGGUAUCCUCCAAUAACUCAGUAUUUGAUAAGCUUAGAUGGAUCAGACUUGGAGAAGCUGGUAUUUAGACAGGGCCGUCCGAGAGAGCUACCACCUCUUGGUUUCGUUCACCAGCUUCAAGCAUUCAAGUUUGUGUAGUUCGCAUAGGCUUUUGGAAACCCCAGAACGAUAAUAACUCAAACCUCCAGAUACUAAGAGUUUGAAAAUGAGGUAGUCUGCCUGUUAAAGUAGCUCACUAUGCUGAACGAAAGAAGGAGAAAGCUAAGCUGAAGAAAAUACAGGGCAAGAGUAUUAGCUGUGCCAGCUCAACUGACAGCUCAGCAAAAUCAGUUAAAUUUUGUUACAAGCUCCCUGUGCAUUGUGCUGAAGAUUAGUUAGUUUAAUAAUGAUUAGUUUUAGAUUAGUUAAAAUGUAAUCAUGAUUAAGAUAAAUAAAUAAAUAUAUAUAUAGCUGCUGUACUGAUAGGGCAUCUCAAAAGUUCUGAAAUAAUACCUCAAUUCUAUGGCAAAAAUAAAUAAUCUCAAACAAGAACCAAUAAUCAUAUUUCGUUACUGUCAAACACAAUGCAUCUAAGCAAAACAUUGGAAGCCAACACCAGAAUACAUAUGAAUAAACAAUUAAAGAUAGAGAAAAAAGGCUUAAACCUUGGGGGAAAAAAGUGAAAAAACAUGAAAGACAAAUUACACAUGUGCAGUAACCAUCGAACUUAUCAGUGACAGCUGCAUCCAUUACAUUGCUCCAACAACACAAUGGCAAACCACCAGUUUCAAAUUGAGGAUAGCUAUCGAGAAUGAGAAAGUGUCCAAAACGUCAUAAAUAGACAUGUUCCUAUUGUGCAUAAUUUACAUUAUAGGCAAAUAUUCUUACACCAUCAAAGGCAAAACAUGACACUAACAAUUGAUCCCCCCCCAAAACCAAAAAAAAGGAAAAAACAAUACAGAAAAGAUUGAAACAGAUAAGGCUACACUGAGCACAGGAUGCCAUGAAACAUAAUCCAGGAACCAAAUUAAUAAAAAAGGAAGCCAAACCAUUAUUUAACAAUCUGUUUUGUAUUUGGGAAAGUCUGAUAAAAUCUACUUAGGGAUAAUUAGAGAACCUCAACUAUUAAUCACACCUCAUAAAUGAACUAACAUUAACCAUCUACCAUCCCCACGUCACACAAACAUUCUCUAUACUUCUGAACCUAAUCCAUCUUCAAUUGGGGUUUUUUUUUUUUUUUUUGGGUGGCGGGGGGGGGGAGCUAUCAAUUUUCUAAGCUUGCUUAGCUUCUGUGUGGGAUUGAAAUGCUGAUUUCAAAUCACUAACAGUAAAAUUGGAAGCUCAUGAAAAAACAGUUUUAUCUCAAAAUUACAUCUCGAUAUAAAUUCUCUUUUCAUUUCCUUCAACUUUCUAAUUAAGCUUAAAAAAUGUACCUUCAACCACAAAGGGGUUUAAAAUUUAAAAUAUAAAAAAUAAAUUCAGAUAACAAUAAUUAAUUUAAUUAAAAAUAUAAAUAGAGUUACAGAGAAAGAGAAAUUAGAGAAAGACCUAAUGUUGAGUCCUUUGGCGCAUGUCUCUUCAUAGGUCCGAACCAUUUCUUCGGGCGUGGGUUACGGCCGAGAUUGGAUAAUGAUGGAGGAGGAGAAGAUUAGCGAUGACGACGCCGAUGAAAUGGAAGGGUUUACCAGAGGAGUGGAUGCGAAGAGUGCAGGGACGGCCGCAGAGAGAGAGCAGCGGAGUGCGGCGACGGACGGUAGUGACCAGCGGAGGCGGAAGAUGGCGGUAUGGGCCAUUGCUUGCGCGUCGGUGAGUGUCUCGAGUGAGAGAGUGAAACCUCUACUUAAAUAAGUUCUACUUGAAAAACCGUACCAAACGGAGCUUAAAGUUAAUAGUCUCGUAUCUCCCGCAUUUGAUAUCUUAUUGGCAUCAGCGUGUUACCUAAGAUUGGGAUUCAUUAAAAUCCUCAAUGUAAUCGGUGGAACGAAUGGAUUUCUUCUGUUCACCUAUCCACCAAAAUUUCUGUAAUUAAAUUCAAAAGUCAAGAUCUAUGCUUAUUAUCUAUUCAACAGCUAAUAUUCUAAUUUAUAUUUACUUAAAUAUGAAGAGCUAUGCUUGUAAUUAACUUCAAAUGUGAUCGAAGCAGCCUUACAUCUGUAUAUUACUUAUUCCCAACCUUUUUUUUGACUUCAUAUACUUUCUUUUCAUGUUAUUUACUCUUUUUUUUCCCCUCUCUGACAAUUGAGGUAGGGGGUCAAACUUGAAAGUAUCUUAAAAUCAGACAUUUUUUUUUAAUAAUAACCUAGUUGUUUGCAUUAGAAAUGAUAUUUUUUGUGGUGCUGAUAAAGAGGUUAAUUAUGAUUCAACAAUUUAAAAUAUGAAAACAUGUGGAAGACGGCCGCAAUUAAAUUGAUUGUAUGAAAAUAUUUCAAUGAAAGUUUAAAAAUUUAGUACUUGUUAUCUUAUCGAGAGUUUUUUAAAUUAUAUUACUACUUGAACUUGACUGCUUUUGUAUUGAAUUCCUAGCGUUGACAUUGCUUCUACUCAAAAGCCAUUUAAGUUUGUGUAAGCUACCUGUAGUUUGAACAACAAUUUACUCAUGAAUUCUUGUUCAUAAUAGCAAUUUGAUUGAAAGUGCGGCUGCACUAAUUUUCUAGAUGAAUUUUUUCCUACAUGCUUGUUCUCGUAUGACCCAAAAUCCUGCUACAUCAGUUGUAUUAGAAAUUAAUCAACUGGGUUACAAUUAUGCAUCCCCACCAAUAUUUAAGCAAUUUAAUUACAGAAACAUUUCUUGAGGAAAGAAACUCAUAUCGGCACUAGGCUUUCAAUGAGGCUCAUUUUUAUGAAUCUGGAUAGCAUUAGAUAUCUCUCCGAAUAAUGGUGGGAGUAGAUCGCAGAUCUGGCUAUACUACAAAGUGUAUGUACGUUGACUCUCAAUAAAUACAAAUGAUUCUCUGAUAUUUUUUUUUUUGAUAUUAAUCACGAGAUAUCCUGAGGAGGGCCCCAACUGUGGGAGGCACCUUUAAGCCCGUACCACAACUCAGACUAGAAGUCCCCGCUCGAACCGGGAGGCACAGGUUCUCCCAACAAAGGCGACUUCCCUGCGACUCGAACUGAGGAGCAAACUCAGUCAAUGAUUCUCUGAUAUGAUUCAAAACAUCAGUGCAUGCAUCAUUUUAACUAGAGAGAAUAUUCUAAGAAUGAAAUUGAACGUGCAAUCAGCAACUAAAAUGAAGCCAGAAAUGUACACGCAUGAGGAAUUUUUCCUAGAAGAUUGAUAUUUCUUUAACUAGCAAACCAUACAAGUCCAAAGCUAACCAAACCAUACCUGCAAGUCCGGGGCUUAAAUGGAGUACUUGUAAGCAUAAAACAUUAAUCAAAACACAGUAUAGACACACACACACACCCCUCCCUACAUACAUACCAGCAAAUUCGAAAUAGAAAAAGGAGUGCAACUCACAAAACAGUCGGAGGUGGAAUUCCAGCAUAUCUCCUUCUCUCCGUAGCACUCAGAGGUAUAGUUGAAAGAUUAAACACCAUGGAAUAAUUUGAAAGGAAAAUGCCAAGAAACUGUGUAAGUGGCUAAAUUCCACAAAUAUUACAUUAUUGCUCAUUUUUAUCUCAAAAAAAUGGUACGCGUUCAUUUAGAGAAGAGUCCAAGCCCAGUAACAGGAAUAUUUUAAUUACUACCAUGACAUAAUUGAUGGUGCUUAAAUCAAUUGUUUCUUUUUUAAUUUAAAGAUUUUUUCAUUAAAAAAUAUUUUAAUAUCAAAAUGCCUUCAAUGGCAUUACUGCCGCAAGCCCAGCAACAGGAUUAAUUAAAAAGUUCAGAAUUUUUGGGCAUGGAAACUGGAAAGAGUAUUAAACAUCAGAAAGCUAAGGUUUGUUCUGUUAAAGAAUUGAUAUUGACAUAGUUUUUUUUUUGAGGAAAAAAAAAACAUAUUUGUUGACAAGUAAGGAAAUGUUUUUGUAUUUUACAAUCUGUUAUUACAUAUUUUAUCAUAUUAAAGUAAUUUUAAUAACAAAUAGAAACAUAAUAUUACAAUAAAUAAAUUAAAGUUUAAAUUAUUUUGAAUAUUAUAAAAAAUAAUGUUAAUAUUAUUAAUAGGAAGACAUUUUGUUAAUUUUAAAAUCUUUUUAAUCCAAAGGUUUAUUUAAAAUCUCUAUAAUAAAUACAAAUAUAAGAUUAAAAUAAAAAUCAUAAUUUGAAAAUUUUAAUAUUAUUUUAAAUGUUAAAUAUACUUUAAUGUUAUUAGCCUACUACGUAGAUUUUAUUAUUUAUAUUAUAUUCGUAUUGAUUAAAAUUUUUUAAAAUCAAUUUUUUAGUUAGUACAUUCAAGAGGUAUCAUAGUUAAAGAAAAGAUUUUGGUGCAACUGUUUUAAAAUUUCAGGGACUAAAUGAUAAUUUUUUUAAAUUUUAAGGAAGUUGGUAUUAUUUUUCCGACAAUUUAUUUUAUUUUGAGGGAAAUCCGAUGAGAAAUAUCAUCAGAGAACAUUAAUUUAACAUUCUUUACCUUUAUGAAAAAAGUGAAAAUCAAGAACUAUUCAAUUUUGUAUUUUUUGUUUGUAAUUCAAAAAAUGCAUCCACCAAAUCAAGAACUAUUCAAUCUUGAUUUUCCCAUUUUAUUCAUUUUCGAUGCAUCCCCCACUAUUUUUACAAAUCUCCAUCCCACAUCUACACUAUCAAACAAGUUGAUGGAAAUUGAACCCAGUAAGUUAUGUUCAUUACUGGUCAUUGUCUUUCUAUGAGCCACUUAUUUUGAGCAUUAGCGAUCUUAUAAGGAAUCAUGCCUUUUCAGGAUCGUUUUCUUUCAUUUCCUUCUUGUAGUAGUUAAUUAAAUAAAGAACGAACAGCUGAACUUGGUCUAUUUCGAGGAAGAACAAGGUUUCCAAUACUAGAGGAACUUUGAAAAAAAUUAAUUGGAAGCCUUUAUUCAUCUUUGAAGAAAAUUACCACACUUUAAAUCCUGGAUAAAAAAAAUUUUAUUCAUCUUCGGACUAUGAAUUUAUAAAAAAACAUUGUUAGGACUAAGAAAAAAAUAUUAUUUUAGAUAAGUUAUUUGUUUAUUAUUGAAUGAAAAAUUUAUCAUGAUAAAUAAAUAUUUAUUAUUUUAAAGAGAGAUUUUUUUUUUGGUUUUAAGAAGAGUUUUUUUUUGGUACAUGCACACACUAAUAAAGAAACACAAAAAGUGCUUCCUCAAGUCAAUAGUAUUUGCUUUAAUGGCUAAGGUGCAUAAUAAUGUAGCUUAGUUAGGAAAUUUGUAAUUACAUUAUGGCUCCGUUUGGUAUAACUUUUUAAUUAGAAGUAUUGUUCUUUUUAUUAACAUGUGUUUGUUUUACUUAAUAAUAAAAGUUUAGUUUACAAUUACACCGGUGUCAAAUCAGCAGAGCAUCGGCAAGAGUUUUCGAUUGUUGCAAUUUGCAAUGCACGCGGUGAGAGAAAAUGAGAAUCUUGUUUAAUUGUGAAUAAUGACAAACCUAAUCCUUUCAUUAGGAGUAAAUUAAUAAUCGUUUGUUAUAAUUGAAUAUGUAUAAAGAAAGGAAAAUUAUAUUCAUAGAUUUGACUUAUUUUUUGUUUAACGUAACUAAUCAUUCAACCAUCUUCAUUUGCCUCUGGCCAAUGCCCUUGUAGAUUAGUUGAAGCGUUGAUUUCUUAAUUCAGAUAAUUACAACGUCCUUUUCGCUAAUUAAGUAUGAUUAUGUACAUUUUCAUAUAGCAAGUGGCAUUGUAGAUCUAAACUAAGUUGCUAUUUCAAUCCGUUAAUUAAGUGAUUCUCCUCAUUGUCAUCAGUGUUAUACCCUCUGGGAAAAUAGCUCAAUUGUUUCCCUGCAUUGAUUUUCAUUGGUAAGUGAUUUCUUAUGAAAUUCUUUUGAGCUUUCCUUAUUAAAAAAGCUUGAGCUUUUAUCACCUAAUACGGAUAUCAAUUAACUUGUGAACGAUUUUGUAAUGAAACUAGGAGUUAAAUAAGAUUUUUACAUGAUGAUCAACUUGUUAAUUUUGUAUAUUUCAUAUUUAACAGGAUUUGGGCACGGAACGUUUGGAUUCUAAUAUUUAUAUAUUUAGUUUUAAUCAGUUUGACUUUCGUAAUCUUUCUCGCCUCAUCAUUAAGGGAUUAAGAAUUAGAGAAACAUUAGAAACAGGAAGAAAAUAACUUCAGAAAUAAGUAAGAGGGAAAAAAAUUUAUGAUAUUUGGUGUUGAAAUGAACUAAAAACUCGUCAGUACAACGUGUCGUUUGCAGGUUGUGAAGAUGAGUGCCAUGUCGUUUCAUUUAAGCAAUAUACCAGAACUGACAAAUUGCCAAUGUCGUUCAAGACCAUUAUAACUCACGUGCCUUACGCAUGCCUCUCUUAAGCUUAAACGGCAAAGCUAGCAGUCGUUUAAGGAAGGCUUAUUAAUAGCGCGUGAGAAGCUCGUGCCAGGUUGGUUAAAAGGCCGUUAGAUUUAGAGGGAAAUCUGGAUCUGUUACACCUGCAUCAACUGAUAUAUAAACGAGCUGGUUCUGGUGUUAGCAUGUAUGACCAAGGAGAGAGAGAUAAGGCAUCGAUACUGAGAGAAAAGCUUGACUAAGUGGUCUCUGUAUUAUGUGUGAUUUCUCUGUAACCUUGAAAGCUUAAUAAAACUGCUCUCUGUGUUGGUUUUCUCCAGUGGAUGUAGGCACCCUUCAACAGGUGCUGAACCACUUAAGCUCUGUGUGUUCUUUGCCUUUAGGUUGUGAUCUUUGAUCUGUGCAUUGUUCUUUGUUAAGUGUAAGAUUGGUUCUUGAAUCUUUGAGUCAGAGUUGGGUCUUGGGGUGAGAUUAAUCUAGUAUCUAAAGGGUUAAUCUCUCAACAUUUGGAAUGUAUCAUAAUUUUUUGUUGAGUAAAUAUGUAUGAAUAGUUUUUGGGAGUUUUAGCCAGGAGUCAUUUAUUGAAGAUGUCUAGCAAUUAAAGAUCUCUGUCUCAGUAGUUUUCCCAAUCAAAAUCAAGAAGCAAAAAAAACUUGCCAUUUUUCUACUUGAUAAUUAAUUGAAAUUUAAGAAAAUACAAUGGCAUUUCAAUUAGAAUUGGUAAUUGUUUAUCUUUUUUUCAUUGAUCAAAUUCUAAUCUUUAUGCAAUAGUUAUGAAUGAAAGAAAUAUUAUGAGAGGAGAUAGGUCAAUUGAAGCCGUACCCGCAAAUAAAAAAUAGAAAAGGAGUGCAACUAUUCAACUUUGUAGACAAUAUUGCAACCAUCCAAAGGUGAAGAUCUACGCUUAUUAUCUAUUUAACAGCUAUAUAUAUAUAUAUUUAUAUUUUUAAAUAUCAAGAGCUAUGCUUGUAAAUAAGUUCAAAAGUGAUGAGAACAGCCUUAUAUUUAUUUAUUUAAAUAUUACCCAGAAUACUGCUAUAACAAUUGUAUUUAAAUAAUAAUUGUAUUUAAAUAAAUAACUAUAUAUCUAAAUAUAUAUUUAUUUAUUUAAAUAUCAAGAGCUAUGCUUGUAAAUAAGUUCAAAUGUGAUGAGAACAGACUUAUAUUUAUUUAUUUAUUUAAAUAUGACCCAGGCUAAUUUCUCUGAAUUUUGACAGAGUAGAUUUCUAAGCUAAUGCUUGGCAGAUCUCUGGGCGAUACUACAAAGUGCAUGUACAUUGAGUCUUAAUAAAUAUAAACGAUUCUCUGAUAUGAUUCAAAACAUCACUACAUGCAUAAAUUAAUAAGAAAUGUAUAGUUGUACAUAAUUUUAUGCAUGAGGCAGUUUUUAUAGUUGUACCCUCUCUAAUGAAAUUGAAGGUGCAGCCAGCAACUAAAAUGAAGCAGAAAUGUACACGCAUGAGGCAGUUUUUCUAGAAGAUUGAUAUUUCUUUAACUAGAAAACCAUACAAGUCCACAGCUAGCCAAACCGUACCUGCAUGUGUCUAGGGCUUAAAUGGAGCACUUCUAAGCAUAAAACAGUAACUAAAACACAUACACAAACAUACAUACCAAAAAAUUCAAAAAAUAGAGAAAGGAAUACAACUAUUCAUGUUUGUAGACAAUAUUGCAACCAUGGCAUCAGUUAUAGCAAAUAUUGAAUUACAAUAUUUCCCUUGCCGAUUUUGUCUACACAAGUAAAGGGAAAUAAGAAUCAUAGAUGAAAAUCAACUUUUACAGUUCUAAUUAUUAGAUAGAUACAUAAUGAUCUAUCUUUGUUACUUUGUUUCUCUGCUGCAAUGUGCGAUCCCACUCUGUUUUGAUACUCAAAUUGAGUCUAUGUUGAGACAUAAUUUUGACAUUGGAAGCAAUCCCAAUUAGUUUGGCUUUUGUAUGACCCUUUAAGGUUUUACAAUAGAUGCAAAUCUACUGAGAAAAUGGUAAAAAAAGGUGUAUAUAAAAUGAGGCAAGUAACAGAAGUAUGAGUUAUCAGAUUAGAUUAAAAGUCACCCAAUUCAAUCUAUCAGAUUCCGUAAGGAUAUAACUGGAUGUCAUACCGCCAGUCCAUAUCCUCGAAAGUCUCUAGUCUUUGUCUCAACUCUGUCUGAGGCCAAUGUAAAUCCAAUUUGCACAAGCUCUUUAUGCACCAUAGCUCUUCUGGAAGCUUUCUCAAGUAAGCACAUGGGUUGACAAUUAAGCUUUCAAGUUUUGGCAUUGCUCUGCCCCCAUCGUCCACUCGUCUAGCCAAUACAUCGACUUCAGGUGCAAAAUCUUAAGUUCCGGAAAGCCAGCAGAGCCAACGCAGGCUAGCUUUCUUCCUAAAUACGAGUUCUGCUUCAGUUUCAGCACUUGAAGGCGUGGAAGCUUUUCCAGCAUUGGCAUGGGAUCCUCCAUUCGCUCAGUAUUUGAUAAGCUCAGUUGCAUCAUUCUUGGAGGAAAUUAGUAUUCAGACAGGACCAUCCGUGAGAGCUUGCUCUCAUUCACCAACUUCAAGCAUUCAACUUUGUGGAGUUUGCAUACGCUUUUGGAAACCCCAGAGUGAUAGCAACUCAAAUCUCCAGACACUCUAAGAGUUUGAAGAUUAGAUAGUCUGCACAAUAUAUCUGGCGUGCAACUACUAGGGUGUGAGGCUGAUAUGAAAAUAAGAUUUUUCAGAGAGCUGGAAUAAUUUUUUGGAGGUGCAGGCAGAGAGAUGGAACCAAAGUUCAGAUGCAUGAGUUUUUGCAUCUUCCAAAUAUCCUCUGGUGUUUGAUCUACGUAGCUAGAUGGCAUGUCUAGUGUUUGAAGGUUUGAAAGGGUGCAUAGCGGUGAAGGAAGACAUUUGAGCGAAGGGAUAUUCAAUUUCAAAUACUUCAAAUGGAAUAAAUUUUCUAAUCUGGGUGGAUAUUGGUCCAGGACUGCAGAACCCAUGUUCAAUACCCGAAGGUGUUUGAACAUUUUACAAAAAUUCUCGCAAUCUAUCGGAUUAAGAUGAUCGCUUUCUGAACUGUGAUUCAGAAAAAGAUUGGAGAUACAUGUCCGAAUGUUUCAAAGAAAAGAAUUCAAUCGGAUCAUCGAAAAUGAUGUACCGUUUGGCAUUUGCCAAUGAUUCAUCUUCGAAGUCAGGCGUCCGGACAAAUCCCAUCAUUGCUGCCGUCCCAAGUAACGCAGCAUAUGCAAAAGUUGGAACAUAACACGCCUUAAUUGUGCCUCCAUCUCUUCUCUUAUUUACUUGAAUGAAGCCAUGAUCGAUUAGUUCGUUCAAGUAAUGCUCGGCAGUUUCCUCACUGUUGUAUGGUAUGAAACCUUCAGCUACCCACAGCUGAUAUAAUUGCCUGGUAGAUAUCUCAAUGCCUGGAUGAAAGCUGAGGUUGUCCCUCGAUCAGUAAAUCAAACAAUUCCUCUGCCGCUUUCAAAUUCACUCUUAUCAAGCUGAAAUUGUCCCUCAAUCAAUAAGUGAGUGAAUUCGUUCCUUCGCUCUUUGAAAUCAAAACCAUUGUCUCUAGGCGGAAUUUGUUGCAACUGAUUUCUAAUAUCAAUGAUUUUACUGUGGAUUCCGACAAGAAGAGCAAUGAGUGAGAAAACAACUUGUUUGGUAACCAAAAAAGUAUUGAGAGAAAAUGUAAUGAUUCUGAGAAAUUGCUUUUAUUUCAAUUAAUCGAAUCCAGAGUAAAUGUACAGAGUUUCUUUAUAUACUAACGUAUCUACAUAGCUGAUAUUAGCUAAACUAAUUCAACCAGCUAAUCAUGCUUAACAACUUAUUAUAACUAACUAAAACUAAUAUUCACGUGUACAAGAAAUGAUGUAACCACCAGGUGCUAGCUGGCAUGCCAAGUCAUCAACUUGUAACCGUGAGCUGCAACUGUUACAAUCCUCUGCUUUGCUGACUAUCUGGCUCACAUGAGCUUCCUUAACAUCCCCUCUCAAGCUCAAGGGUCUGUUAACUACAUUGAGCUUGGAACGAAAAUAGCUAAAUUUUGGAAAAGAUAGAGGCUUAGUAAGAACAUCUGCCACUUGUUCUUCAGUAGGAAUAUAUCUAAUCUCUAACUCUUUGUUCAGAACCUUAUCUCUAAUGUAAUGAACAUCCAGCUCUAUAUGUUUGGUCUUGGAGUGGAAUAUUGGAUUUUUAGCUAGAUCACCUGCACUCUGAUUGUCACACCAGAGAAUAGGAGUUGGCAACUUGAUAAUUUUUAGCUCAGAAAACAAAGAUUGCAGCCAUGUAAGUUCAGAACUUGCUGCUGAUAAGGCUCGAUAUUCACUUUCUGUGCUAGACUUUGCCACAAUAGCUUGCUUUUUCGAAGACCAGGAAAUGAGAUUAUUACCAAGGAAAAUGUAGUAAGCUCCAAUGGAUUUCCUGUCAUCAGUGUCACAUGCCCAAUCAGCAUCUGAGUAUCCUGUCAACCCUAUUGUUUCCAAGGUUCCCUCUUGCUGAAUAUAGAGGCCAUAUGUAAUAGUUGCUUGAAGGUAUCUCAACACCUUUUUGCAGGCUAACCAAUGUUGGAGAGUUGGACCACUUAGAUACUGGCUAAGUUUAUGCACUGAGUAAGCAAUGUCUGGUCUAGUUAGAACCAAGUAUUGAAGCCCUCCAACUAUACUUCUGUAAAGAGUUGGAUUUUCAAAUUCUACACCCAAUGAGCCUUUAGCUAUUUUUUCUAAUUUGUAACCAGUGCUGAAAGGAGUUUCAGUUUCUUUACAGUUCUGCAUUGAGGCCUUGGUCAACAAAUCCUUGAUGUAUUUAGUUUGGGAGAGGUGCAUGCCAUGAUCUGUGUAGCUGACUUCUAUACCAAGGAAAUAUGAUACCAGGCCCAAGUCUUUUAAGGCAAAAGCUUUACUCAGCUUUGUGAUGAAUGCCUCCAGCAAGACUGAAUCUGGACCUGUAACUAAUAUAUCAUCUACAUAGAUCAAGACAAGGAUUAUGCCUUUAGUGUCAUGCUUGAUAAACAAUGAAGUGUCAGCCUUAGAAUUUGUGAAAUUCCAAUCUGUAAGACAGCCCUUAAGCUUAUCAUACCAGGCCCUUGGUGCCUGUUUUAAACCAUAAAGAGCUUUGUUUAGCUUACAGAUGUAUCCUCCCUCUGAAACAAAACCCUCUGGUUGUUGCAUGUACACAUCUUCAGUAAGAUCCCCAUUGAGAAAUGCAUUGUUGAUAUCUAUUUGUCUAACAUUCCAGCCUUGCAUAACUGCCAAACUCAAUAUAACUCUGACAGUUGAAGACUUGACUACAGGACUAUAAGUUUAUGAAUAGUCAACCCCAGCUGUCUGAUGGAAUCCUUUAGCAACAAGCCGAGCUUUAUGCUUAGAUACUGAGCCAUCUAAAUUAUACUUUGUUCUGAAGACCCAUUUGCAGCCAACCAGUUUAUGAGUAGGAUCCAUUGAAACUAGAUUCCAGGUUUUGUUUCUGAUAAGUGCAUCAUAUUCCAGUUGCAUUUUAUCUUUCCAUUUAGGAUCAGCUAAAGCUUCACCAACAUUAGAAGGUUCUAAACUGUUGUGUGCUGUCAAAAAUGCCUUAGGUUUGAAUAUACCAGCUUUAGCUCUGGUAGUCAUGGGAUGGACAGAGAUAGUAGGAUUGGAAAGUGAUAAAGAUGGUCUGGAAGGUGAUGUGUGUAAAGAAGCUUGAAAUGGUAUAGGAAGUUCUGGAGAAUUUUGAUGGAUGAUAGGUGAAGAUAUAGUGUUUGAAGUUGCUACUGGAGAUGUUGUGGGAAUGACAGGGGAGGUUAUGGUAUUAGUGGAUAAAAUAGAAUGAGUAGAAGAGGAAGGUAACAAGAUAUUGUGAUGAGAACUAGAAUUGUUAGAAUCAGUAUCUGCAGCAACAGCUUCAAAAGGUUUUAGAUUGCUAUUAGGAACUGAAACAUUAUAAAUAAAAACUUAUUAAAACCUAAUUUAUUUGGGAACCACAUAUUAAAACCUAAUUUAUUUGGGAACCACAUAUUAUUGGUCAGUAGUAUUUCUCAACUUAGCAAGUUAUUUCUAAUUUGUCCCUCUCUAUUAUUGGUUCUCUUAAAGCCAAUAGUGUCGCAUUUGAUAUCUUGCCAUUACCGUUGGCAUUAGCAUGUUACCUGAAAUUGGGAUUCAUUGAAAUCCUCAAUGUAAUCGGUGGAACGAAUGGAUUUCUUCUAUUCAUAAUUUGAUGAUUUUAAUUGAACUAGGAGAUAAAGUAAAAGAUAAAUGGUUGGUUUACUCCAAUUUCUGAAGUGCUUGUAUCUUUUUGGUUGAAUUCGUGCAGUUAAAUAAUCUCUACCAACAUAUGUAUGUAUGUAUGAAAUUGGAGUAACCAGACCUUUUCAAGAGUUAAAUAAUCUCUACCAACAUUGUAGAUUGCCCGAUAAAGUUAACUGUGUUACCCAGCUCCAUGCAUAUACAUUAAAUGCAUGUUUGGGUAGUUUUAUAAAAUGAUAACAGCACGUCAAAACUUGAUGAGUUAUAUUGUCAUAUUCGACAUUUUUAAAUUGAAAAAUUAGCAAGCAAUCUUCAGUGAACAUUACAAUUUUGUUCGCUCUACACCCCAUCAAUAUUUAAGCAAUCUACAGAUCAUUACUUGAGGAAAGAAACUCUUUGCGCCACUAGGCUUUUAACGAGGCUCAUUUCUAUGAAUCGGGAUAGCAUUAGAUAUCUCUCCGAAUACUGGUGGGAGUAGAUUGCAGAUCUCUGGGCUAUACUGCAAAGUGUAUGUACGUUGAUUGUCUGAUAUGAUUCAAAACAUCAGUCCAUGCAUCAUUUUAAUGAGAAAGAAUAUUCUGAGAUUAUUUAUGCAUCACCAUUUGUAGUUGUACUGACUAAUGAAAUUAAAGGUGCAAUCAGCAACUAAAAUGAAGCCAGAAAGACACGCAUGAGGCAGUUUUCCUAGAAGAUUUGAUAUUUCUUUGACUAGCAAACCAUACGAGUCCAAAGCUAGCCAAACCAUCCCUGCAAGUCCAGGGCUUAAAUGGAGUACAUCUAAGCAUAAAACAUUAAUCAAAACACAAUACGCACACACAGACCCCUACAUACAUACCAGCAAAUUCAAAAUAGAAAAAGGAGUGCAACUAUUCAAGUUUGUAGACAAUAUUGCAGCCAUGGCAUAUCAAAGCAAAUCCUUGAAAUGUGCUAAACAGAACAAUGCCCUGUCUCAUGAAUCGACGCUCAAUUACAAUUGAAAUUGAAAGUCCGGCUGGUGUUGUUUCCCUCUCCAGUUUUGCCUACAUAAGUAAAGGGAAAUAAGAAUCAUAAAUGAAAAUAUGCUUUGACAGUUCUUAUUAGAUAUAUAUAAAGGGAUCUUUCUUUGUUUCUCUGCUGCGAUGUGUGGUUAUCCCACUGUUUUUCCACUCAAGCUGAGUCUACGUUGAGACAUAAUUUUGACAUCAGAAGAUACCUCAAUUAGUUUGGCACUUUUACGAUAAACAUAAAUCUACUAAGAAAGUGCGGAAAAAAAGAAAAUGCAUAUAAAAGUAUGAUUUAUCAGAUAAGAUUAAAACUCACCCAAUUAAAUCCGUCAGAUUCCAUAAGGAUAUAACUGGAUGUCAUACCGCCGCUCCAUAUCCUCGAAAGUCCGUAGUCUUUGUCUCAGCUCUGUCUGAGGCCAAUGUAAAUCCAAUUUGCGCAAGCUCUUUAUGCACCACAGCUCUUCUGGAAGCUUUCUCAGGUAAGCACAUGGGUUGACAAUUAAGCUUUCAAGUUUUGGCAUUGCUCCUCUCCCCAUCGUCCACUCAUCUAGCCAAUACAUUGAUUUCAGGUGCAAAACCUUAAGCUUCGGAAAGCCACCAGAGCCGACACAGGCCAGCUUUCUUCCUAAAUACGAGUUCUGCUUCAGUUUCAGCACUUGAAGGUGCGGAAGCUUUUCUAGCGUUGGCAUGGGAUCCUCCAUUAGCUCAGUAUUUGAUAAGCUCAGUUGGGUCAGACUUGGAGGAAAUUGGUAUUCAGACAGGACCAUCCGUGAGAGCUUGCUUUCAUUCACCAGCUUCAAGCAUUCAAGUUUCUGCAGUUCGCAUAGGCUUUUGGAAGCCCCAAAAUGAUAGCAAGUCAAAUCUCCAGAUAUCCUUAGAGUUUGAAUAUUUGGUACUCUGCCCAAUAUAUCUGGAAUGCAACUACUAGGGUGCAAGGCUGAUAUGAAAAUGAGAUUUUUCAGGGAGCUGCAAUAAUUAUUUGGAGGUGCAGGCAGAGUGAUGGAACCGAAGUUUAGAUGCCUGAGUUUUUGCAUCAUCCAAAUAUCCUCUGAUGACUGAUCUAUGUAGCUAGAUGGCAUUUCUAGUGCUUGAAGGUUUAAAAGGGUGCAUAGCAGCGAAGGAAGGCAUUUGAGCGAAGGGAUAUUCAAUUUCAAGUACUUCAAAAAAUAUAAAUUUUCUAAUCCGGGUGGAAAUUGGUCGAGAACUGCGGAACCCAAGUUCAGUACCCGAAGGUGUUUGAACUUUUUACAAAAGUUCUCGCAAUCUAUCAGAGCGAGAUGAUCGCUUCGUGAACUGUGAAGCAGAAAAGAAUGGAUAUACUUGUCAGAAUAUUCUGGAGGAAAGAACUUAAUCAGACGAUCCAAAAUGAGAUACCGUUUGACAUUUGCCAGUGGUUCCUCUUUCAUGUCAGAUAUCCGGACAAAUUCCGUCUUGUCCGCCACCAAAUACAGUGAAAUAAAUUCAAAACUUGGAACAUAACACGCUUUGAUUGUGCCGUUGGCUCUUCUCUUACUCACUUGAAUGAAGUCGCGGUGGAUUAGUUCUUUUAACCCUCAGCUAUCCACAACUGACAUAAUUGCGUGGUAGAUAUCUCAAUGCCGGGGCGGAAGACACACAAAUAGAUGCAGCAGACUUUCAAGUAAAAAGGUAACUCCCCCACAGAACAAGUUCGACUGAAAACUGUCAAAUUUAUUUUUUCAUUCAUAUAAUUUUCUGAUGGCGCACUUCCAUAGUGUAGGACGAAAAAUUGCCAGGCCUCAUGCUCUAAUCUGAUCAAUGGUCCUUCAAUGAGCACUGAAUCAAGCCGAAUCUUCUCUCCGUUUUCCAUUUCCAACGACGUAAGGAGUUCUGGAUCAGUGAAAUAUCAAUACUCUGCUUCCAUUCCGAUUAUCAGGAAGAACUUCUUCAAGAUCAUCCCAUAUCUCAAUGUUAUCGCAGACAUCAUCAAGCACAAUAAAGUACUUCUUGUUUGUUAGGUAAUCUUGAAGAAUAGAUUUCUUCAAUUGAUAAUCUUCACCGAUAAUUACACUAACCCGAGAUGGAGGCAUCACGGACUUGAUUAUGUCAUCCAAUAUCUUGCCAAAAUCGUAGAGUGAAGAAACCCUGACCCAAGCAAAACCGUCAAAAUAGAACUUGACGUGAUUAUUAUUGUAAGUAUCUGCAGCAAAAGCAGUCUUAUCGAUGCCACGGCUGUCGAGAAUUGCAACCACUGCAAGCCGAGGAUGUCCUUCUAUCAAUAAAUCAAACAACUCCUCUCUGCCCCUUGCAAAUUCAUUGAUAUCAAGCCGAGGUUGUCCCUCACUCAAUAGGCGAAUGGUUUUGUUACAUUGUUCAGUGAUAUCAAAAUCAUUGUCGCCGGGUGGAAGUUGUUGCAUCCGAUUUCUAAUAUCAAUGAUUUCACUGUUGAGUCCAUCAAGAAGAGUCGUAUUAGUACUGCUGUCACUUUCGUUUUCACUGUUUUGCUGCUGCAUGAUUUUGAUGAAGAAUGUGUCAAUGGCUUCCUCAGAUUCACGGACAAAGUCAUUGAUGUCGUUCAGAAUUUCCAGAAUGUCUGCCCUUUUAACAUCUUCUUCAUCGCUUUUUUCUAAGUCCAACAGUUGCAAAGAAGGUAAAGAUAUUUCGGUGUCAUCGAAUUCUUCUCUAAUGAGUUGAAACAAAUCCGAGCCAUGUCAGAGUCAUAGUUUCCCAGCAGUGGUAACAAUAAUUUUGGACUCCGUAAGAAGGUUUUGAAAAAGUGGGGUUAAAUUUGUUGAAUCAGGCAGCGUUAACGGGUCUUCUUCACCUGCUAACACCCUUUUCAACCUCUCACAAAAUAGUCGGAGGUGGACGUCCAGCAUAUCUCAUUCUCUCCGUAGCACCCAGACGUAUUGUUAUUUGCUCCAACAAAUGUUAAAAGGAUUGGUUCUAUCUCAAAGUGGUUUGUGGUGUAAAAUUAAACACUAUGGGAGAAUUUGAAAGGAAGAUGCCAAGAAACCGUGUAAGUGGCUAAUUUCCACAAAUAUGACAUUAUUGCUCAUUUUUAACUCAAAAAAAUGAUAUGCGUUCAUUUAGAGAAAAGUCCAAGACGCUUGCCUUUUAAAAAGAACAGGUAUCCCUAUGCAACCUUUAUCUUAUUUAAUUACUACCAUAUGGUACUUAAAUCUAUUGUUUCUUUUUUAAUUUAAAGAAUUUUUCAUUAAAAAACUAUUUUAAUAUCAAAAUGCCUUCAAUGGCAUAGCUGCCGCAAGCCCAGUAUGAAUUAACAGGAUGAAUUAAAAAUUUUAGAAUUUUUGGGCAUGGAAAGAGUAAUAUUAAACAUUAGAAAGCUAAGCUUGUUCUGUUAAAGAAUUGAUAUUGACAUAAUUUUAUUUUGGUUUUCGGGGAAAAAAAUUAUUCGUUGACAAGCAAGAAACAUUUUUAAUUUUUAAAAUUUAUUAUGCAUAUUUUAUCAUAGUAAAGUAAUUUUAAUAAUAAAUAGAAACAUAAUAUUACAGUAAAUAAAUUAAAGUUUAAAUUAUUUUGAAUGUUAUAAAAAAUAAUUUUAAUAUUAUUAAUAGAAGACAUUUUCUUAAUUUUAAAAUCUUUUUAACCCAAAGGUUUAUUUAAAAUCUUUCUAAUAAAUACAAAUAUAAAAUUAAAAUAAAUAUCAAAAUUUGAAAUUUUUAAUAUUAAAAUUACUUUAAUGUUGUUAGUGACUGUUCGGUACAGCUUAUUUAAUGGCUAUAAGUGCUUAUUUAAUGUCAUAAUGUCAUGGGAUGAGUGUUUUGCACAGCAAAUCCAUGCGGUACUUAGACAACUUUGCCGAAUGUUGCUAAGUAAGCCUUGAGCUUCUCGAACUAGCUAAGCCUAGAGGUUUUCGAAGAGCUAGAGAGAAGAGAGCAAUGAAGCCGAAUGAAGAGAAUUGUAUUACUAACAAGAGAGAUUACAAGAGAGCUUACAAGUGUUUGAGUUGCUUGUACUAAGCUUGUUGCUCAAAUGUCUAAUGCCAUCCCAUAUUUAUAGGGGAGGCUUGCCAAGCUCUAGAGAUUCUAGAGAAUUCUACCAUUUAUAUGUGCCGGAAUUCUAUGGAGUAUUCUAGAGUAUUUACAAGCUCAAAUGCCUUUUAAAAAGAAUAUGUAUACAAUGGCAAUCCAUACUUUAUAAAAUUGAUGGUGAUUACAAAGAAAAAUUGUUUAAAAUAGAUUUAAUGCACAAAUAUGAUGACUUUUGGCAAAAAUUAGUUUCGGAAAUGUUGGGAUGAAAACCAUAUUAAUUGAGAAUUAAAAUUACUUAAUAAAAUUACUUAACUACCAUCUAAUAGAUGAAAACCAUAUCAAUUGAGACUUAAAUUAAGAUUUAAAUGUUGAAAUAUCUAGCAUUACUCACAAUAACCAAUUCAAAUUAUGACUAUCAUGUAGAAGCAAAUGUUUAUGCUUGGGUUUUUUACUUCUUGAAUUUGAUUGGAAAAUUUUCUGAGAUAGAGAAGUGUUUUGGAUAAGCUUUACGGGAUUGAAACCACAAAUUGGUAGAGGAAAUUAAUUUUGGACAAAUUUUUCUUAUAUUGUAGGACCUUCUAGUUGGAGUAGUGAUGCCUUUGUCUUCAUUUUUGGUUCCUUUUGUGUCGGCAGCCCCUUACUAUUCUCUUGACCCUGAGUUUGAGAUAGAAAUUUAUCAACCUCCAACCCCACAUCCACAAACAAGUUGAUUGAAACAAUUACUCUUUUAAUUAAGAGGACCCAAAUGAUUUAGGUUUCAGUUCUUAUCAUUUGUCUAUUAUUUCUUUGAAACAUUUAUUUUGAGCGUUACUGAUCUUAAUUAUCUGUAUUUCUCCAAUUAUUGAAGAAUUUCAAGUGGCCACUUUUUCUCCUUUUUAUAUAUGUUUAUUUUUUGGAGUGAUCAAACGGGUGCAAAAUCAAGUAUUCGCUGGUCUGUAGUUUAGCCAACGAUGGCUGAUCCACACAGUUGAUUAUAUGAUACUAUUAGCUCUCAAAAUCUUUCUUAUUUGAGAACAUAAAUUGCCCAUUGAAGUUAAACUAUGUUACCCAGCUCCAUGCACAUACAUUAAAUGUUUAGGUAGUUUUACAAAAUGAUAACAGCAUGCCAAAACUUGAUGUUGUCAUAUUCGACAUUUCAAAUUGAAAUAUAUGCAAGCAAUCUUCAGUGAACAUUACGUGUUUAUUGAAUAAUUUAAAUGGCCAGUAAAUCAACAGUCCGUGAGUUUUAAAUCUAUUAUGACUUAAUGUAUCUUUCUGUAUUUGUACACGUGUUAUAUUAUCAUAGUUUAAAAUUUUAAUAUUAUUUUAAAUGUUAAAAAUACUUUAAUGCUAUUAGUCUACUACACAGGUUAUAUUAUUUAUAUUAUAUUUGUAUUAAUUAAAACUUUUAAUGUCAAUUUUCUAAUUACUAUAUUGAAAAGGUAUUAUGGUUAAGAAAAAGUUUUGGCAUUUCUUCUUGAAAAUUUGAGGGUUUUCCAAAUUCUAAGGGUAUAGGUUUGAAAAUUUAACGAUCUUUAACUUAAUGAAACAAAAGAGGGAAAUCAAGAACUAUUCAAUUUUGUAUUUUUUGUUUGUAAUUCAAAAAAUACAUCCACCAAACAAGUUUUACGCAUUAAUGCUGUCAUAAAACGAAAAACAGUUUGCCAAAAAAUGGUACCAAACAUGUCCUUAAUGUCUCACAUGAUUUCUUAGUAAGUCCAUAUUAGAUAUAUUUAUACAUUUUAGGUAUUUUAGUUAUAAAAGAAGUUGGACCUCCCCCUGUUUAUAAAAAAUAACUUUAUUUCGAGAUUACCACUAAACUCUUACAUAGAAUUAGUGUAAUGUUAAGAGAGAGUAACACAGUUUUCCAUUACCAUCUUUGAAAAUAGAGAGAUAUGGAUGCGUGCAUUUAAGAGUUACCGUGAAAAUCAUACAAUUCAAUUUCCUGACAUAUAUAUUCAUGGACCAGCACCGAUAUUCUCACACCAAUGAGCACCACAGUUAGCACAAAACGGUUCGUUUUGUGCUAACUAUAAAAGAUUUAACUGUAGCUUGAAAACGCAGACUCAUCUUGCUCAAACGCAGACCACACACGCGCUCGAGUUUCUAAAACGCAAACGCAAACGCAAACUACACACACACUCAUCUUACUGGACCACAACACUCUCUCUCACCGUGGGUCUCUCCACAUUUGGCUUGGCUGUCAGUUGUUUCUCUCCCAACCCCGUGGAUUGCAUUCUCACGGCACUUCUGGAAUUUGAGACUUAGCUGCAGCUUCACUCUCUCGGCUGUCGGAAUUGAUUUGUGGAGGUAAUUUAUGCAAACGCAAACCACACACACACUCAUCUCAGUUGACCACAACACUCUCGCUCGCCGUGGGUCUCUCCACAUUUGGCUUGGCUGUCAGUUGUUUCUCUCUCCACCCCGUGGAUUGCAUUCUCACGACACUACUGGAAUUUGACACCUAGCUGCAGCUUCACUCUCUCGUUAUGAAUUUAUGUUAAUUUUGCUGUCUUCAGAACUGCCUGUUGUGGUCGAGUACAAGAUUGCGGAGAUGGGUUAUGUUAGAUUCUACUUGACACCAAGAUAGAAGAAGAUGAGGAUGAGACCAAGCCUCUAGCUUAAGUGUCAUUUGGUACAUAUGCUAUGGCAUUUUGUUGAAUCGAGUUACUCCUACAUUUUAAGUUUGCUUUUAGAAUAUUUCUCGUAAAUUUUCAUGUUGAAAAACCAAUCAUUUGUAGUUAAGUAGAUUGAUAAGAAUUCGUUUCUUGUGCUUGGUUUUUUAUCCUACUGUUGCACAUGGCCAGACAGCUGGUUGCACAUCAGAUUCAAGAGCUGUAAAUUUUGAGGCUGAGGAAUCUCAGCUGGGAUUUCAUGUGAUAACAUAUUAUCAGAUAGAUCCAGCAACUGCAAUGAAGUAAUGUUGCCAAUUUCCGCAGGAAGCUUGCCUUGAAAGUUGUUCUGAUACAAAAACAUUAUCUCCAAUAGCUCAAGCCUCCCAAGUUCAGCUGGAAUCUCCCCACCAAGAUUACCAACGGCCAAAUCAAGAUACUUCAGGUUGGUAAGAUUCCCAAAUUCCACUGGGAUUUCACCUUCAAAUUCAUUGUAUCCAAGAAUCAUAGUCUCCAUGGAUGAAAGUUGCCCAAGCUCUCGCGGUAUCUUGCCAGUGAGAUUAUUCCCAGAUAGAUUGAUAAGAAUUCGUUUCUUGUGCUUGGUUUUUUAUCCUACUGUUGUACAUGUAAUUGAUUCAUUUGUAAUCUUUGUUGCUUUCAAAGGUAGGCUUCAAUUGAGUUGAAACUUUAAAAAAUUUAUAAAAAAUGAACCGCAAAUAAAAGAUAGCAUCAUAUUGGGUGACAAAAUGUUCUCGAGGAUGAUCCUGAUUAAUGCUGUGUAUUUCGCAAUGUAAUUACUUGCUGAUCAAUUUAAUUGAAUUGAUUAACACAUUGGUUUGAGUUUUGAUACUGCUGCUCUGUUUUUGGGUUAUUUGAAGAUCGCAUUUUUGCAGGAACUGGUAAAUUGGACACGUUAACAAAAACUUCUCACGUAUUACUGAAAUAAUAACUGUUAUAUUUCAGCCCUUAUGCACAGAACACAAUGGUUGCAAGCAAAUCAACUCAUAACUUACACAAUGGUUGCAAGCAAAUCAAUUCAUAACUUGUAAAUAAAUAAACCCCAAAAAAUUGGGCAUUAAUUUCCAUUUUCCAGCAUAUAACAAUUUCUAGCAGCAAGUUUUAACAGCAGAUAACUUCCGACAACAACUCAUCCCAAAAUCAGCAACUCAUAACUCACAACACAAUAGCAUUUUGCUAAUUUCCAAUAGCAAGAUGCGUGAGAGAGACCCACGACGAGAGAAAGCCGAAGGAGAGAGCAGCGAGAUGCGCGAGAGGCCAGAUGAGAGAGACCCACGGUGAGAGAGAGAGCCACAGCCGAAGAGUGACCCACGCUCAAGAGAGAGAGCCACAGCCGAAUAGAGACCCACUCUUGAGAGAGAGAGAGAAAACCAAAGGAGAGAGCAAUCCCACGAUCCGUUUUGUGAGGCGAGUGUGUGAGGAGAGUGUGUUAGUUUUGAAGCUACAGUAUUUUCUUUUAGAGUUAGCACAAAACGAUGGUGCUAACUGCUAAGCGUGGUGCGUUUCUCAUUUUCCAUUCAUGGCCGUAUGCCAAAAGAAUAAAUAGACAGAAAGUAAAUUUACAGUCCUCACUUCCUCACAAUUGUUAACGUGAAGAUGCAUUACAACCGUGAACUGUCACUACUUUAGCCUUUUUUUUUUUUUCAAUUAUGGUGUGAUGGAGACAUUAAGGAUGAGCAUAAAAGUUAAAGAUGACUCAUUUUCUUUUUAAAGUGCUCUGCUGAAAGCCAAACUUCCUUUGGCUAAUUAAUUUAGAAGUAAAGCAGAGAAUAAAGUCUUAGAUGCCUUCUGAAAUUAGAAAUACAUUUUAUAUGCUUUAAUUAUGAUUAUUUGGUAGACUAAAGACCUAAAAGAUAUGUCAAAAGUAUAAAACAGAGCGAUUAAAGAAAAAAAGAAAAAAAAAAAACAGAGUAUUUGUGACGUAGAAUAACAAUUGGUAAAUAAAUCCUAAAUAUUUGAGUUGUUUAAAGCAAAUAUAACAGAGACGGUAAGAGAGAUGCAGAAACAGAAAACUAUUAGCCCUCUAUAUUCAUUUUCGAUGCUUUUCAAUCGAGAUUCUUUUAAUUCUUCUGGUGUCUGCAGCCCCGGCUCCUCUUAUAGAUCUCCAUCCCACAUCUGCACUACGAACAAGUUGAUUAAAGUUAAAUAAUGUUGGAGAUGUGGGGUGAGCCGUCAAUUUGGUAAAAAAUAUUAUGUAUAAUAUUGUUAAUAAUAUAAAAUAUAUAAUAAUAAUUACAAAGAAUCAUAAAUUAGAAAAAUUAAUUAUUUUACAAUCUAUUUCUUAAGUAAGAUAGAUCUCGUAAUAAGUUAAGUUAUAAUGUAAAAAAUAUUUUCAAUUUAUAAUCAUUUAAGAAGUCAUUUAACAAUAAAAUUUUUCUUUUUUUGAUCAAUUGGUCAUGCUACAGAGUAUCAUCUAUAUUCGUAGUGAUAUUAUUAUUACUCCGUAUUCUCAAAAAACCCGAUUUAACAUUUAGAAAAAGUUCCUACCUUUUAAAAAGAACAUGUAUGCAACAGCUACCCAUACUUUAUCUUACCACGACAAAACUAAUAGGGACUAAAUCAAAUUUCUCGAAUAAAGCAAAAUUUCUUAAAAUUAAUUUAAUAUACAAAUAUGAUGACUUUUUGCAAAAAUUAGUUUUGGAAAAUUAGUGACAGAAAAUAGUAACGAUUAUUAUUUAGAUGUGUAAAUAGCCUAAACAUGAUCCCUAGUACCAAUAUCCACGUGCAUCUUAACAUCUUUCGUCAUAUUCUUUCAUUCAUGGCCACUGGUUCAAGAUUUGAAUUUGAUCAUUAAAUCAUGUUCAAUAAUAUUAGAGAUUCCAACAAUUGAGCACCAACUUAAAUCCCAAUGCUAUGUGUCAUUAACAAAUGUUGUGUCAUUUAUAAUUAUUGAAUGAAUAAUUCGUUAAUUUAUUGAUAAACAAAAAUUUAUUAAUUUAAAGAGAGAUUUUUUUUUUUGGUUUUAAGAAGAGUUUUGCUGGUACAUGUACAUACUUAUAAAGAAAUAAACUUGUAAUUAUACUAUAUCUUUCUUUCUUUGUUUAUUUUGGUGGGAUAUUGUGAUAAAUCAUUGGAUUAAAAUGCAUUUAAAAAUAAAACUUGUUAAAAUCUAAUUUAUUUGGAAAACGCAUAUUAUUUGUCAGUCGUACUUCUCAACUUAGCAAGUUAUUUCUAACUUGUCAGUCUCUAUUGGUUCUCUAAAAGCUAAUAGUCUCGAAUCUCCCGGAUUUGAUAUCUUGCCAUUACUGUUGGCAUUAACAUGUUACCUGAGAAAUGAUAUUUUUUGUGGUGUUGAUAAAGAGGUUAAAUAUGAUUCAACAAUUUAAAAUAUGAAAACAUAUGGAAGACGGCCGCAAUUAAAUUGAUUGUAUGAAAAUAUUUCAAUGAAAUUUUAAAAAUUUGGUACUUGUUAUCUUAUCGAGAGUUUUUUUAAAUUAUAUUACUACUUGAACUUAACUGCUUUUGUAUUGAAUUCCUAGCGUUGCCAUUGCUUCUACUCAAAAGCCAUUUAAGUUUGUGUAAGCUACGUAUAGUUUGAACAACAAUUUACUCAUGAAUUGUUGUUCACAAUAGCAAGUCGGGGGUUUAAAUGGAGUACUUCUAAGCAUAAAACAUUGAUUAAAACAGAAUACACACAUACAUACCAGCAAAUUCAAAAUAGCAAAAGGAGUGCAAAAGUUCAAAUUUGUAGACAACAUUGCAACCAUGGCAUGUUUAUAGCAAAUCCUCGAAAUCUGCUAAAUAAAACAAUGCCCUGUCUCAUGAAUCAAUGCUGAAUUAAAAUUGAAACUGAAAGUCUGGCUGGCGUUGUUUCCCUCUCCAAUUUUGCCUACAUAAGUGAAAAUAAGAAUAAUAAAUGAAAAUCUGCUUUUACGGUUCUUAUUAGAUAGAUAAAAGGGGGAUCUUUCUUUGUUUCUCUGCUGCAAAGUGUGGCUAUCCCACUCUGUUUUGCCACCCAAGCUGAGUCUAUGUUGAGACAUAAUUUUGACAUCAGAAGCAAUCUCAAUUAGUUUGGCACUUUUAUGACCUCCUUGAAGGUUUUACGAUAAACAUAAAUCUACUGAGAAAGUGAGAAAAAAAAAGAAAAUGCAUAUAAAAAUAUGAGUUAUCAGAUAAGAUUAAACUUCACCCAAUUCAAUCCAUCAGAUUCCGUAAGGAUAUAACUGGAUUUCAUACCGCCACUCCAUAUCCUCGAAAGUCCGUAGUCCUUGUCUCAACUGUGUCUGGGGCCAGUGUAAGUCCAAUUUGCGCAAGCUCUUUAUGCACCACAGCUCUUCUGGAAGCUUUCUCAAGUAAGCACAUGGGUUGACAAUUAAGCUUUCAAGUUUGGGCAUUGCUCCAGCCCCCAUCGUCCACUCAUCUAGCCAAUACAUUGAUUUGAGGUGCAAAACCUUAAGUUCGGGAAAGCUACUCAAGCCAACACAAGCAAGCUUUCUUCCUAAAUACGAGUUCUGCUUCAGUUUCAGCACUCGAAGGCGUGGAAGAUUUUCCAGAAUUGGCAUGGGAUCCUCCAUUAACUCAGUAUUUGAUAAGCUCAGUUGGAUCAGACUUGGGGGAAAUUGGUAUUCAGACAGGACCAUCCGUGAGGGCUUGCUCUCAUUCACCAGCUUCAAGCAUUCAAGUUUGUGGAGUUCGCAAAGGCUUUUGGAAACCCCAGAUUGAUAGUAACUCAAAUCUCCAGAUAUCCGAAGAGUCUGAACACUAGGUAGUCUGCCCAAUAUAUCAGGAGUACAACUACUAGGGUUUAAAGCUGAUAUGAAAAUGAGAUUUUUCAGAGAGCUAGAAUAAUUUUUUGGAGGUGCGGGCAGAGUGAUAGAACCAAAGUUUAGAUGCAUGAGUUUUUGCAUCAUCCAAAUAUCCUCUGGUGACUGAUCUAUGUAGCUAGAUGGCAUUUCUAGUGUUUCAAGGUUUAAAAGGGUGCAUAGCAGUGAAGGAAGGCAUUUGAGCGAAGGGAUAUUCAAUUUCAAAUACUUCAAAAGAUAUAAAUUUUCUAAUCCGGGUGGAUAUUGGUCCAGGACUGCAGAACCCAAAUUCAAUACCCGAAGGUGUUUGAACUUUUUACAAAAAUUCUCGCAAUCUUUCGGAUUAAGAUGAUCGCUUGCCGAACUGUGAUUCAGAAAAGAUUGGAGAUACAUGUCAGAAUGUUCUAAAGAUAAAAACCCAGUCAGAUCUUCGGCAAUGACGCACCGUUUAACGUUUGCCACUGGCUCCUCUUCCCCGUCAUGCAUCAAGACAAAUUCCGUCUUCUUUGCCACAAAAUACAAUGAAGUAUAUACAAAACUUGGAACAUAACACGCUUUAAUUGUGCCUCCGGCGCUUCUCUUACUCACUUGAAUGAAGCCGCGACGGAUUAGUUCUUUCAUGUAAUGUUCGGCAGUUUCUUCACCGUUGUAUGGUAUGAAACCUUCAGCUACCCACAACUGAUAUAAUUGCUCCGUAGAUAUCUCAAUACUUGGAAGGAAGACACACAAAUAGAUGAAGCAGACUUUCAAGUGAAAAGGUAACUCCAUCACAGAAAAAAUUUGUCUCCAAACUGUCGGAAUCGCUUCGCCUUGAAGAUAAUUUUCUAAUGGCAUACUUCCAUAGUGUAGGAUGAAAAAUUGCCAGGCUUCAUGCUUUAAUCUGAUCAAUGGUCCUCCAAAGAGCACUGAAUCACGCCGAAUCUUCUCUCCGUUUUCCAUUUCUAACGACGCAAGGAGGUGUGGAUCACUGACCAACAUCAAUACUCUGCUUCCAUUCUGAUUAUCAGGAAGAACUUCUUCAAGAUCACUCCAUAUCUCACUGUCAUCGAAGACAUCAUCAAGCACAAUAAAGUACUUCCUGUUUGUUAGGUAAUCUCGAAGAAUAGAUUUCUUCAAUUGAUAAUCUUCCCCGAUAAUUACACUAACCCGAGAUGGAGGCAUCACAGACUUGAUUAUGUCAUCCAAUAUCUUGCCAAAAUCGUAGGUUAUAGAAACCCUGACCCAAGCAAGACAGUCAAAAUAGAACUUGACGUGAUCAUUAUUGUAAGUAUCUGCGGCAAAAACAGUCUUGUCGAAGCCACUGCUGUCGAGAAUUGCAACCACUGCAAGCCCAGAUGGUCCCUCAAUCAAUAGAUCAAACAACUCCUCUCUGCCCCUUUCAAAUUCACUGAUAUCAAGCCGAGGAUGUCCCGCACUCAAUAGGCGAAUGAUUUCGUUACUUUUUUCACUGAUAUCAAAACCAUUGUCGCCGGGUGGAAGUUGUUGCAUCCGAUUUCUAAUAUCAAUGAUUUCACUGUGGAGUCCAUCAAGAAGAGCCAUAUUAGUGCUGCUUUCACUUUCGUUUUCACUGUUUUGCUGCUGCAUGAUGUUGAUGAAGAAUGUGUCAAUGGCUUCCUGUGAGUCACGGACAAAGUUAUUGAUGUCCUCCAGAAUUUCAAAAAUAUCUGCUGUUUCAACGUUUUCUUCAUCGCUUUCUUCUAAGUCCAACAGUUGCAAAAAAGGCAAAGAUAUUUUGGAGUCAUCGAAAUCUUCUCUAAUGAGUUGAAACAAAUGCCGAGCCAUGUCAGCUUCAUAUUUUCCCAGCAGAGUAGUAGCAAUAAUUUCGGACUCCGUAAGAAGGUUUUGAAAAAGUGGAGUUAAAUUUGUUGAAUCUGGCAGCGGCAACGUGCCUUCUUCACCUGCUAACACCCUUCUCAACCUCUCACAAAAUAGUCGGAGGUGGACGUCCAGCAUAUCUCCUUCUCUCUGUAGCACCCAGAGGUAUUGUUUUUUGCUCCAAGAAAUAUUAAAAGGAUUGGUUCUAUCUAAAAGUGGUUACUGGUGUAAAAUUAAACGCCAUGGGAGAAUUUGAAAGGAAGAUGCCAAGGAACUGGCGAAGUGGCUAAAUUCCACAAAUACGGCAUUAUUGCUCAUUUUUAACUCAAAAAAUUGAUACGCGUUCAUUUUGCGAAAAGUCCAAGACGCUUGCCUUUUGAAAAGAAGAGGUAUCCAAUAGAUAUCCAACCUUUAUCUUAUUUUAAUUACUACCACGACAUGAUUGAUGGUGGUUAAAUCAAUUGUUUCUUUUUUAAUUUAAAGAAUUUUUCAUUAAAAAAUAUUUUAAUAUCAAAUUGCCUUCAAUAGCGUAACUGCCGCAAGCCCAGUAACAGGAUUAAUUAAUUUUUUUUGAAUUUUUGGGCAUGGAAAGAGUAGUAUUAGACUUCAGAAAGCUAAGGUUGUUAUGUUAAAGAAUUGAUAUUGACAUAAUUUUAUUUUGGCUUUCGGGGAAAAAAAUAUUUGCUGACAAGCAAGAAAAUAUUUUUGUAUUUUACAAUUUAUUAUACAUAUUUGAUCAUAUUAAAGUAAUUUUAAUAAUAAAUAGACACAUAAUAUUACAAUAAAUAAAGUAAAGUUUAAAUUAUUUUGAAUAUUAUAAAAAAAUAAUUUUAAUAUUAUUAAUAGGAAGACAUUUUGUUAAUUUUAAAAUCUUUUUAACCUAAAGGUUUAUUUAAAAUCUUUAGAAAUCUCCAUCCCACAUCUACCCUAUUAAACAAGUUGAUGGAAAUUGAACAAUUGCUUUUUAAAGUGGGACCCAUUGAGUUAUGUUCAUUACUGGUCAUUGUCUAUUCUUUCUAAGAGCCACUUGUUUUGAGCAUUAGCAAUCCUAUCUGGACUACUCCAAUUAUUGAUGUAACUCCAAUGGUUGCAUCGACAGUUGAAUAUAAGAGGAUGGUCCAUCGACAAUUUCUUUGUUUCUCCGUUGCAGCGUAUUAGUAUAAAUUUCUUUACCUAACAGUUCAUACAGUCUUCCUGUUAAUGAAUUCACUGAGGCAUUAUUGAUACAAUGUGCUUUUCGCUAAUUAAUUAUGAUUAUAUACGCUUUCAUAUAGCAAGUGGCAUUGUAGAUCUAAACUAAGUUGCUAUUUCAAUACGUUAAUUAAGUGAUUCUCCUCAUUGUCAUCAGCAUUAUACCCUCUAGGAAAAUAGCUCAAUUGUUUCUCUGCAUUGAUUUUCAUUGGUAAGUGAUUUCUUAUGAAAUUCUUUUGAGCUUUCCUUAUUAAAAAUGCUUGAGCUUUUAUCACCUAAUACGGAUAUCAAUUAACUUGUGAACGAUUUUGUAAUGAAACUAGGAGUUAAAUAAGAUUUUUACAUGAUGAUCAACUUGUUAAUUUUGUAUAUUUCAUAUUCAACAGGAUUUGGGCACGGAACGUUUGGAUUCUAAUAUUUAUAUAUUUAGUUUUAAUCAGUUUGACUUUCGUAAUCUUUCUCGCCUCAUCAUUAAGGGAUUAAGAAUUAGAGAAACAUUAGAAACAGGAAGAAAAUAACUUCAGAAAUAAGUAAGAGGGAAUCCAAUGAGAAAUAUGAUAAGAGAACGUCAAUUACUUGUCAUUUUCUAUUUUUUCUAUGAGAUAUUUAUUUUGAGCAUUAGUUAUAGCAAAUCCUUGAAAUCUACUAAACAAAACAAUGCCCUGUCUCAUGAAUCGAUGUUGAAUUACAGCUGAAAUUGAAAGUCUGGCACCAGUUAUAGCAAAUAUUGAAUUACAAUAUUUCCCUUGCCAAACCGUACCUGCAUGUGGCAACGUGCCUUCUUCACUUGCUAACACCCUUUUCAACCUCUCACAAAACAGUCGGAGGUGGAAUUCCAGCAUAUCUCCUUCUCUCCGCAGCACUCAGAGGUAUAGUUGAAAGAUUAAACACCAUGGAAGAAUUUGAAAGGAAAAUGCCAAGAAACUGUGUAAGUGGCUAAAUUCCACAAAUAUGACAUUAUUGCUCAUUUUUUAACUCAAAAAAAGGGUACGCGUUCAUUUAGAGAAAAGUCCAAGACGCGUGCUUUUUAAAAAGAACAGGUAUCCAACCUCUAUCUUAUUAAAUUACAACCAUGACAUAAUUGAUGGUGCUUAAAUCAAUUGUUUCUUUUUUAAUUUAAAGAAUUUUUCAUUAAAAAAAUAUUUUAAUAUCAAAUUGCCUUCAGUGGCGUAACUGCCUCAGGCCCAGUAACAGGACUAAUUAAAAAUUUUACAAUUUUUGGGCAUGGAAAUAGUAGUAUUAAACAUUAGAAAGGUAAGGUUGUUCUGUUAAAGAAUUGAUAUUGACAUAAUUUUAUUUUGGUUUUCGUGGAAAAAAAAUUUGUUGACAAGUAAGAAAAUAUUUUUAUUUUUAUAAAAUUUAUUAUGCAUAUUUAUCAUAUUAAAGUAAUUUUAAUAAUAAAUAGAAACAUAAUAUUACAAUAAAUAAAUCAAAGUUUAAAUUAUUUUGAAUAUUAUAAAAAAUAAUGUUAAUAUUAUUAAUAGGAAGACAUUUUGUUAAUUUUAAAAUCUUUUUAAUCCAAAGGUUUAUUUAAAAUCUCUAUAAUAAAUACAAAUAUAAGAUUAAAAUAAAAAUCAUAAUUUGAAAAUUUUAAUAUUAUUUUAAAUGUUAAAUAUACUUUAAUGUUAUUAGCCUACUACGUAAAUUUUAUUAUUUAUAUUAUAUUCGUAUUGAUUAAAAUUUUUUAAAGUCAAUUUUUUAGUUAGUACAUUCACGAGGUAUAAUAGUUAAAGAAAAAAUUUUGGUGCAACUGUUUUAAAAUUUCAGGGUAUAAAUGAUAAUUUUUUUAAAAAUUUUAAGUAGGUAUUAUUUUUCCGACAAUUUAUUUUAUUGAGGGAAACCCGAUGAGAAAUAUCAUCAGAGAACAUUAAUUUAACAUUCUUUACCUUUAUGAAAAAAGUGGAAACCAAGAACUAUUCAAUUUUUUUUUUUUUGUGUAAUUCAAAAAAUGCAUCCACCAAACAAGCUUAUCUUAAUUUUCCCACUUUAUUCAUUUUCGAUGCUUUUCAAAAGAGGUUCCUUUAAUCCAUCUAGCAUCUGCAGCCCCCACUAUUUUUACAAAUCUCCAUCCCACAUCUACACUAUCAAAAAAGUUGAUGGAAAUUGAACCCAUUAAUUAAGUUAUGUUCAUUACAGGUCAUUAUCUUUCUAUGAGCCACUUAUUUUGAGCAUUAGCGAUCUUAUAAGGAAUCAUGCCUUUUCCGGAUCGUUUUCUUUCAUUUCCUUAUUGACUUAUUGUAGUAGUUAAUUAAAUAAAGAACGAACAAGUGAACUUAAUUUGUCUAUUUCGAGGAAGAACAAGGUUUCCAAUACUAGAGGAACUUUGAAGAAAAUUAAUUGGAAGCCUUUAUUCAUCUUUGAAGAAAAUUACCACACUUUAAAUCCUGGAUUAAAAAAAAUUUAUUCAUCUUCGGACUAUGAAUUUAUAAAAUAAUAUUGCUAGGACUAAGAAAAAAAUAUUAUUUUAGAUACGUUAUUUAUUUAUUAUUGAAUGAAAAAUUUAUCAUGAUAAAUAAAAUUUCUUAAUUUAAAGAGAGAUUUUUUUUUUGGUUUUAAGAAGAGUUUUUUUGGUACAUGCACACACUAAUAAAGAAACACAAAAAGUGCUUCCUCAAGUCAAUAGUAUUUACUUUAAUCGCUAAGGUGCAUAAUAAUGUAGCUUAGUUAGGAAAUUUGUAAUUACAUUAUGGCUCCGUUUGGUAUAACUUUUUAAUUAGAACUUAUUUAAAGAGAAUUUAUAUUAGUAGAGUUUUUAUAAAUAGAGAUUUUUUUUAUAAAAAAAAUUAUAGUUAUUUAGUUAUCAAUGUCCAAAUUGAUGAAGUAUUGUUCUUUUUAUUAACAUGUGUUUGUUUUACUUAAUAAUAAAAGUUUAGUUUACAAUUACACCGGUGUCAAAUCAGCAGAGCAUCGGCAAGAGUUUUCGAUUGUUGCAAUUUGCAAUGCACGCGGUGAGAGAAAAUGAGAAUCUUGUUUAAUUGUCAAUAAUGACAAACCUAAUCCUUUCAUUAGGAGUAAAUUAAUAAUCGUUGGUUAUAAUUGAAUAUGUAUAAAGAAAGGAAAAUUAUAUUCAUAGAUUUGACUUAUUUUUUAUUUAACGUAACUAAUCAUUCAACCAUCUUCGUUUGCCUCUGGCCAAUGCCCUUGUAGAUUAGUUGAAGCGUUAAUUACAUAAUUCAGAUAAUUACAACGUCCUUUUCGCUAAUUAAUUAUGAUUAUGUACAUUUUCAUAUAGCAAGUGGCAUUGUAGAUCUAAACUACGUUGCUAUUUCAAUACGUUAAUUAAGUGAUUCUCGUCAUUGUCAUCAGCGUUAUAAACAGGAAUUAUGCAAACAGUACACAAUGCUGCAGCAAGGCGUGGUUGGCUAGAGUUUUGCAACCACCCUCGAGAUCAUGUGCUGCCAGUAGUAAAAGAAUUUUACGCCAAUUUGGUAAGCCUUGGUCAGCACAAUAUUUGGGGUAAGAAACUCACUUGUUCCAUUAGACUCUCGAGUUAUAAAUGUUUUUUAUAAUUUACCUGCUGAAAUUAAUUGUGAGUAUGCCAAGUUGCUUGACAAAUUGACCUCACAACAAUGGAACACAAUUUUCACGACACUUACAGUAGAGGGUGCAUCGUGGGCUAAUGAGGAGGGGCGUGUAAUUAACAGGAUAGAUUUAAAACUCAUUGCUAAGGUGUGGGUGAAAUUUCUGAAAUCUAGGCUUAUGCCAACCAUCCACACCAUUACUGUUUUACAGGAAAGGUUGGUGCUGUUACAUGCUAUUGUUAGAGGGCUUUCCAUAGAUGUGGGAAGUAUUAUCGAAAAAGAAAUUCGAGAUUGUACCAUGAAAAACCACAAGGUUGUUGCCUUGUUAUUUCCUUCACUCAUAACCAGCAUAUGUGUAGUAUCGGGUGUUCAUCUUGAUGCAAAGGAUAAAAUUUGUAAUUAUAUUAUGGCUCCAUUUGGUAUAACUUUUUAAUUCGAACUUAUUUAAGGAGAUUUUUAUUAGUAGAGCUUUUAUAAAUAGAGAUUUUACUAAAAAAAAAUUAUAGUUAUUUAGUUGUCAAUGUCCAAAUGGAUGAACUAUUGUUCUUUUUGUUAACAUGUGUUUGUUUUACUUAAUAAUAAAAGUUAAGUUCACAAUUACACCGGUGUCAAAUCAGCAGAGCAUUUUUGCAGGGGUAAAAUCUCAUUUAGUCCCUAUAUUUUAAGCUUAGUAUCCAUUUGGUCCCUAUAUUUUUAAAAAUACCUCAAAACAUCCCUACCGUUAAAGUAUUGAUACCCCUACCGUUAAAGUAUUGAUACCCCUACCGUUAUCUUUAAUUUAUUUUGGCUUACUUUUACAAUAUUACCCUUUUAUAAUAAUUUUUUUAGACAUGAAUAAAAAAUAAUAAUUAAAUUACCAAUUUAACCCAAAAAAAAUUAAAAAAAAAAUUAUAUUAAUUUUUUUUGCAAACACCAUUUGCACACUUGAUAGUUUGCAUACAAUUUUAGAUAAUUAAAUUUCAACACAAGACUGAGUUUUUCAUCAUUCAAACUUCUCAUGUCUAAACUUUAUUUAUUGAGGUGCUAAAAGAUAAAUAUAUUGGCAAUUGGGAAAUGAAGUCAAUGAUAAGUUUGAUACAACCGUUGAUUAAAUAUCAUUAAAAAAAAAAAAGUACCUACAACUAGAAGUUAAAAAAAAAUGUCACCAUAGCCCACGUAUAAAUCCAUUUUGUAGUGCGUCAAAACUUAUGAAUAUCCUCUUGAAGUACGUCGCUACACCUUAUGUUUCAUAUUGAAUUUUCACCAUUGCCCUUUUAUUCUUUAUAAGAAGAACGUUGGCAUAGUCAUGUAACUUUGCAUAAGAUUUUGUGUAGUCACUAUCAGCAAUUUUUAGAACCCUUUUUUUGGCCAUAUACAGCCUUUUCUUUGUAGUUGAACAAGAAAACCUCUUCCUCAAUUCAUCUGACAUGGAUUCACAACCGAUAUCAGGAUUAAAACUAAUAAAACCAUACAAUUUCUGAGCUAUCCAUCUACUAGUUACUUCAGGAUUCUUAAACAGCUCUUUGCACUUAUGUUCACCACCUUUUAAAGUUUUAAUCUGGAAUGUAACUUUGUCAACCAAUAAAGAUGCAUGGAUUCUCCAUGGACAUUCCUUUCCUUCUUUGUCCUUCCCAGCACACACGGCUGUAACUCUACAUUUGUCAUUCUUUUUCCUUUUCAAAACUCUUGACUCUUGAAUAGCAUAAUCCUUCAAUACAUUCUUAAACUCUUGAGCACAACUAAAAGUUUGCCCAACUUCCAAAACAAUAUCAUCAUCACCAUCGGGUUCUUGAACUUUUUUUUCUUAAAUCCCUUUUCAUCUUCAAUAUUAUAGCGUCAUCUUCUUCAUCACUUGUAAUAGAUACAUCUUCAUUAUCACUCUCACAAUCUGACAUGCCAUCAUCUCCAUCAAAUUCAUUAAUAUCAAACCCUAAAUCAACUUCAGGUUCACUAUCAGACUUAACAAUAUCACCAAUAUCUUCAUCAGACCAGUCAAUAGACUCAACACUGAUUGCAUCAUCACUUUCACCAUCUAAAAUACAAACAUUAACUGCAUUUGAGGCAAAAUGAUUAUCUUCAGGGCGAGUUUGAGCUAAAACGGGUGACAAGCUGGCCAAGGAUAACGCAUCCAUCUCCAAAUUAAUAGAAUUAAGACCCUUGGCUUGAAUUAAGUUAACCAAAUUCUGGAAGUCUUUAUCAUUAUUCAAUUCAAUCCCUUCAUUGGACCAUGGGACAAUGCCAGUAAGCUUAAAGCUCUCAUCAUAAUGCUUGUGCCUUCCAAAGACAUUAUUCAAGACAUCGUUGAUGAGGGAUACAAGAAUCAAGCAAUCAGGAUCAUAAGCAUCCUCCACAUCUUUGCCUAAAAAUCGAACUGAAAUGCUGAUUUGACUCAUUUUGAAUCUGCCAACAUAAAGAUGAACAAAAAAUAUCAGAAACUUAAAACUAUUACAUACGAAAUCAUAAAAUACAAAAUCGACAUUAUAGAACUUUAUAUGAUUAUGAUUUUUUUUUACAAAAAAAUACUCAAUCAAGUGAAGUUAAAAUAAUUUCUUUUCGAUUACAAAUCAAUUCCACUACCAAUAUUAAGCUACGAAACAACCAUGAAAGGGUUAAAAAAAAGAAAGAAAGAAAACAAAAACCGUUCAACUUUUAGUCUACUGCAAAACAAAAACCGUUCAACUUUUAGUCUACUUCAUAUGGAAUUUUAGUCUUGGGAAGAAAUACCCAUUCAAGUGGAAAAAAAAAUAAUUUCUUUUCAUUGAACACAUGGAAGAUUAAAAAAAUAAAUAAAUAAACAAGACCAAUGUGAGACGUACCAGAAUAGGCCAAUUUCCUUCGUUGUCGGUUUUGACAUCUACUGCAAGACUACGUUUCCAAUAGAAAAAAUUUUACAGCAAUAAAAUUGUUAUGAGUUUUAAAAAAGCAAGUCACUUAAGUUCUUAAAGCGAGGGUUUUAAAGAAUAUUAGGGUUAAAAUACGUUUUUGCGAUUAUGGAUCUAGGUUAUCGUAAUAAUUUUUUAAAAUUUUAAAUUUUACCAAGAAAAAUACAUUUUUACCCUCAUUAAUCUAGAAUUAACAGUAACGGAGGUGAUGCUAAGGGUGUUUUGAGGUAUUUUUAAAAAUACAAUGACUAAACAGACAUUAAUCUAACGCUUUUUCUCCCAUGUAAAUUCUUAAUGUCGUUUUUCCAUAGUAUAGGAUGUAAAAUUGCCAGGAUUCAUGCUUUAAUCUGAUCAAUGGUCCUCCAACGAGAACUGAGUCAGGAUGAAUCGUCUGUCCAUUUUCCAAUUCGAACGAGGAAAGGAAGGCUGGAUCAGUGACCGUUAUAAUUACUCUACUUCCAUUCUGAUUCUCAGGAAGUACUUCUUCAAGAUCAUCCAAUACGUCGUCACCCUCUUUGUAGUAAUCAUCAAGCACAAUAAAGUACUUCUUGUUUGUUAGGUAAUCUCGAAGAAUAGAUUUCUUCAAUUGAUAAUCUUCACCGAUAACUACACUAACCCGAGAUGGAGGCAUCACAGACUUGAUUAUGUCAUCCAAUAUCAUGCGAAAAUCGUAGGAUAUAGCAACCCUUGUUAGGAAAUUGAGCUUCCUCCCAAGAUCACUCCAAGCAAUUUAUCAAGCAACAAAUUAACAGAAAAAUUUAAUGGAGAAUACAUCAAUCACACAACACAAGAUUUACGUGGAAAACUCUAAAUCCGGAGAAAAACCACGGCCGUUGUCAAAAAGACAACCAGAGAAAAUAUUCACUAUAUGGAAAAUUAUUACAACCACACUCUCAAAAAUAAUUUUCUCUCACCCAAGCCCCAAAUACAUAAUCCUGAGAAAUAUCCCUUAACAAAGCAAACCCGUAAUACCCAUAUUACGGAGCCAAAUGCUCCUUCAAUAUAACUACAUGCUUAAGAACUUUUCUCUCUCUCAAUUUCUCACCAAAACUUGGAUUCCUUCUCUGGGAUUUGGAUUGCUUCUCUCAAUGGCCAACAGUUCAUGUCUAUUUUCUUUAGCAAAGCCGAAGCUCAUUGCUACUCAUUUCUCAUCAAAUGACAUUCCAAUUUAUAGCCAAACUAUCACACCAAAAAUCUAAUAAGUCGGCAACAACUUUCUUCCUUUUUUACAAAUUCAUCAUGCGGUUCAAAAUUGGCAUUUUGCUUGUCAAAGUCCAUCCACCCAUUUGAAUGCAAUCAAUGUGUUCCCAUUUCACUUUUCCUUUUUUUUUAAUCAAUUUCAACAAUCUCCACCUUGAUUAAAAAAAAAAUUCAUAACUACUGCUACAAAACACUGUCUUCACCAACAGUCAUAAUUCUUAACAUAGAGAAUUAUCAUACUCCACCAUAAAGAGUAUACCACUUAGAAACAACCAUUCUAAGAUUUUUCUCGGCACAUGUCAAAAUAUCUUGCUGAAAUUUAUGGUACAAUUCUCAUGCUUGGUUUCCCUAAGAAUUCUUCAGCCAUGACAUAACUUUUCCACUACACACCUUGCAUUUAUACCAAGCCAAUGCCCGCGUGCAAACUUGUGGACCCCGCUGAUCAUAGCAUGUUCUCUUUCAUGACAACUUGGAGAUUUACAUGCCAAAAGAACUAACCCAAUCUCCUAUCAAAAGGAAACUCACAAUCUACGAGAAUAUCAUUAUCUCCUUUACUGAUUCUGGAGUAAUUUGCCGAGCCCACUCCACCUUCUUGACAAUUUUCUUGAGGUGCCAAAAAUUGUCUCACACCUUCAAAUCUUUGUGCAUACCAGAUUGGAUACACCUUUGACUUGAAUUCUCCACAAGCCAAUAAAAUCAUUCUUCCAUUAAUUUUUUUUUUUAACAACAUCAAACUCCACCAAGUUUAAAAAACACCAGCUACUGACAUAUAUGCUUUACAUAAACAGUAUCGUAUACCCCAAGUACAAACCGUUGGCUCUGAUACCACUGUUAGGAAAUUGAGCUUCCUCCCAAGAUCACUCCAAGCAAUUUAUCAAGCAACAAAUUAACAGAAAAAUUUAAUGGAGAAUACAUCAAUCACACAACACAAGAUUUACGUGGAAAACUCUAAAUCCGGAGAAAAACCACGGCCGUUGUCAAAAAGACAACCAGAGAAAAAUAUUCACUAUAUGGAAAAUUAUUACAACCACACUCUCAAAAAUAAUUUUCUCUCACCCAAGCCCCAAAUACAUAAUCCUGAGAAAUAUCCCUUAACAAAGCAAACCCGUAAUACCCAUAUUACGGAGCCAAAUGCUCCUUCAAUAUAACUACAUGCUUAAGAACUUUUCUCUCUCUCAAUUUCUCACCAAAACUUGGAUUCCUUCUCUGGGAUUUGGAUUGCUUCUCUCAAUGGCCAACAUUUCAUGUCUAUUUUCUUUAGCAAAGCCGAAGCUCAUUGCUACUCAUUUCUCAUCAAAUGACAUUCCAAUUUAUAGCCAAACUAUCACACCAAAAAUCUAAUAAGUCGGCAACAACUUUCUUCCUUUUUGACAAAUUCAUCAUGCGGUUCAAAAUUGCCAUUUUGCUUGUCAAAGUCCAUCCACCCAUUUGAAUGCAAUCAAUGUGUUCCCAUUUCACUUUUCCUUUUUUUUUAAUCAAUUUCAACAACCCUGACCCAAGCAUGACAGUCAAAAUAGAACUUGACAUGAUUAUUGUUGUAAGUAUCAGCAGCAAAAGCAGUCUUAUCGAAGCUACUGCUGUCGAGAAUUGCAACCACUGAAAGCUGUGGUUGUCCCUCAAUCAAUAAAUCAAACAACUCCUCUCUGCCGUUUUCAAAUUCACUCUUAUCAAGCUGUGAUUGUCCCUCAAUCAAUAAGUAAGUGAAUUCGUUCCUUCGUUCUCUGAAAUCAAAACCAUUGCCUUCAGGUGGAAUUUGUUGCAACCGAUUUCUAAUAUCAAUGAUUUUACUGUGGAUUCCGACAAGAAGAGCAAUGCAAGUAGUGCUUUCACUUUCACUGCUUUGCUGCUGCGUGAUGUUGAUGAAGAAUGUGUCAAUAGCUUUCUCUGAUUCACGGACAAAGGAAUUGAUGUCUCUCAGAAGUUCCCAAAUGCCGAUAACGCGAAGGUAUUUCGUCUUCAUCGAAAUGUUCUCUAAUGAGUUGAAUCAAAACCCGAGCCAUUUCAGCUUCAUAGUUUCCCAGCAGAGUAGUGGCUAUAAUUUCGGACUCCGUAAGAAGGUUUUGAAAAAGUGGAGUUAAAUUUGUUGAAUCAGGCAAAGUUAACGUGCCUUCUUCACCUGCUAACACCAGUUUCAACCUCUCACAAAAUAGUGUGAGGUUAAUUUCCAUAUCUUUCCCUCUCUCAGUAGUACUCAGAGGUACGUAUUGUUAUUUGUUAGUGUUGAUGACGAAAGCUGAAUAACAAAACAACAGUGUACACAAUCAACAGAAGCCAAAGUAUGUUAAUUUGAGAUCAAAGGAUAUAAAUAAAGGAAAAGUUUUCGUCGAUUGAGAAUGGAUGGAUGCAAAGAAUGACUGAUAUUAAAUGAUUUCUAUAAAUGAGACAUGCAAAGAAUGAAAUUUAAAGGUAACCCCCUUUUUUUUUUUUUUAAAGUACUCUAUUGAAAGCCAAAGUUCCUUUGGCCAAUUAAUUUAGAAGUGAAGGAAAGAAUAAAGUUAGUCCUUGAUGUCUUUUGAAAUUAGAAAUACAUUUUGAAUGCUUUAAUAGAUGCAGAGCAAACUGGCUCGAUAUCUACCUAUUUUUAGUGCUAAAAUCAUUUAAUAGAAGUUGUAGCAUUAAAAAAAAAAAAAAAAAAAAACUGGCUUGAUAUCCAAUUUUGUUAUUGAAUAUGUCUCAUGUGAGAGUAAAAAAAAACUGGCUUGAUAUCCAAAAUUUAAAGGUAACUCCUUGAAUUUGAUUGAAAAAUUAUUGAGACGGACAAGGCUGGACCAUUGUUCGAGACUGAAACUACACAUCAGUCUUAGAAAAUUGUAAUUUUGUUGGCUUAUCAUGAUUUUGAUCGUCUCACAUUGAUUUUCCUAUGAUGUCUCUGUCGAGUGGCUAUGCUUACAUUUUUAGGUAUUUAAUUCUAAAAAUUAACUUAUUAAAUGGAGGGACCAAUUCUACCUAUAAAUCCAAGUGGCUUCCCUUUACUAACUCAUAUGAGAUACAACAAUAAUUUUCUUUGGACAAAACCACUGUUGGAGGGUUAUUUUCGUUCAACAUACAUGAGUUGUUCCACCACCAUAUUUUGAGGGUUUGUUUUGGAUAUGACUUGGGGGAGCUAAGGCUAAGAUUUCUAAGUAUCAACAUAAAAACCUUGCCGGAAGGACCAAUCCUACUUUAAAGUCUAAAUGACUAAUUCUUGAGGACACAACUCAACAGCCCAAUAUAAACUUUUGACGUCCCAUUUUAUUACUUUCCAGUGCUUUUACUUUUGCUGUCUAGAGCCCUACCAUGCUAUUAAGCAGAAAAUAUUUCAAGGCACUCUCGGUCCAGUAGAUAACUUUGGUAUUUAUCAUCUAUUUUCUUUCCAUUUUAUGCAUACCCCGAUCUUUACCUCUGAUUGGUUGUAGAUUCUUUUGUUGCUUUGGGGUUAGGGGGUGGUUUUCAUAACUAUUCAGUUGAUCAAUGCAGAAAAUCACCAUCAAGAAAUUAUAAAGGAUUGUUAGUUCUAUCUGACAAACAACAUUAAUAUGAAGGAUGAUGAUUGUUCUGUUCAAGAGUUUAUAAUGACAUAAUUCUACUUUGGUCUUUUAAAAAAAGUAAUUUAGAAACGAGGAGUAUGUGAGUGAUGAUUUUUACAAAAUAAAUUACAUGCGUAGUGAUGAUUUUGACACAUGAAAAUGAAAAAAGAAAUAUAACUUGUGAAUAAUAAUUGAAGUACCUGCUAUUGUUAUAUUGAGUAAUCAAGGACUUCAAUAUUCGGACGAUAUAAGCAACACAAUCAAAUAUUAGUUGGAAGGCAUAGCAAAAUUAGAAUGUAGAACAAACUGGGUAUUGAUAAAUGGAUGGUUUUGGAAGAAUUGAAAAUGAUGGCAUAAGUAAACCAAAGUUUAGAGAAAAGAGAAAGAGCAUUUGAACUUUACUUGUAAGAAAAGGCAAAUAUCUUGGUUCAAGAAAAGAUAAGAGAUAUCAAACUAGCAAUAGGAAAAAGGAGGAAGGUUAAGACAGCAUCUUAACAAAAGCUAAAGAAAAGAAAAACUUAGUUCAAGCAAAGAACAAUGUGCUAAUGUCGUGUAAUCUUGUUUAAUUUCUUUUUCUUCUCACAUUUUCCAGGGCUUAAAUAAUACAAUAUACAUUUUCAAGCAAAGAACAAUAUGCAAUUGCAGUACUUCUGAGCACACAACAACAAAUAAAUAAUACAAUAUACAUACCCACUAAAUUAAAAAAAAAAUAUUAUCCAAGUUUGUGGACUAUAGCCAUGGCGUCGUCGAAAUCUACUGACAGCUGAAACAAAGAAAGAAUGGAUGAAUGCUGGAUCACAGUUGAAAUUGAAGGUCUGGUAGGUGAUGUUUCCCUCUCUGAUUUUCCCUAAACAAAUACAAGAAAAUAAGAAUCACAAAUGAAAAUCUGCUAUUACACUGUUCUUACUUAUUAAAAUACAGAGGUUUCUUUGUUUCUCUGCAGCAAUGUCCAUGGCUAUUAGAAACAAGAACAAUUAGACCAGCAUUUGUAAGAAUCCUUUAAGGUAUUACUGCAGAUAUAAAUCGACUGAGGAAAUGGAAAAAUUGAAUACCAAAUUAGGCAAGUUAACUGAAGAUUGAGUUAAUCAUAGAAGAAUAAAACUCAUCCAAUUCAAUCCAUCAAAUUCCAUAAGGGUACAACUGGAUGUCAUACUGCUGCUCCAUAUCCUCAAGAGCCCGUAGAUUUUGCCUCAACUCUGGCUGAGGCCAAUGUAAGUCCAAUUUGCAAAAGCUCUUUAUGCACCAUAGCUCUUCAGGAAGCUUUCUCAAGUAAGCACAAGGGUUGACAAUUAUGCUUCCAAGUUUUGGCAUUGCUCCAGCCCCUAUCGUCCACUCCUCUAGCAAAUACAUUGAUUUCAGGUGCAAUACCUUGAGCUCCGGGAAACCACAAGAGCAAACACAAGCCAGUUUUCUUCCUGAAUAUGAGUUCUGGUUCAAUUUCAGCACUUGAAGGUGUGGAAGCUUGUCUAGUGUUAGCAUGGUAUCCUCCAAUAACUCAGUAUUUGAUAAGCUUAGAUGGAUCAGACUUGGAGAAGCUGGUAUUUAGACAGGGCCAUCCGAGAGAGCUACCACCUCUGGUUUCGUUCACCAGCUUCAAGCAUUCAAGUUUGUGUAGUUCGCAUAGGCUUUUGGAAACCCCAGAACGAUAAUAACUCAAAUCUCCAGAUACUAAGAGUUUGAAAAUGAGGUAGUCUGCCUGUUAAAGUAGCUCACUAUGUUGAACAAAUGAAGGAGAAAGCUAAGCUGGAGAAAAUACAGGGCAAGAGUAUUAGCUGUGCCAGCUCAACUGACAGCUCAGCAAAAUCAGUUAAAUUUUGUUACAAGCCCCCUGUGCAUUGUGCUGAAGAUUAGUUAGUUUAAUAAUGAUUAGUUUUAGAUUAGUUAAAAUGUAAUCAUGAUUAAGAUAUAUAUAUAUAUAUAUAUAGCUGCUGUACUGAUAUCAUGGAUUAAGUGUUGAGAAAUAAAAUUCAUUAAGCAUUUCCAGAACUCUUGAUUUUCUUUCUCAGUAGCCAAACAACUUCACUCUCAUUUUUUUUUUUCAACAAUGAGUUCUCAAACCACUCAGGUAUCAUUUUCAGACAUUCUUGGCCUUGUACUCACCAUCAAAAUGGGUUGGUUGAGAGAAAACAUAGGCAUAUUGUUGAAUUAGGUUUGACUCUGUUGGCUCAAGCUCAACUUCCUUUUAAAUUCUGGUGGGAUGCAUUCCAUACUGCUCUAUCAUCAAUAGAUUACCAUCUUCUGUUUUCAAACUUUCGACCCCAUAUGAGAAGAUAUUCAAGCACAAACCUGAUUAUGAUUUUCUCAAAUGUUUUGGUUGUAUUUGUUAUCCUUACUUGAGAGACUAUAACAAACAUAAGUUUGCCUAUCAUUCCAGUAACUGUAUAUUCAUUGGUUAUAGUCCUUCACAAAAGGGUUAUAAAUGCUUACAUUCUUCAGGUCAUGUCUAUGUGGCAUGACUUGUUAUCUUUGAUGAGUCAACCUUUCCUUAUGCUACUGAAUCUGUUUUUCAUAGUCACACAAAUUCUGAUUCUCAUUCUUCAAACUUAUUUACUCCACAGCAUGUCUAUUAUCUUUCUACUUUACCUGUCAUACCAGUAUUUCUAAGUAACAACACUGAUAAUCUAAACUCUACAAAACUAAAAUACCAGCUUUUUGGUGUUAGCAAUAGGAAACAACUUACCACAACCAUUAAUUAUCCAUAAUUUCAUUGUUUAUCCUCAGUUUUCUUCAUAAAUGUUACAGCAUUCUUCACGAGAAAGCGCAAGGGCAUUUCAAAAGUUCUGAAAUAAUACCUCAAUUCUAUUGCAAAAAUAAAUAAUCUCAAACAAGAACCAAUAAUCAUAUUUCGUUACUGUCAAACACAAUGCAUCUGAGCAAAACAUUGGAAGCCAACACCAGAAUACAUAUGAAUAAACAAUUAAAGAUAGAGAAAAAAGGCUUAAACCUUGGGGGAAAAAAGUGAAAAAAACAUGAAAGACAAAUUACACAUGUACAGUAAUCAUCGAACUUAUCAGUCACAGCUGCAUCCAUUACAUUGCUCCAACAACACAAUGGCAAACCACCAGUUUCAAAUUGAGGAUAGCUAUCGAGAAUGAGAAAGUGUCCAAAACGUCAUAAAUAGACAUGUUCCUAUUGUGCAUAAUUUACAUUAUAGGCAAAUAUUCUUAUACCAUCAAAGGCAACACAUGACACUAACAAUUGAUCCCCCCCCCCCCCCCCCCCAAACAACCAAAAAAAGGAAAAAGAAACAAUACAGAAAAGAUUGAAACAGAUAAGGCUACACUGAGCACAGGAUGCCAUGAAACAUAAUCCAGGAACCAAAUUAAUAAAAAAGGAGGCCAAACCAUUAUUUAACAAUCUGUUUUGUAUUUGGGAAAGUCUGAUAAAAUCUACUGAGGGAUAAUUAGAGAACCUCAACUAUUAAUCACACCUCAUAAAUGAACUAACAUUAACCAUCUACCAUCCCCACGUCACACAAACAUUCUCUAUACUUCUGAACCUAAUACUUCCAUCUUCAAUAGGGGGUUUUUUUUCUUUUUUUUGGGGGGGGGGGGAGUUAUCAAUUUUCUAAGCUUGCUUAGCUUCUGUGUAGGACUGAAAUGCUCAUUUCGAAUCACUAACAGUAAAAUUGGAAGCUCAUGAAAAAACAGUUUUAUCCCAAAAUUGCAUCUCGAUAUAAAUUCUCUUUUCAUUUCCUUCAACUUUCUAAUUAAGCUUAAAAAAUGUACCUUCAACCACAAAGGGGUUUAAAAUUUAAAAUAUAAAAAAUAAAUUCAGAUAAAAAUAAUUAAUUUAAUUAAAAAUAUAAAUAGAGUUACAGAGAAAGAGAAAAUAGAGAAAGACCUAAUGUUGAGUCCUUUGGCGCAUGUCUCUUCAUAGGUCCGAACCAUUUCUUCGGGCGUGGGUUACGGCCGAGAUUGGAUAAUGAUGGAGGAGGAGAAGAUUAGCGAUGACGACGCCGAUGAAAUGGAAGGGUUUACCAGAGGAGUGGAUGCGAAGAGUGCAGGGACGGCCGCAGAGAGAGAGCGGCGGAGAGCGGCGACGGACGGAUGGCGGUAUGGGCCAUUGCUUGCGCGUCGGUGAUUGUCUCGAGUGAGAGAGUGAAGGGUUUUGUUUAGGGUUUUGGGAAAUGAAAAAUGCAAAUGUUUGAUUUUGUUGCUAGAAACUUCUUCUGCUGCUGCCUUUUAUUGUCGCUAUAAUAAUAAUAAUUUGUUAAUCAAAUAUUUUCUUAAAAAAGAUAAAUUUCUACAACAAAAUUUAUAUUAAAUCAAAUUGUAAAAAUGUCUAAUAGGGUUAAUUUCUCCUUAAUAUUAUUAUUAGUAGAAGUAGAUUUUCAAAUUAGUCUUGAUAUAUAUCAGAGUUGUAUUAUAAAUGUAUAUGUAUCUGGAUUGCAAUUAUAUUUUAAAAAAAAUAAUUUUUUUAAUUAUUGCACAAUAAAUGUAGAAAGUGUCUAUAAAAUAAUAUUAUUGGAACUAUGAAAAGAUAUUAUUUUAGAGUAGUUAUUUAUUUAUUUUUGAAUAAAUAAUUUAUUAAUUUAUUGAUAAAUUAAAUAAAUAUUAAUUUAAACAGAGAAUUUUUUUUUUGUGGGUUUUUAAGAAGAGUUUUGUUGGUAUAUGUGCAAACUUAUAAAGAAAUACAAAAAAUGCUUCCUCAAGUCAAUAGUAUUUACUUUAAUUCAUAAUAAGAUAGUUUAAUCAAGAAACUUGUAAUUAUACUAUAUCUUUCUUUCUUUGUUCUGUUUGGUGGGAUAUUGUGAUAAAUCAUUGGAUUACAAUGCAUUUCUAAAUGAAAACUUGUUAAAACCUAAUUUAUUUGGGAACCACAUUUUAUUUGUCAGUCUUAUUUCUCAACUUAGCAAAUUAUUUCUAACUUAUCGGUCUCUAUUGGUUCUCUUAAGUACCUGUUUGGUAUAUCUUAUUUAAUGGCAAUAAGUACUUAUUUAAUCUCAUAAUUUUUUUCCCUCUCUGACAAUUGAGGUAGGGGGUCAAACUUGAAAGUAUCUUAAAAUCAGACAACAAUUUAACUAUUUUUUUUUUUUAGAUAACUGCUAAUAUGCUCUAUUAGACAAUGAUAAGUGAUUGCAUUUAUGCAUCCCCACCAAUAUUUAAGCAAUUUAAUUACAGAAACAUUUCUUGAGGAAAGAAACUCAUAUCACCACUAGGCUUUUAAUGAGGCUCAUUUUUAUGAAUCUGGAUAGCAUUAGAUAUCUCUCCGAAUAUUGGUGGGAGUAGAUCGCAGAUCUCUGGGCUAUACUACAAAGUGUAUGUACGUUGACUCUCAAUAAACACAAACGAUUCCCUGAUAUGAUUCAAAACAUCAGUGCAUGCAUCAUUUUAACGAGAGAGAAUAUUCCCAGAAAUGUACACGCAUGAGGAAUUUUUCCUAGAAGAUUGAUAUUUCUUUAACUAGCAAACCAUACAAGUCCGGGGCUUAAAUGGAGUACUUGUAAGCAUAAAACAUUAAUCAAAACACAGUAUAGACACACACACACACACACCCCUACAUACAUACCAGCAAAUUCGAAAUAGAAAAAGAAGUGCAGCUAUUCAAGUUUGUAGACAAUAUUUCAACCAUGGCAUAUUAAAGCAAAUCCUUGAAAUCAGCUAAACAAAACAAUGCCCUGUCUCAUGAAUCGAUGCUCAAUUAAAAUUGAAAUUGAAAGUCCGGCUGGUGUUGUUUCCCUCUCCAGUUUUGCCUACAUAAGUAAAGGGAAAUGAGAAUCAUAAAUGAAAAUCUGCUUUGACAGUUCUUAUUAGAUAGAUAUAAAUGGAUCUUUCUUUGUUUCUCUGCUGUAAUUUGUGGCUACCCCACUCUGUUUUGCCAGUCAAGCUGAGUCUACGUUAAGGCAUAAUUUUGACAUCAGAAGCAACCUCAAUUAGUUUGGCAUUUUCAUGACCUCCUUGAAGGUUUUACGAUAAACAUAAAUCCACUGAGAAAGUGGGAAAAAAAGAAAAUUCAUAUAAAAGUAUGAGUUAUCAGAUAAGAUUAAAACUCACCCAAUUCAAUCCAUCAGAUUCCGUAAGGAUAUAACUGGAUGUCAUACCGCCACUCCAUAUUCUUGAAAGUCCGUAGUGUUUGUCUCAACUCUGUCUGGGGCCAAUGUAAGUCCAAUUUGCGCAAGCUCUUUAUGCACCACAGCUCUUCUGGAAGCUUUCUCAAGUAAGCACAUGGGUUGACAAUUAAGCUUUCAAGUUUCGGCAUUGCUCCAGCCCCCAUCGUCCACUCAUCUAGCCAAUACAUUGAUUUCAGGUGCAAAACCUUAAGUUCGGGAAAGCUACUCAAGCCAACACAAGCAAGCUUUCUUCCUAAAUACGAGUUCUGCUUCAGUUUCAGCACUCGAAGGCGUGGAAGAUUUUCCAGAAUUGGCAUGGGAUCCUCCAUUAGCUCAGUAUUUGAUAAGCUCAGUUGGAUCAGACUUGGGGGAAAUUGGUAUUCAGACUGGACCAUCCGUGAGGGCUUGCUCUCAUUCACCAGCUUCAAGCAUUCAAGUUUGUGGAGUUCGCAAAGGCUUUUGGAAACCCCAGAUUGAUAGUAACUCAAAUCUCCAGAUAUCCGAAGAGUCUGAACACUUGGUAGUCUGCCCAAUAUAUCAGGAGUACAACUACUAGGGUUUAAAGCUGAUAUGAAAAUGAGUUUUUUCAGAGAGCUAGAAUAAUUUUUUGGAGGUGCGGGCAGAGUGAUAGAACCAAAGUUUAGAUGCAUGAGUUUUUGCAUCAUCCAAAUAUCCUCUGGUGACUGAUCUAUGUAGCUAGAUGGCAUUUCUAGUGUUUCAAGGUUUAAAAGGGUGCAUAGCAGUGAAGGAAGGCAUUUGAGCGAAGGGAUAUUCAAUUUCAAAUACUUCAAAAGAUAUAAAUUUUCUAAUGCGGGUGGAUAUUGGUCCAGGACUGCAGAACCCAUGUUCAAUACCCGAAGGUAUUUGAACCUUUUAAAAAAAUUCUCGCAAUCUUUCGGAUUAAGAUGAUUGCUUUCUGAACUGUGAUUCAGAAAUGAUUGGAGAUACAUGUCAGACUGUUGUAAAAAAAAGAACUCAAGCAGAUCUUCCAAAAUGAAGCACCGUUUAGCAUUUUCAAUUGAUUCCCCUAUCCAUGCAGGCAUUCGGACAAAUCUCGUCUUCUCUGCCACCAAACCCAAUGAAGUAAAUACAAAACUUGGAACAUAACACGCUUUAAUUGUGCCUCCGGCUCUUCUCGUACUCACUUUAAUGAAGCCGCGAUGGAUUAGUUCUUUCAAGUAAUGUUCGGCAGUUUCUUCACCGUUGUAUGGUAUGAAACCUUCAGCUACCCACAACUGAUAUAAUUGCCUCGUGGAUAUCUCGAUGCCUGGAGGGAAGACACACAAAUAGAUGCAGCAGACUUUCAAGUGAAAAGGUAACUCCAUCACAGAGAAAAUUUGUCUCCAUACUGUCGGAAUCGCUUCGCUUUGAAGAUAAUUUUCUAAUGGCAUACUUCCAUAGUGUAGGAUGAAAAAUUGCCAGGCCUCAUGCUUUAGUCUGAUCAAUGGUCCUCCAACGAGCACUGAACCAUGCCGAAUCUUCUCUCCAUUUUCCAUUUCCAACGACUCAAGGAGGUCUGGAUCAGCGGCCAAUAUUAAUACUCUGCUUCCAUUCUCAUUAUCAGGGAGAACUUCUUCGAGAUCAUCCCAUAUCUCACGGUCAUUGAAGACGUCAUCAAGCACAAUAAAGUACUUCUUGUUUGUUAGGUAAUCUCGAAGAAUAGAUUUCUUCAAUUGAUAAUCUUCACCGAUAAUUACACUAACCCGAGCUGGAGGCAUCACAGACUUGAUUAUGCCAUCCAAUAUCUUGCCAAAAUCAUAACGUAGAGAAACCCUGACCCAAGCAUGACAGUCAAAAUAGAACUUGACAUGAUUACUGUUAUAAGUAUGUGCAGCAAAAGCAGUCUUAUCGAAGCCACUGCUGUCGAGAAUUGCAACCACUGAAAGCCCAGAUGGUCCCUCAAUCAAUAGAUCAAAAAACUUCUCUCUGCCCCUUUCAAAUUCACUGAUAUCGAGCCGAGGUUGUCCCUCACUCAAUAGGCGAAUGAUUUCGUUACGUUUUUCACUGAUAUCAAAACCAUUGUCGCCGGGUGGAAGUUGUUGCGUCCGAUUUCUAAUAUCAAUGAUUUCACUGAUAUCAAAACCAUUAGUGCUGCUUUCACUUUCGUUUUCACUGUUUUGCUGCUGCAUAAUGUUGAUGAAGAAUGUGUCAAUGGCUUCCUCAGAUUCAUGGACAAAGUGAUUGAUGUCCUUAAGAAUUUCCAGAAUGUCUGAUCUUUUAACGUCUUCUUCAUCACUUUCUUCUAAGUCCAACAGUUGCAAUAAAGGCAAAGACAUAUUGGAUUCAGCGAAUUCUUGUCUGAAUAGUUGAGACAAAAUCCGAGCCAUGUCAGCUUCAUAGUUUCCCGACAGAGUAGUAGUAAUAAUUUCAGACUCCGUAAGAAGGUUUUGAAAAAGCGGGGCUAAAUUUGUUGAAUCAGUCAACGUUAACGUGCCUUCUUCACCUGCUAACACCCUUUUCAACCUCUCACAAAAUAGUCGGAGGUGGACGUCCAGCAUAUCUCCUUCUCUCUGUAGCACCCAGAGGUAUUGUUUUUUGCUCCAAGAAAUAUUAAAAGGAUUGGUUCUAUCUCAAAGUGGUUACUGGUGUAAAAUUAAACGCCAUGGGAGAAUUUGAAGGGAAGAUGCCAAGGAACUGGCGAUGUGGCUAAAUUACACAAAUACGGCAUUAUUGCUCAUUUUUAACUCAAAAAAUUGAUACCAAGACGCUUGCCUUUUGAAAAGAAGAGGUAUCCAACCUUUAUCUUAUUUAAUUACUACCAUGACAUGAUUGAUGGUGCUUAAAUCAAUUGUUUCUUUAUUAAUUUAAAGAAUUUUUCAUUAAAAAAAUUAUUUUAAUAUCAAAUACCCUUCAAUGGCAUAACUGCCGCAGGCCCAGAAACAGGAUUAAUUAAAAUUUUUUGAAUUUUUGGGCAAGGAAAGAUUUGAAAUUCUAGUUAUGCAACCCAAGAGGGAGUGAAUUAGAAUUCUAUAAAUUAUUUAAUUUAUAAAGAAAACCUUAAUGCAAAUAUAAACCAAAUUCAAAGCAAUAACAAAUAAGGUGAUCACAAUAUAAAAAGAUAAGGGAAGAGAGAUUCAAACACAUAGAUUUUUACUUGGUUCGGCCAACCUCGCCUACGUCCGCGCCUCCAAGCUUUCCGAGCUUAAAGAUUCCACUAAGCAAGCCUCCAAGGCUUCAAAUGCUUACACUUGACUUCCAAGGUGUCAAUAACCUUUACAACAAGAGAUUAUCCCAAUCUCUUUAACCCAAGUGUAUCCCAACACUUACAAUCACUCAAAACAAAAGAUUACAAAUUUGUUUUGACUCUCACAAUAUUUAAGAUUACACAAUGAUGCCCAAUAUGUCAAUAGAUGAAGCAAGAAUGUGUUCAAAGCUCUAUGAAGAUUGUAUUCUCGAGUAUAAGCUCAAUAGUCGUGUUGUGAUCAAUCUUGUUUGAAUUUGAAUGAGCUUAUUUAUAUUUGGAGCUGAAAAACUAGCCAUUACAAACUGUCGGCCCGAAAACGGUUCGCUGUUAACCAUUAACGGUUAACCGUUUAGGCUGGUCAAAAGUUACCGUUGGGCCAAAUUUCAAAUAAACGGUUUGCCGUUUAGGAUUACCCCUUCGCCGUUAAAUUCUAGAGACCUGCAAGAUGAAUAUCAGUUAUCCGUUUACAUUAAACGGUUAAAGAUUUGCAUGAAGUGACUUCUCUGGAUAUUAUCGGUUAACCGUUUGUAAUAAAUGGUUCGCCGUAUGUUUCCAGUAACCUGCAAAACAAUUUAGCCUUAUCCGAUUUUGUUAAACGGUGCCAGAAGAGUACAACCUUCAAUUCUGGAUUUUAUCGGUUAACCGUUUAAAUAAACGGUUCACCGUUAAAUUCCAGUAGCCUUCCCAGCUUUUUGUGUUUUCCAUUUUUCUUAAUCGGUUAGAGCUUAGGCAAUAUGUUGCUCUCUGGUUUUAAUCGGUUAACCGUUUGAAAGAAAACGAUUCACCGUUUAUUUCCAGAAUCACAUUUUAAACCAGAUUUUGCAGAAAGUCAUUUUCUAAUUUGAAAGUCCAUCUUUUAUGAAUAUGAUUGGAAUGAUUAUAAGGCUUUCAUUUAUUAAGGAAUAGCUCCAACAUUUUAAUCAAAAACCAUUUAAAGUUUGUUAUCAUCAAAAUCAAUAUUAUUAACAUAUUCAUGUUAACAAUAGUAGUAUUAAACAUCAGAAAGCUAAGGUUGUUCUGUUAAUGAAUUGAUAUUGACAUAAUUUUAUUUUGGUUUCCGGGGAAAAAAAAACAUUUGUUGACAAGCAAGAAAAUAUUUUUAAAUUUUACAAUUUAUUAUACAUAUUUUAUCAUAUUACAAUAAUUUUAAUAAUAAAUAGAAACAUAAUAUUACAAUAAAUAAGUUAAAGUUUAAAUUAUUUUAAAUAUUAUAAAAAAUAAUUUUAAUAUUAUUAAUAGGAAGACAUUUUGUUAAUUUUAAAACCUUUUUAACCCAAAGGUUUAUUUAAAAGCUUUAUAAUAAACAUAAAUAUAAGAUUAAAAUAAAUAUCAUAAUUUGAAAUUUUUAGUAUUAUUUUAAAUAUUAAAAAUACUUUAAUAUUAUUAGCCUACUACAUUGAUUUUAUUAUUUAUAUUAUAUUCAUAUUGAUUAAAACUUUUUAAAGUCAAUUUUUUAGUCAGUAUAUUCAAGAGGUAUCAUAGUUAAAGAAAAGAUUUUGGUGUUAUUUUUUGAAAAUUUUAAGGUUUAAAUGAUAAUUUUUUAAAAUUUUAAGGAUGUAGGUAUUAUUUUUCCGACAAUUUAUUUUAUUUUUGAGGAAUUCGAUGAGAAAUAUCAUGAGAGAAGGUUAAUUUUACAUUCUUUACCUUUAUGAAAAAAGUGGAAACCAAGAAGUAUUCAAUUUUGUAUUUUUUGUUUGUAAUUCAAAAAAUGCAUCCACCAAACAAUCUUAUCUUGAUUUUUUCACUUUAUUCAUUUUCGAUCCUUUAAUCCAUCUAGUAUCUGCAGCCCCCGCCAUUUUUACAAAUCUCCAUCCGACAUCUACCCUAUCAAACAAAGUUGAUGGAAAUUGAACAAUUGCUUUUUGAAGUGGACCCAAUAAGUGGACAUUUUAUUAAUAUUAAACAAAGUUGACGGAAAUUGAACAAUUGCUUUCUAUGAGCCACUUAUUUUUAACAUUAGCGAUCUUAUCUGGACUACUCCAAUUAUUGAUGUAACUCCAAUGGUUGCAUCAACAGUUGAAUGUAAGAUAGUGUUAGCUCUUCUUUGAGAAUAUAGAGUGAUCUUUCUUUGUUUCUCUGUUGCGACGUGCUACUAUAAAUUUCUUUACCUUGCAGUUUAUAUAGUCUUGCUGUUAAUGAAUUCGCGGAGGCAUUAUUGAUCCAAUCUCAGUGAAGUAAUUGUGGGUGGAAAAUGAAUAAAGGGUAAGAGAACGUAGCUCAAGUGCUGAAUUGGCUAUUAAAGAAGAGUGUCACUUGAUCACAAUCACAUUGAUGCACAACUCACUCGAGGCAAAUUUCAUCUAUAUAUGUACUGCAAAUUCAGCCAAACCAUACAUGCAGGAACAAAACUAAAAUGUAGUUCUAAUCAAAACUGUAAUUAAAGCUACAAAAGGCUUGCUCAAUCCAAAAACUUAAAAGGAAGAUUUUACUCAAGUUUGUCCCCAAAAGACAGCUGAAUUGAAAAAUAUUGACUAUUGAAUCAAUGCUCAAUUACAUUUGAAAUGGAAAGCUUGGCUGCAGUUACGAUGUUUUUCCCUCUGAUUUUCUUCCAAAACAAAUUCAUUUGUAAACAAUAACGGAAGUAGCAAUAAUUUAUUCAUCAAAGAAAAUAUCCAAGUUUUCAACUAACAAAUCCUUUUGUCUAAACUAAAAAAACUUAUAUUUUUAAAAUCUAUCUACAAAAUGUUGGAAAUAAAGAGUGAUCUAUCAACUCGGUAAAUAAACUCAUACAUAAUGUUUACAAUAAUGAUAAAUUACAUAAUAAUUAUUAUAAAGAAUCAUAAAUUAGAAAAAUAUUUUAAGAUCAAAUUGCCUUCAAUGCUGAAUUACAUUUGAAAUGGAAAGCAUGGCUGCAGUUACGAUGUUUCCCCCUCUGAUUUCCUCCAAAACAAAUUCAGUUGUAAACAAUAACGGAAAUAACAAUAAUUUAUUCAUUACUCAAAUUUUUUCAACUAACAAAUCCUCUUGUCUAAACUAAAAAAACUCAUAUCUCUAAAAUCUAUCUGCAAAAUGUUGGAAAUGAGGGGUGAUCUGUCAAUUCGGUAAAUAAACUCGUGCAUAAUGUUAACAAUAAUGAUAAAUUACAUAAUAAUUAUUAUAUAGAAUCAUAAAUAAGAAAUAUUAAUCAUUUCACAAUCUAUUACGUAAGUAAGAUAAAUUUCAUAAUAAGUUAAGUUAUAAUGUAAUAAAUAUUUUCAAUAUGCUAAGAUAGGAUUGGUCCUAUCUCAAAGUAGUUAGUGGUGUAAAACUGAUGGUUGUCGAAGCCAGCAAAAAUAAAUACCUACUCUAAAUAAAUUGUGUAUAGUGAUUGAGCAGGGUCGUGUCCACAGAGAUCGGUAAUUAUUUAAAUCAUUUUAAAAUGUAAAAUGCAAAAUGGGGGAAUUGUUGACAAUAAUAAAAAUCAAAUUAAAAUAACAAGAAUGUAAAUUAAAAUUGUAAUUCAAAUUGGGGAAAAAGUAGUAUUAGACUUCAGAAAGCUAAGGUUGUUAUGUUAAAGAAUUCAUAUUGACAUAAUUUUAUUUUGGCUUUCGGGGAAAAAAAUAUUUGUUGACAAGCAAGAAAAUAUUUUUGUAUUUUACAAUUUAUUAUACAUAUUUGAUCAUAUUAAAGUAAUUUUAAUAAUAAAUAGACACAUAAUAUUACAAUAAAUAAAGUAAAGUUUAAAUUAUUUUGAAUAUUAUAAAAAAUAAUUUUACAUUUGAAAUGGAAAGAGUGGUUUUAAACACCAGAAAGCAAAGAUUAUUCUGUUAGACAAUUGUUAUUGACAUAAAAAAUAAUUUGGUUUUCAAGGAAAAAAAACAUAUUUGUUGACAAGCAUGAAAUUUUUUUUUUGUAUUUUACAAUCUGUUAUUACAUAUUUUAUCAUAUUAAAGUAAUUUUAAUAAUAAAUGUAUAUGUAUCUAGAUUGUAACUAUAUUUUAAAAAAUAUAAUUUUUUUAAUUAUUGCACAGAAAAUGUAGAAAAAUGUCUAUGAAAUAAUAUUAUUAGGACUAAGAAAAAAUAUUAUUUUAGAUAAGUUAUAUAUUUAUUAUUGAAUGAAUAAUUUAUUAAUUUAUUGAUAAAUAAAUAUUUAUUAAUUUAAAGAGAGAUUUUUUUUGGUUUUAGUAAUAGUUUGUUUGUUACAUGUACACACUUAUAAAGAAACACAAAAAGUGCUUGCUCAAGUCAAUAGUAUUUGCUUUAAUCGCUACUGUUCAUAAUAAUGUAGCUAAGUUAGGAAAUUUGUAAUUAUACUAUGGUUCUGUUUUGUAACGCCCAAAUUUCUAUUAUUUUAUUUUAUUUUUAAUGGAAUUUAUAAAUGGCGUUACUGCCCUUAUAAAAAGGGUUAUUCAUGGGAUAAUUUUUAGGAAAUGGUUAUUUUUCCAAAUUCAAUAGGGUUUCUUAAGACUCCCUAUAAAUUAAUAUUUUUUUUCCCUUCGAUACUCGAAGUCCACGACGAUUCUUCUUCUUCUCUGCUGCUCAUUAUGCUCCUACCCAAACCCUAGGAUUCAAACUUUUGCUUAGGAGAGAAUCAAAGCGAUUGGUGUUGGAGGUGAUUGAGGCUCUUAGAGGCUUAGAGGUCUGUUAAUUCAAAUUCUUUUGUCGAGAUAAGUAAUUUCAUUCCUAAUAUACUGGAUAUGUAUAAGUAUUUUGAUGUUAUUAUAAGAGUUUUUAUACUUCUUAGAAGAUUAAUAGAUUUUCAUACCAAAAUCAGUUUAUGAAAAUGUUUUCAAAUCUGAAUUCUUUUGAUAAAAUAUUUUAUAAAUGCGUUUUAAUAUGUAAAUUAUUUUAUGACAUGACUGCCUUUUAUAAUUUUGUCUAUGAAAUAUUUUUGCAAGCCUAAAUUGUUGCUAUAGACUUUCAUGAAUCUAAUACGAAUGUUUUGUGCCUAUGUAUGAUUUUAAUUAUUUAUGACUGUACGGGGGCCACCUCUUGAGACUAUAUGGGGGCCACCUCUUGAGGGCCAAAGCGCCGCAAAGUGCCACAUAUAGUGCAAAGUGCCACGUAUAAGUCAUUAUGUUUUGGCUCAUUGUCCGUAGUUAUUCUGAUUCUAAUUCUGAUUGUAUUAUACGAUAUAUUUGUUCUGGACUAGUACUAGGUUUAUGUUCUAAGUGUGCACACGAUAUUCUGAUUCUGUUUCUGGUCAGGUCACCGAGACUAUAGGUGAUACUAUGUGACAUGAGCUAACUAUCUGCUUUCUGUAUACACUUUAUACGAUUUGCUUUCAUAAUUGAUUAUUCUUUUGAUACUCUGAAUUACCAUGAAUUUAUGUUAUAUAAUUGAAAUAUGUUGUUUUAUGAAGUUUAUGAGUUAUAAUAUAUGUUUUUGAAUAAAAGAAGGCUUGCAAUAUUUUUGAUAUCGAUAGGCCUAGUGUAUUAGGAAUGAUUUUACCUACCGAGUUGACAGCCCACCCCUCGUUAUUACUUUUUGCAGAUUAAGUUCCUUUUAAGAGGUAUGCGUAGCUUUGGAGUUAGAGAUUUCGUUUCCGUUUGCUAUUUGAAUAAGAAGAGGAAUAGACUCAUGUUUCUUUUUAGUUUAUUUCUGUUAUGAACUUGUAAUUUGGAGUUUGAGACUUUUGUUAUUGUUAUGUUUUGGAAGAGAUUAUUUAGUGUUAGACGUAUUAAUUUGUGGAUUUAUUUGAAUAAGAAUUUGAGGUAUUUGAGUUUGGAAUUUAUAAGUAAGGAUUACGAUUUGUAAGUAACCUCCUUCUUCAUGUGCUCCGCACGUGUUAGAUUUGGGGUGUCAUAUGUUUCGUAUAACUUUUGAAGUAGAGCUUAUUUAAAUAGAGUAUUCGUCAAUAAAGCUUCUAUAAAUAAAGAUUUUACUAAAAAAAAUUUAGUUGUUUGGUUGUCAAUGUCCAAAUUGACGAACUUUUGUUCCUUUGCUAACAUGUAUUUGUUUUAUUUAAUAAUAGAAGUUUGGUUUACAAUUACACCACCUUCAAAUCAGCUGAGCAUUUUUGCAACCGGUCACAUUAUACAUUAUACUAAUAGCAUCGGCAAGAGUUUUCGAUUGUUGCAACUUGCAAUGGACGCGAUGGGAGAAAAUGAGAAUCUUGUUUAAUUGCAAUAUUGACAAACCUAAUCCUUUCGUAGGGAGUAAUUUAAUAAUCGCUUGUUAUAAUUGAAUAUGUAUAAAGAAAGGAAAAUUCUAUUCAUAGAUUUCGACUUAUUUUUUGUUUAAAGUAAUUAAUCAUUCAACCAUCUUCAUUUGCCUCUGGCCAAUGCCCUUGUAGAUUAGUUGAACCGUUAAUUACUUAAUUCAGAUAAUUACAGUGUCCUUUUCGCUAAUUAAUUAUGAUUAUAUACGCUUUCAUAUAGCAAGUGGCUUUGUAGAUCUAAACCAAGUUGCUAUUUCAAAACGUUAAUUAAGUGAUUCUCCUCAUUGUCAUCAGCGUUAUACGCUCUAGGAAAAUAGCUCAAUUGUUUCCCUGCAUUGAUUUUCAUUGGUACGUGAUUUCUUAUGAAAUUCUUUUGAGCUUUCCUUAUUAAAAAUGCUUGAGCUUUUAUCACCCAAUACGGAUAUCAAUUAACUUGUGAACGAUUUUGUAAUGAAACUAGGAGUUAAAUAAGAUUUUUACAUGAUGAAUUUUUAUUUUUUUAAUUUUUUGAUGUAGUCAAUUUGCUAAUUUUAUGUAUUUCAUAUUCAACGGAAUUUGGGCACGGAAAGUUUGGAUUCUAAUAUUUAUAUGUUUAGCUUUAAUCAGUUUGACUUUCGUAAUCUUUUUCCCCUCAUCAUUAAGGGAUUCAGAAUUAGAGAAACGUUAGGAAGAGGAAGAAAAUAAUUUCGGAAAUAAGUAAGAGGGAAAAAAUUAUCAAAUUAGGAAUGAUUUUUUGUAGAGUAUGUUGCGUUUACUAAAAUGAAAUCGAAAUGAGCUGGAAUCAGAAUGGAUAAAAAUGCGAAUGUGCUGGAAUAAGAAUAAGUAAUGAGAAUCAGAAUAAGUUGUUUACUUGAACUGUAAGAAUCGAAAUCGAAAUGAGCUGGAUUGCAAUUACUUUGUCCUACAAUUAGAAUCAAAAUGAGUUAGAUUGUAACAAAUUACUAAAAGGUACUUAAUGAAUUAUUGUCAUAAUUAUUAUUUUAUAUUUUAAUUAUAGUGAUUAUUUAUUCUAAAUUAUUAUUAUUAAUUAUUUUCAAUAAUAUAUUAAUAUGUUAAUUAAUUUUAAAAAUUAUUAAUUAAUUUAUUAUAAUAAUAUACUAAUUAAUUAUAAUAAUUAUAUUAAUAAUUAUUAUAAAAAUAUAUUAAUUAUUAAUAAUGAAAUUACUUAUUUAAUUAUAAUAAUAUAUUAAUUAUUGUGAUUAUUUAUUCAAAAAUUAUAAUUAUUAAUAAUUAUUGUUAAUAAUGUAUCAAUAUAUUUUAUAUUAUGAAAUUGUGAUGUAUUGUAGACAAAUAAGGGAAUUUGGUACAAUAAAUUCUUAAUAUCUUAGUACAAAGUAUGGUACAAUGAUAUUUUAACUUAUUGUAGACAGAUUAAAUUUCGACACACUUAAUCCAUAAUAAAAUUAGUGGAAAAUAAUGAUAAUUUAUACAAUUAAUCUUUUGAGCAAUAAAAAAAUAAAAGAAAAAGAAGUUACUAAAUUAUGUUUACUGUUAAGAGUGAAUCCACAAUCCUAAAUAAUUUAUUUCCAUCGUUUCACUUAAAUUAAAUAGUGUGAAUUUAAAUUCUAAUUUUUUGAUAAAUUAAAAAGAAAUAAAAAAUUAAAAUUUUUCUCUAUGGAUCGACCUCGGAUUGAUCAAUUUAUUUCAUAACAACACACUUUUAUACUUGAGAGUUAUAAAUAACUUUGAAGUUGUGUUAAGUUUUUGACGCUCUUACGGGGGAAAAAUAUUUAUUUUAUUUUAUGUAUGGGUCAAACUUGAAAGUAUAUUUUAAGAUAGCUGCUAAUAUGCUCUAUUAGACAAUGAUAACGUAGUUGUUUGUGGUGUUCAUAAUGAGUUUAAUUAUGAUUCAACAAUUUAAAAUAUGAAAACAUAUGGAAGAUGGCCGUAAUUAAAUUGAUUGCAUGAAAAUAUUUCAAUGAAAUUUUAAAAAUUUGGUACUUAUUAUCUUAUCAAAAGUUUUUUAAAUUAUAUUACUACUUCAACUUAACUCCUCCUGGAUUGAUUGUAUUGAAUUUCCAGCACCGCCAUUGCUUCUACUUGAAAGCCAUUUAAGUUUGUGUAAGCUACCUAUAGUUUGAAUAACAAUUUACUCAUGAAUUGCUGUUCAUGAUAACAAUUUGAUUGAAAGUGCGGCUGCACUAAUUGUUCUCGUACGACCCCAGAAUGCUGUUAAAUCAGUUGUAUUGGAAAUUAAUCAACUGGUUACAACUCUACACCCCAUCAAUAUUUAAGCAGUCCACAGAACAUUAAUUGUGUUUUGAAAUUUUAAUGAGUCUCACGUGUUUUUCACGUGAUAUGCAGUAAAAACAAAAUUAAAAAAAUGAAAACAUUCAGCCCCAAAGCCAAAAUCCCCAACUCCUUCCAAAUUGGUUCCGCAGCCCCCAAAUCCCUUAAACCCAAAGCACUCUAAAACGACUCUCCUCAGCCAAAAAGAAAAAGGUCACCUCACCUCUCCUCUUCUUCUUCCAUGGCGAUCAACGGCGGCACAAGCACGGGCUGAUCUCCUUCGUCAGUAACGAUCAACGGCGGUACAAGCAUGGACAGAUCUUUUUUUUGGCAAUGAUGAACAGCGGCACAAGCAGAGUCGUCCUCAGGUACGGAUUUGAUGUUGGUUGUGUUGUCAAGUAGCGAUUCAUGUUUGGAAGAGAAUCCGCUCACAAGGACCUGGAGCACUUAAUCGAAGAUCUUAAGCGAGGAAUUCGCUUCCUCCUCAUUCCUAAUCGGUGCCUGAUUCAUCAGUAUGAUUAAGGAUGAAAAUUGAGAAAGAAGGACGCAUUAGGUUUGAGACAUUGGUUGAAAAACGCUACCCCGGUGGCCACGCUGGAAACAUAUGUUCCGUGGCUUCUUGCGUUGUCUGUGAGGAAUAUGUACUGCUGUAGAAGAUAAUUAUGAAUCAAUGGUAAUUGGCGUGUUGGUUUUGGUGCCGAUUUCCUCUUAUUUUCCAGAAAAGGCUUGUAAUUUGUUCACCUCAAGAUUCAAUUUUGUUAUUGAAAAUGGAUGGCUGUAAAGACCUAUUGGCCUUUCAUUAUAUUAAUGUUUUUGACAGUAAGUUUGUAAUAGUUAGUGCAGGGAACUUAUUGAUUCUUGAUUAUAUAUAACGGUGGCCCUUAUUACUUUAAAAAAAAAAAAAAAAUUGAUGAUGGGUUUCGUUUUGUAUAAGUGUUUGGAGUGUUGGAAAAUUAACAUUGUAUAUUUUAGAUAGUUGAGUUCCAUAGUAAUAAAAAGCUACGGAUUUGUUUUCUUUUUAUUGAAAUGAAAACAUUUUUCACUUGUAUAAUAGAAAAUAUACUAUAUCUUUAAUACUUUUGUCAAAUUUAUUAUUUAAAAUUUAUAUUUACUACAUAUUAUUAAUUUUUGUUUCAUAGUCAUAGCUUUUUUUCCACAGUAGCUGUAGCUUAAAAGAUACAGCACCUCAAUUCCAAACGCACUCUAAUUAAAAAUUUUAGAAUUUUUGGGCAUGGAAUUGAAAAGAGUAGUAUUAAACAUCAGAAAGCUAAGGUUGUUCUGUUAAAGAAUUGAUAUUCACAUGAUUUUAUUUUGGUUUUUGGGGAAAAAAAAAAUUGUUGACAAGCAAGAAAUUAUUUUUAUAUUUUACAAUUUAUUAUACAUAUUUUAUCGUAUUAAAGUAAUUUUAAUAAUAAAUAGAAGCAUAAUAUUAAAUAAAGUUUAAAUUAUUUUGAAUAUUAUAAAAAAUAAUUUUAAUAUUAUUAAUAGGAAGACAUUUUGUUAAUUUUAAAAUCUUUUUAACCCAAAGGUUUAUUUAAAAUGUUUAUUAUAAAUAAAGAUAUAAAAUUAAAUAUCAUAGUGUAAAAUUUUUAAUAUUAUUUUAAGUAUUAAAAAUAUUUUAAUGUUAUUAGUCUACUACAUAGAUCAUAUUACUUAUAUUAUAUUUGCAAUGAUUAAAAAAUUUUAAAAUCAAUUUUCUAGUUACUAUAUUCGCGAAAUAUUAUGGUUAAAGAAAAGACCUUGGUGUUACUUUUUACAAAUUUGAGUGCCUGCAUGAUAAUUUUUUCAAAAUUUAAGAAUGUAUGUGUCCUUUUCUCCAAUAAUUUAUUUCACUUUUGAGGGGAAUCCAAUGAGAAAUAUGAUAAGAGAAUGUCAAUUACUUGUCAUUUUCUAUUUUUUCUGUAAGCUAUUUAUUUUGAGCACUGGUGAUCUUGUCUUGACUACUCCAAUUAUUGAUGGAACUCCAAUGGCUGCAUCCACAGUUGAAUAUAUGAUAGUGUUAGCUCUUAUUUGAGAAUUCAGAGGGAUCUUUCUAUGUUUAUCAAUUGCAAUGUGCUAGUAUAAAUUUCUUUACCUUACAGUUUAUAUAGUCUUGCUGUUAAAGAACUCACUGAGGCAUUAUUGAUUCAAUUUCAGUGGAGCAAUCGCGCGUAGAGGAUAAAUAAAGGAUAACAGAACAGAGCUGAAGUGCUAAAUUGGCUAUUAAAGAAGGGUGUCACAUGAUCACAAUCACAUUGAUGCACAACUCUCUGGAGGCAAAUUUUGUCUGUAUGUUCUCUAAAUUCAGCCAAACCAUACAUGCAUGAACAAAAAUUAAACCGUAGUUCUCACCACAACAGUAAUUGAAGCUACAAAAGCCAGCAAAUCUGAACAAAAACUUAAAAGAAAGAUCUUAUUCAAAUUUGUCCCCAAAAGAGUGCUGAGAUGGAAAAUAUUGACUAAUGAAUGGGUCAAUGCUGGAUUACAUUUCAAAUGGAAAGCUUGGCAGCAGUUACAAUGUUUCUCCCUCAGCUUUUCCUCCAAAACAAAUUCAGUUGUAAACAAUAACCGAAGUAGAGAUAAUUCAUUCAUCAAAGAAAAUACCCAAGUUUUCAACUAACAAAUCCUUUUGUCUAAACUAAAAAACUCAUAUCUCUAAAAUUUAUUUGCAAAAUGUUGGAAAUGAGGAGUGAUCCGUUAUCUCCGUAAAUAAACUCAUGCAUAAUGUUAACAAUAAUGAUACAUUACAUAAUAAUUAUUAUAAAGAAAUAUAAAUUGGAAACGCUAAUCAUUCUACAAUCUAAUAAAUAAGUAAGAUAAAUCUCGUAAUAAGUUAAGUUAUAAUGUAUAAAUGUUUUUAAUAUAUAAUUAUUUAAGAAGUCAUUUAAUAAUAAAAUAUUUAUUCUAUUCAGUUGAUCAUAUAGCGUUAUCGAAACUCUUGACGAUAUUAUUAUUACACUUUUCUCAAAAAAACAUGAUUAACAUUUAGAGAAAAGUCAUGCCUUUUAGAUAGAAUAUGUACAUAAGCUAUCCAUAUUUUAUCUUACCAUGAAAAAAUUGAUGGUGAUUAAAUCUACUUUUAAAAUAGAUUUAAUGCACAAAUAUGAUGAUUUUUGGCAAAAAUUAGUUUCGGAAGAUACAAUGGUAGAAAAUAGUGAUGAUUAUUGUUUAAAUGUGUAAAUAGCCUAGGCAUAGCCCGUAAUACCAAUAUCCAUUUACCUUCAUUUAGAUUAUCACAUCUCAUGAUAUUUUUUCAUUCACGACCAUUGUUCGAGAUUUGAACUUGAUCAUAAAUUAAGCUGCAACGGAGUUACUUAUGUUUCUAAGCUUUUCAAUCGCGAUUCCUCCAUGCCUUUCUUGGAUACCAUUUUACUGACCUUGUAAUUGGUGUGUAUAAGGAGUCAUGCCCUUUCAGGAUCGUUUUCUUUUUUUUUUUUCCUGAUUGUAGUGUCAAAUAAAUAAAGAACGAACAAUUGAACUUAGUCUAUUUCGAGGAAAACCAAGGCCUGCAAUAUUAGAUGAACUUUGAACAAAAUUAAUCUACUAUUCUACAUCCCCACCAAAAUUUAAACAGUCGACAUUGUGGAAAGAAACACAUUUCGCCACUAGGCUUUUAGUGAGGCUAAUUUCUCUGAAUUUGGACAGAGUAGGUCCUCCAACGAGAACUGAAUCAGGACGAAUCGGCUCUCCAUUUUCUAAUUCGAACGAGCAAAGGAAGCCUGAAUCUGUGACCGUUAUCAAUACUCUGCUUCUAUUCUGAUUCUCAGGAAGUACUUCUUCAAGAUCAUCCAAUACAUCGUCACCCUCUUUGUACUAAUCAUCAAGCACAAUAAAGUACUUCUUGUUUGUUAGGUAAUCUCGAAGAAUAGAUUUCUUCAAUUGAUAAUCUUCACCGAUAAUUACACUAACCCGAGAUGGAGGCAUCACAGACUUGAUUAUGUCAUCCAAUACCAUGCGAAAAUCGUAGGAUAUAGAAACCCUGACCCAAGCAUGACAGUCAAAAUAGAACUUGACGUGAUUAUUGUUGUAAGUAUCAGCAGUAAAAGCAGUCUUAUCGAAGCUAUUGAUGUCUUUCAGAAGCUCCCAAAUGUCUGUUCUUUUAACAUUUUCUAAGUGCAAGAGCUGCCGAUAACGCGAAGGUAUUUCAUCUUCAUCGAAUUGUUCUCUAAUGAGUUGAAUUAAAACUCGAGCCAUGUCAGCUUCAUAGUUUCCCAGCAGAGUAGUGGCUAUAAUUUCGGACUCCGUAAGAAGGUUUUGAAAAAGUGGAGUUAAAUUUGUUGAAUCAGGCAAAGUUAACGUGCCUUCUUCACCUGCUAACACCAGUUUCAACCUCUCACAAAAUAGUGUGAGGUUAAUUUCCAUAUCUUUCCCUCUCUCAGUAGUACUCAGAGGUACGUAUUGUUAUUUGUUAGUGUUGAUGACGAAAGCUGAAUAAUCAAAACAACAGUGUACACAAUCAACAGAAGGCGAAGUAUGUUAAGUUGAGAUCAAAGGAUAUAAAUGAAGGAAAAGUUUAAGUACUCCGUUGAAAGCCAAAGUUGCUUUGGCCAAUUAAUUUAUAAGUGAAGGAAAGAAUAAAGUUAGUCCUCGAUGUCUUUUGAAAUUAGAAAUACAUUUUGAAUGCUUUAAUAGAUGCAGAGCAAGCUGGCUCGAUGUCUAACUAUUUUAAGAGCUAAAAUCAUUUAUUAGAAGUUGUGGCAUUGAAAAAAACUGGCUUGAUAUCCAAUUUUGUUAUUUAAUGUCUCACGUGAGAGUAAAUAACUGUUGUGUUACUGGCAGAUGAUUGAGACGGACAAGUUUGGAACAUUGUUCGAGACUGAAACUACACAUCAGUCUUAGAAAAUUGUAAUUUUGUUGAAAAAUUAUAGAUUGAAAAAUUAUUGAGACGGACAAGUUUGGACCAUUGUUCGAGACUGAAACUACACAUCAGUCUUAUAAAAUUGUAAUUUUGUUGACUUAUCAUGAUUUUGAUUGCCUCCCAUUGAUUUUCCUAUGAUGUCUCUGUAGAGUGGCUAUGCUUACAUUUUUAGGUAUUUAAUUCUAAAAAUUAACUUAUUAGAUGGAAGGAUCAAUUCUACCUGUAAAUCUAAGUGGCUUCCCUUUACUAACUCAUAUAAGACACAACAAUAAUUUUCUUCGAAAAAAACCACCAUCGGAGGGCUAUUUUCGUUCAACAUACAUGAGUUGUUCCGCCACCAUAUUUUGAGGGUUUGCUUCUAAUACAACUUGGGGAAGCUAGGGGUAAGAUUUCCAAGUAUCAACAUAAAAACCUUGCCGAUUGGAUAGAAGGACCAAUCUUACUUAUAAGUCUAAAUGACUAAUUUUUGAGGACACAACUCAACAGACCAAUAUAAACUUUUGGCGUCCCAUUUUAUUACUUUUCAGUGCUUUACUUUUGCUGUCUAUAGCCCUACUAUUCUAUUAAGCAGAAAAUAUUAUCUAUUUUCUUUCCAUUUUAUGUAUACCCCGAUCUUUACCUCUGAUUGGUUGUAGAUUCUUCUGUCGCUUUGGGGUUAGGGGAUGGUUUUCAUCAAGAAAUGAUAAAGGAUUGUUAGUUGUGUGACAAACAGCAUUAAUAUGAAGGAUGAUGAUUGUUCUUUUCAAGAGUUUAUAAUGACAUAAUUCUGCUUUGGUCUUUUAAAAAAAAGUAAUUUAGAAAUGAGGAGUAUGUGAGUGAUGAUUUUUACAAAUAAAUUGCAUGCGUAGUGAUGAUUUUGACACAUGAAAAUGUAAAAAGAAAUAUAACUUGUGAAUAAUAAUCGAAGUACCCUGCUAUUGUUAUAUUGAGUAAUCAAGGACUUCGAUAUUCGGACGAUACAAGCAACACAAUCAAAUAUUAGUUGGAAGGCAUAGCAAAAUUAGAAUGUAGAACAAACUGGGUAUUGAUAAAUGGAUGGUUUUGGAAGAAUUGAAAAUGAUGGCAAAAAAAAAACAAAGUUAAGAGAAAAGAGAAAGAGCAUUUGAACUUUACUUGUAAGUAAAGGCAAAUAUCUUGGUUCAAGAAAAGAUAAGAGAUAUCAAACUAGCAAUAGGAAAAAGGAGGAAGGUUAAGACAGCAUCUUAACAAAAGCUAAAGAAAAGAAAAACUUAGUUCAAGCAAAGAACAAUGUGCUAAUGUAGUGUAAUCUUGUUUAAUUUCUUUUUCUUCUCACAUUUUCCAGGGCUUAAAUAAUACAAUGUACAUUUUCAAGCAAAGAACAACAAAUAAAUAAUACAAUAUACAUACCCAGUAAAUUAAAAAAAAUAUAUUAUUCAAGUUUGUGGACAAUACUGUAGCCAUUGCGUCGUCGAAAUCUACUGACAGCUGAAACAAAGAAAGAAUGGAUGAACGCUGGAUCACAGUUGAAAUUGAAGGUCUGGUAGGUGAUGUUUCCCUCUCUGAUUUUACCUAAACAAAUACAAGAAAAUAAGAAUCACGAAUGAAAAUCUGUUAUUACACUGUUCUUACUUAUUAAAAUACAGAGGUUUCUUUGUUUCUCUGCAGCAAUGUCCAUGGCUAUUAGAAACAAGAACAAUUAGACCAGCAUUUGCAAGAAUCUUUUAAGGUAUUACUGCAGAUAUAAAUCGACUGAGGAAAUGGAAAAAUUGAAUACCAAAUUAGGCAAGUUAACUGAAGAUUCAGUUAUCAUAGAAGAAUAAAACUCAUCCAAUUCAAUCCAUCAAAUUUCAUUAAGCAUUUCCAGAACUCUUGAUUUUCUUUCUCAGUAGCCAAACAACUUCAAUCUCAUUUUUUUUUUUCAACAAUGAGUUCUCAAACCACUCUGGUAUCAUUUUAAGACAUUCUCGGCCUUGUACUCACCAUCAAAAUGGAUUGGUUGAGAGAAAACAUAGGCAUAUUGUUGAAUUAGGUUUGACUCUGUUGGCUCAAGCUCAACUUCCUUUUAAAUUCUGGUGGGAUGCAUUCCAUACUGCCCUAUAUCACAUCAAUAGAUUACCAUCUUCUGCUUUCAAACUUUCGACCCCAUGUGAGAAGAUAUCCAAGCACAAACCUGAUUAUGAUUUUCUCAAAUGUUUUGGUUGUAUUUGUUAUCCUUACUUGAGAGACUAUAACAAACAUAAGUUUGCCUAUCAUUCCAGUAAGUGUAUAUUCAUUGGUUAUAGUCCUUCACAAAAGGAUUAUAAAUGCUUACAUUCUUCAGGUCAAGUCUAUGUGGCAUGACAUGGUAUCUUUGAUGAGUCAACCUUUCCUUAUGCUACUGAAUCUGUUUUUCAUAGUCACACAAAUUCUGAUUCUCAUUCUUCAAAUUUAUUUACUCCACAGCAUGUCUAUUAUCUUUCUACUUUACCUGUCAUACCAGUAUUUCUAAAUAACAACACUGAUAAUCUAAACUCUACAAAACUAAAAUGCCAGCUGUUUGGUGUUAGCGAUAAGAAACAACUUACCACAACCAUUAAUUAUCCAUAAUUUCAUUGUUUAUCCUCAGUUUUCUUCAUAAAUGUUACAGCGUUCUUCACAACAAAGUGCAAGGGCAUCUCAAAAGUUCUGAAAUAAUACCUCAAUUCUAUUGCAAAAAUAAAUAAUCUCAAACAAGAACCAAUAAUCAUAUUUCGUUACUGUCAAACACAAUGCAUCUGAGCAAAACAUUGGAAGCCAACACCAGAAUACAUAUGAAUAAACAAUUAAAGAUAGAGAAAAAAGGCUUAAACCUUGGGGGAAAAAAGUGAAAAAACAUGAAAGACAAAUUACACAUGUGCAGUAACCAUCGAACUUAUCAGUGACAGCUGCAUCCAUUACAUUGCUCCAACAACACAAUGGCAAACCACCAGUUUCAAAUUGAGGAUAGCUAUUGAGAAUGAGAAAGUGUCCAAAACGCCAUAAAUAGACAUGUUCCUAUUAUGCAUAAUUUACAUUAUAGGCAAAUAUUCUUAUACCAUCAAAAGCAAAACAUGACACUAUAACAAUUGACUCCCCCCCCCCCCCCCCCCCCCCCGCACACAAAAAAAAAGGAAGAAACAAUACCGAAAAGAUUGAAACAGGUAAGGCUACACUGAGCACAGGAUGCCAUGAAACAUAAUCCAGGAACCAAAUUAAUAAAGAAGGAAGGCAAACCAUUAUUUAACAAUCUGUUUUGUAUUAGGGAAAGUCCGAUAAAAUCUACUUAGGGAUAAUUAGAGAACCUCAACUAUUAAUCACACCUCAUAAAUGAACUAACAUUAACCAUGUACCAUCCCCACAUCAGACAAACAUUCUCUAUACUUCUGAACCUAAUACUUCCAUCUUCAAUUGGGGUUUUUUUCUUUUGUGGGGGGGGGGAUAAGCUAUCGUUUUUCUAAGCUUGCUUACCUUCUGUGUGGGACUGAAAUACUGAUUUCGAAUCAUUAACAGUAAAAUUGGAAGCUCAUGAAAAAACAAUUUUAUCUUUUAACAAAAGUUAAAAUUACAUCUCCAUAUAAAUUCUCUUUUCAUUUCCUUCAAUUUUCUAAUUAAGCUUAAAAAAAUGUACCUUCAACCACAAAGGGGUUUAAAAUUUAAAAUAUAUAAAAAAAUAAAUUCAGAUAACAAUAAUUAAUUUAAUUAAAAAUAUAAAUAGAGAUUACAGAGAAAGAAAAAAUAGAGAAAGACCUGAUGUUGAGAGCAUCGACGGCCGGCAGUGACCGGCGGAAGAUGGCGAGAGAUGGCGGCGUGGGCCAUUGCUUGCGCAUCAGUGAGUGUCUCGAGUGAGAGAGUGAAGGUAGGGAUGGCAAUGGGGAGGGAGGGAGGGUCCAAUCUCUCUGUACCCAUCUCCCAAUUUGUCCCCGUCCCUCCCCGUCCCCAUUUGCUUAGAAUCUGUCCCCUACUCGAAUAAUAAUUCUCGAAUAAUAACAUAAAAUGCUCGAGGUUCUCGAUUUAUGAAUAAUUAAUAUAUUUUUUAUUUUAAAUUUUAAAUUAACUAUAUUAAAAUAAAAAAUUUAAAUAAAAAUAAAAUUUGAAAUAUAUUUUAUAUUAAUAUUGAUCCAUUAUAAAAAUUACAUACAAAAUAUAAAUUAUCAAAAUAAUUAUCUUUAUCAAUCUUCAUAAUCCUACAAUAAAAAGAAAAAAAAUUUACUUUUAUAUUGAUAAUAAAAUAAAUGUAGAUAAUUAAUUAAUAUUUUUAAUAAAAUAAAAUUAAAAUAAAAUAAAAUUUUUAGGCUAAUAUAAUCUACCCGACUUUUUUAAUGUGUUAAAUAAAAAUUUAAGACUUUAAUUAGUUAAUUAGGCCUAAAAGCUUAAUAAUAUAAAUAUUUUGAUAUUUAUUAUUUUUACUAAUAUUUAUAAUUUUAUAAUAUAUUCAAUUUUUAUUAUUUAUUUACUAGUAAUUUUAAAAAAUAAAAAUAAAAUUAAAAAAUAAAAUGGGGGAAAUGGGGAGGGGAUGGGGAUUCCACCUCAUCCCCGUCCCUUCCUUGUAGGGAUGGCAAAAGUUCGGGUCGGGUCGGGUCUGGGGCUGCCUGGAACUGACCCGGAUUUCACACAUAGCUGCCCGGACCCGGACCGUGCCCGGAUUUUUUCUAUGCGGGCCGGGUAUAUGGCUGGCACUAUCCGGGCACAGGUUUUUUUUGGGUUUUCUCUACCCACAUUUUCAAAACUGGCUAAAAAAAAAUUGAUAGAAAAGGCUAAAUAAGUAAACAAAAUUGCAAUUGGGCCUGGAAAUUCAUAACUUAUCCCUGAAUUAUAUAUAUAUAUAUAUAACUUCUAAUUCUUUGUUGAUACAAGUUUUUUCUAAUUCAUUAUAAAAUCACAUUAUAUAUAUUAUUUCCUCAUCAGAUAAUAAGUGACAAUUGCUCACCAGUUUAUUAACAUCUCUACGAAACCGUCUUUUAUGGCAUUAUUAUUAUUAUUGUUGUGGCUGAAACCAUGUAGUAUGUGAUUGAAGAAAUUGCAUUAAAUGUUGGAGUGGAGGUGAUGUAGGUGAGAAAGGAUUCCCUGGAGACUGUUAAACAAGACACAAGGCAUUUCCGGAAGAAAACAGAAGACAACUGGAUAAGACAAAACGGACAAAAGGGUAAGAGAGGUGGGUGGGAAAUUAAGAUAGGCAAUUUGUCCAGCAGAAACAUAAUAAUACCUCGUGGUCGUGGGUCGUGGCUGUGUUGGUGAAGUUGCAGCUGAACAAGAACAGUUGAUGCUGUCGCGUGGUGGCUGCCGUUGAGAAGAUGACCAAACGAUGAAGAGCUCUGUGACGGGAUGGUUGUGCUUUGCGAGGAGAAAUAGAGUUGACUGAGGAAGGUAAGAGGUUCGUGGAGGGAAAGGUGCGGACAACACUGCAUCAGUGCCGGUGGGUGGUGGAGAGACGGAGAGAGGUGCCGCCGAUUUGGAGAUUUCAGGGUGGGUGCUGACUGCUGCAGUGCUGCGUUGUUCUGCAAGUUGCAAUCGCGAUUUAGGGUUCAGUACCAGUUUUGGGGGCAAUUGGGCAAAGUAAAUUUUAUUUUCGCUUUUAUAUUUUCUUUUUUUUUACUUAAUAAAAAACCGGGCAUUGAAAAUCAAUGUCCGGAUCCGCUUUUUCCAUUCAUGUGGUCCGGGUAAAACCCGAACCGCACACGCCGGGUCUGGGCCGGAUCCGGUCCGGGUGGGUUUUUCUGCCACCUCUACUUCCUCGAAUAAGAAAUUUGGUAAAAAAAAUUUCCCGUCCCUUCCUCGAAUAAAAAAUCGGGUAUAAAAUUAUCUCUGUAUCCUCCCCGAAUGAGAAAAAUCCCCGAAGAUACCCAUACCUGUGGGGAUUUUUACCAUCCUUGAGUGAAGGGUUUUGUUUAGGGUUUUGGGAAAUGAAAAAUG